rnacentral:lncRNA from 1 species
GUGGUUUGUGGGGUGGCUUGUGGGGAGGAGUUGGAGGAGGCUUUAUUUUCUGAGGCGGCUUGUAUGAGUGUGCAGGAGGAUGCCCGGGAGUGUGACCAUAAUGUGGUGGCUUCUCUCCCGUAGGUGGUUUGCCAAAUGGGCUUGGUGGCUUCUCUCCCUUAGGAGGUUUACCAAUUGGGGUUGGUGGCUUGUGUUCUGGGAGUGGUUUCUCUCCCUUGGUAGGUUUGCCAAUUGGGGUUGGCGGCUUAUGUUCUGGGAGUGGCUUCUCUCCCUUGGGAGGUUUGCUAAUUGGGGUUGGCGGCUUAUGUUCUGGGGGCGGCUUCUCUCCCUUGGGAGGUUUGCCAAUUGGAGUUGGCGGCUUAUGUUCUGGGAGUGGCUUUUCUCCCUUGGGAGGCUUGCCAAUUGGGGUUGGCGGCUUAUGUUCUGGGGGUGGCUUCUCUCCUUUAGGAGGUUUGCCAAUUGGAGUCGGCGGCUUAUGUUCUGGAAGUGGCUUUUUUCCCUUGGGAGGUUUGCCAAUUGGGGUUGGCGGCUUAUGUUCUGGGGGUGGCUUCUCUCCCUUGGGAGGUUUGCCAAUUGGAGUCGGCGGCUUAUGUUCUGGGAGUGGCUUCUCUCCCUUGGGAGGUUUUGUUGGUGGCUUGUGUUCUGGAGAUGGCUUCUCCCCUGGAGGCUUGUGCUCCGGAGGUGGCUUCUGAAAUGGCGGGGGCUUGGGGUAAUGAGCAAGAGAUGGAGUACUGGUGAGAACCACCAUUCCAAGCAACAAUACUAGCAAGCAUGUGGGAGACAUCUUUGAGUAGUUGUAGCUAAGAUGGCGCAACACUGUAGGCAUUGGGUGGCCUUUUAUAAAGGGCUGGACCCAACAGCCAUAUGACACGUGUCAUGAUGACAAAUGAAGUUGAGGGGAUCCAGAUGGGUCCUACUGAGUCGAAAACUUGCACUAAUUGAUCUGGUGAGAUGACUAUUUCUGUCCUUUUGCCCUUCUCGGCCACCCUGUGCUGUUUUCCUUUUGCACGAUUUUCGUUGCCAAACAAGCAAAUAAUAUUUCGCCAAGAAAGAGGAGAGUGAAUGUGGAAUGCAUCAAGUCCCAUCAAGGAUGGCAGAGAAGAAAUAGAAGAUUGCCCAACUGUGAUAAACAUAGCAUACACGUAGCACCAGGAACUUCAUUUACUUCCAUCUAAUGGAACAUAACAAUCUUCUAAAGUUUUUGCAUGAUUUUGUUAUAUGUCUCUUAGCCUAAAGUUGGAAAUGCGCAACAAAUUUUGUCACUUCUCUAUUUCCCACUGAUGAUGUUAAUUAGCCUUCAUAGAUAUCAUCCUUUCUACAAAGUGCUUCAUUUGUGUGUUAUUGUAAAGUGUAAGAAAAGUAAUUGAACAUGUUCUUUUUCCUUUCAUAGAUGACUUUUGAUGUGCAUUUUAAAAGCAGCGCUGUGAGUCGGUGACCUUGAUUCACACGGAAACUAAGGCUCCUAUAGGACCCACUUUUAGCUGGUUAGGGGUGAAGAAAAUAUCAACUUUUCAGAGUGAUUUAAGUCAAGGCCAAGCCUCACUGUGUCAUUACUCGUGUGAAUUUUAUAUGCACAUACAUACAUAAAUAAAGUAUGAGACCCAAAUAACACCUUCCCUUUACAAACUUAACCCCAGCCGCUCUCUUUCAAUUCUUUUCACACAAGGGUAUUGACUCUAUAAAGGUCAAGAAAAUCAUAAUUUCCUAGGGUUUACAAGGUAAUUGGCUUAAUGCUAAUGUGAAAACAUAAAAGAUAAUAGUAUAUUGUAAGCUAACGAAUAUUCUAUAGUUAUAAUUAUUUGUGAUGUGCAUAAAUAAAUCUUCAUAUAUAUAAUGGAACAAUGAAUAAAGAACCAAUGAAAAAAUACUAUAUAUCAUUGCUUGGCAUUUAAACCGUAUAUGCUGCUCUUUCUAGCUACUCCAUCCACUGAAAGACAACAAGGUAAUCCAUGUUAUAAUGAUAGAAGAUACUGUCUCUAGGCUUUUUGUGAUGAAAAAUAUAAGAUAUGGGUAGGGUUGACCCUUGUAUGUUUGUCCUAUAAACACUUCAAAGUAACAUAUUUUUCUUCUUUAGCAACUCAUAAUGAUGGGGUUCAUUUGCAUGUCACUGAGUUGAAAAGUUGGACAAUUGCCCAUGUCGCCUUCCUCCUAGAUUCCGUAGUUCACGGGAAGGUAACUCAAGUUUGACAUAUUUUGAAUUCUUUUCACUCGGACGUCUUCAUAACCUGACAAAACAAAAAUGAAAAACAGAGGAUUGGUAUAUUAUUCAUGGUAAGCCUCAAAUUAUAGUAGUAUGAGAAAGGAGAAAAAGAUUUUGGGAACUCCAAUCUGGAUAAUUCUCGUUUCUUCUCUUGAAUAAAAAUUUCACUUACCUAACUUCGUUUGGAGAAAUGGCAUAUUUUAAUUUUGUACGUCAUUGCUAAUAAAUGGAGCAAUUUAGCAUGUUUUGUGACUGAAACUGCAAAUGUCCAAUUGGCAUUUCUUCAUUUCCCACUUAGGAUCUGAUCUUGUAGACCAUAUAACGAUAUGUAUCUGUGCAAGCAUUGAAAACUAAUGUGAACUAUGAGGAGUUACAAGCCACUGGACUGUAGAGCGAGUGCCAAGAUUUAAAUCUUCAGGCUCUAUCUGGGUAAGGGGAGGAUAGCGACCUAACCUUUUACCAAAGGCUUAGAAUUUAGACUUUUGGAAAAAAAUUUCUCAUGUUUUGGCUGGAUUUCUUGUGCUUGGCGCAAAAAGGAGAUGGCCUCAAGAAAUAGCAGACUCACUUUUGUUUUCAGCCCUUAAUAAUUCUCCACUGCUUUCCAUAACUACAUGGGUUAUACAUGCAGUCUGCUGCAAUAUUCCAGUUAUAUUUAUUAUUUCAAAGAGGGUGAAUGACUUCACAUGCAAUAUGUUGCAGUAACAACCCAAAUUUUGGCACACCAUCUUAAGAAUAGAAAAGUAUAAUAAAAGAAAUCAAUCAGAGAAUCACUUUGCAUGCAGUUCAUAGAGUUCGCCCAAAAUGGAGCCACAUGUACGGACAACCCCACAAUAGACAAUCUUCUCUAUACAGUAAUAAAAUACAGAAAUGGUUAAUGAAGCUCUGUAUUUCCUUAUCAUAUAUGACCGGUUGAAAACUCAGCAAGUCUUCCUCAAUCACAGACAGUUGGAGUUGCUUCAUCAAAAUCAUGCCUUCAUUACUGGCUUCAUUUUGGUUUCAAUGUCUGUUCUACCCUUAAAUUGGGUCUCUGCUUACUACCGGGAUAUCCUUUAGCGUCCUGCAAUUCUACUAGAUUAAAGAGAAUGACUUAAUUCUGCAUUCUGCCGUCCCUAGUCCAAGUGGUACUAGAAUUGAUGUUUCCUUUAGUGUCCUUUCUUCAUACUUUCAGGUUCUUCCCUUGUUUCAAUAAUGCUGUUUUCCUUCAUGUUUAACCUCUGUUGAACCACUUAAAACAACACAAUUUGCACACCAAUGUUUCUUUACAGAAAAGACUGUUUGCAAAAAUGCACAUGUUAUAAGGUUAAUGGAAGAAUUAAUUUGGGGAUAAGGGACUAGGAUUGGGCCAAUGAAGUUUGGUGUUAAAUUUUGAUUAUGAUUGCUUUUCAUUAUCAGGUACCUUAUAUUUGCUGAUGCUAUCUGGAACUAAAUUCAAAUCAGACAUUAUCCGAUUACUAACAGGACAUAUCAUGUCCCUCUGCAGAGUUUCUAAACUAACAUGUAUCGAAAUGUGGCCCCAAAAGGAAGGCUAGGAAGAUGGAGGAUUUUGUAGGAAUCGACCAGAAUCAGAUGGAAGAGAGAUAGUCCUGUUGACUUUAAUGGUUGUGAUAGGAACAUGCAUCAUUAUAUGAGAAGUUGCAUGAAUUUAUGUAUCCUGUUAUCGUUCCUUGACGAUUUCCCAAUGCAAUUUCACUGUCCACAAGACUAACCUCUCCAUGCAGUCAAAUGAAUUGUAAUUUCUCUAUUGGUACCAGUAGUACAUUUCAUACCAAACAUAUAGUAAAUAUAAAAUAUAAAUAGAUCAAGGAAAUCUGAAUUGUAGAUAGCACUGCAAGUAACACUCAAUAUUCUCUAUAUAUAAUAAAAUAAACAGUGUCACAAUACUCAUCACCCAGUGGCAAGGGAGAAAAACCUACAAUGAGUACUCAAAUCACCAUUCUCAAACAGAAACAUAGCAGUGACUGAUACAUAGAACCUAUAUGCUCACAGGGAAAGAAUAAGAUGACCAGUGCACAGCGGGCAGCAGCUCUUAUUUUACGUACAACUCAAAUCCCAAACUAACCAAAGUCGCUCAGUUGGGAUGGGUGGGAGAUGGUGGUUUGUGGGAUGGCUUCUGGGUAGGAGCUGGUGGCUUCUGUCCCUUUGGUGGUUUGCCUAAUGAGCUUGGUGGCUUGUGCUCCGGGAGUUGUUUCUCUCCCUCGAGUAGGUUUCGAGUCUUGUCAGAUGGCUUGUGUUCUGGUGGUGGCUUCUCUCCCUGGGGUGGUUUGCCGAAUGGGCUUGGUGGCUUGUGUUCGGGGAGUGGCUUCUCUCCCUGGAGAAGGUUACGAGUUUUGUCAUAUGGCUUUUGUUCUGGUGGUGGCUUCUCUCCCUGGGGUGGUUUGCCGAAUGGGCUUGGUGGCUUGUGUUCGGGGAGUGGCUUCUCUCCCUGGAGAAGGUUACGAGUUUUGUCAGAUGGCUUGUGUUCUGGUGGUGGCUUCUCUCCCUGGGGUGGUUUGCCGAAUGGGCUUGGUGGCUUGUGUUCGGGGAGUGGCUUCUCUCCCUGGAGAAGGUUACGAGUUUUGUCAGAUGGCUUUUGUUCUGGUGGCGGCUUCUCUCCCUGGGGUGGUUUGCCAAAUGGGCUUGGUGGCUUGUGUUCGGGAACUGGCUUCUCUCCCUUGGGAGGUUCAGUUGGUGGCUGCUGUUCCGUAGGUGGUUUCUUCACCGGCGGCUUGUGCUCCGGAAGCGGCUUCUCUACCUGGAGAAGCUUACGAGUUUUGUCCGAUGGCUUGUGUUGUGGUGGUGGCUUCUCUCCCUGGGGUGGUUUGCCAAAUGGAGUUGGUGGCUUGUGUUCGGGGAGUGGCUUCUCUCCAUUGGGAGGUUUAGUUGGUGAUUGGUGUUCCGUAGGUGGUUUCUGAAGUGGGGGAUGCUUGGGGUAGUCAGCAAGAGACGAGGUAGUGAGAACCACCAGUCCCAGCAGCAACACUAGCAAGCAUGUGGAAGACAUCUUUGAGUUCAGGCUGAGAUCUGUGCAAGGAUAACAGAAUUAGGUGGCCUUUUAUAGAGGCCUGGACCCAACACCCAUAUGACACGUGUCAUGCACUCAUGGUGACACAUAAUUCUAUGGGACCAUUUGGGUCCUACAGAAGUUGCAAAGUUGGACUACUGAGGUGUGAUCACAACUUUUGUCCUUAUUGCUUUCUCUGCGGCCAUUGCACGAUUUCCUUUAGCAUCAUUUUCUUGGCUAAAUAAGCGUAUUAUAUUUGUGGCAGACCGUCCACGUGUCAUAAACAGAUAUAUUAUAAUAAUGUAGUAUGCUUUUCUCCAAUGGAACAUGACACUCUUCUAAGUCUUGUUUUAAAUAUUGUGCAGGAUUACUUUAUACGUUGCAGUUCCAAGUCAAAAUUGGUGGGCAAACGUUGGCCUUUUUUCAUUUCACCUAAGAUUAAUGCUCACCUGGGAUAGGCACUACAUGACUUAUCUGCUCUUUUACUGUAAAGUUGCUUUGUGUAUGAGAUACACCUCCCCUGCACACCCUCAACAUUCGUUGCUCUGUUUUCCUUGUGUCCAGACGAGGAUAUUAAUUGGAGGCUGACAAAACGACUGCUAGCCCAGGAUUUACAAGGUCCUGGUUUGAGGCUUCGGUGAAAGUAUUUUUGAAAAGACACACAUAGAGAUAGUGCGUUUGGUGCAAUGCAGCACUGUGAGCCAUUCUGACGCGUUCUUAAUUUCAAAACUAAUGAAUGCUUCAAAAUUUUAAGAAGUGACAUUUCCAAAUAUUUGAGUUCGUUUAAUUGAACAUUGGAUAACUAGUGAUCAUAGAUUAUUAUCUGUGCUUGGCACUAUAAGAGGGUAUAUGCUUCUUUUUCUGGCCCCUCCUUCAAGGGAGGAGGGACAAUGUGAUCUGUAACGUUAGAAGCUAUUCCAUGUCAUCUUUGGGCUCAGUUCAAAACUAAAAGAUAAUGGGGGGGGGGGGGGGGGGCAUAUCAUUUUAUAUUUCUUCUAGAAGGUUUGUUCUGGAAAUAUUUCACAGGAGCAUAUCUUUUUCUUCUAUUACGUCAUCCGCAGCCUCCAAUAGGUCGGUUAACAAGCCACCGAGUUGAAAAGUUGGAAAAAUGGGAACACAGCCCGCCUCUUGUAUUCAGUAGUUAAAUAAAAGGUCACUAGAAGUGAGAUCCCUUUUGGCGUCUUGAUUUUCAAUCCAGCACCUCUGUGACCUGACAAACCAAAAAAACUAAAAAAUAAAAAACAGUACGUGGGUUGGUGUUAAGCAUCAAGACAUGUUAAUGAAAGAAGGUAGAGAAUAGGAUAUUGAAAUCCCAAUCCUGAUAACAUGAUUUUCUUUGCUAACAACCAUAUUAUAUUUUAUCAAGAAAGAGUAAUGCAUGUGGCGUCCAUCAAGACCCAUUAGAGUUCCGCUAAAGCUAUAGUUCUGUCAACGUUAUCAUUUACGUUUCCUCUAGAUAAUGGCAUUUUCCUCUAAAGCUCUUGCACCAUUAGGCUUCAAGUCAAAAUUUCACAUGUGAACUUUGGAAAUUUUCUCCAUUUGCCCCUAAGGAUACAGUUAGAAUUGACUUAAAAUCCUGAUUGAUAUGUACUAUUAACCAAAGAAUAUUGUAUAUAAUAAUUGAAAUAUUGUUGAUUCAUCGUGGAAAUACAUUUUGUAAGGAAAGUUGUUGAGAAUUUAGUAUGCUAUAUGGAGAAAAAAGUCAUGACUUAAGGUUGUGUAUGUAUAUUCUAUAUCAAAUAUUAGGUAGGAAUGUGGGAAAGAGCAGAGUGUAAUGAUAAGAAACAAAGAAAUAUAAGAUAUUCUUGAAAGUGGAAAAUAUAAAAUGGCUAACGAGUCAAAUUUAUGAUGCGUAAGGGGGAUCAUGUCACAUAAGAAAACCAUGGCAUACUAAAGACGUACGUGUGGUAUGGAGUAAUAAUUUUGUUAAAAUAAGUUUCUUGUUGGAGUACAUUAGGUGACUAUUCAUAACGUAUCAAAUUAAAGAGUCAAGUGCAUCAAUGAAGGCAUAUGUAGAAAAUUUGUUUGUGACAUGUACCAUAAAGAUAAGAUUGACUUGAUAGAAUUUAGUCUAAGUAGGAGUUGUUAAAGGUGUCUUAAAUUUCUAAUUGAUGUAUAUUUUUUUCUAAAAAAAUAUUAUAUAGAUAUUUUAAUAAAUGAUUAAUUCUUUGUAAAAAUACUUACAUAAUAAAAAACAUCAUUAAAAAUAUCUUUAUAAAUAUUUUAAGUUACAAGAAGGAAAAAAACCACUGUGAGAUAAUGAUGAACAUGCAACACUGUACCAAGUAAAUAAAAAUGUGAUAAAAAAAAAAGAGAAACACUCGAUAAAGGAAGGCUCGUAUAUAAAGAGUAAUAUUUUUAAUCAUAUGAUAGAAUGAUUUUCUCUCAUUCAUGAAUAUAGGCAAGAUUGGGGAACCAUUAUAAAAUUUUGUACACCUCGUGUAAAUUGAUGUUUGUCUUCAUAUUUUACACCAACAAAUGACAUUGAAGUUGUCAUUGAUAAAAGGGAAAAGGCAUGCCUCCACACCAUGUGCUUGAUUCGAAUGGUUCAAGUUUGAAGAAUUUUCUCCGGAAGAUCUAAAACAUUUUCGCCUUUAAAUUUCAUUUGAUUAUUAAUAUCCGAAAAAAUAGUUAAAUACUCUUUCUAUUUUUGAGUUGUUGAAUUUUUUGAAAGUUUUUAUAUUUGUUAUCAAGAAUUUCUAUUUUAUUAAGGGUGAAUAUUUAUAAAUAAGAUAUUAUAUAAUAUUUGGAUAAGAGAGAAUGGUGGAAUAUAAUAAAGUUUUAAUCCUUCCCAAUUUUGAACCUUUUUUUUUUUUUUUGAUAUAAUCGCCUUUCUCUUGCAAUCCUAUUAUCAGGUACCUUAUAUUUGCUGAUGCUAUCUGGAACUAAAUUCCAAUCAGGCAUUGUCCAAUUACUAAUAGGACAGAUCAUAUCUCUCUGUUUCUAAACUAACAUGUAUCGUAAUGUGACCUCAUAAGGAAGGCUAGGAAGAUGGAGGAUUUUGUGGGAAGCGACCAGAAUCAGAUGGAAGAGAGAUAGCCCUGUUGACCUAAUGGCUGUAAUAGGAGAAGCGUGUGGUUUUAUGGGACUUAACUGAUACUAAACCUGUAUGAUGCUUGGAGUGGUGUUUCUUUCAUUUUGUUAAGAAAAUAUGGCAGCAUACAUGCUUUCAACUGAGUGCAUCAGAGCAUCCAUAACAGAUGGUCUGCAACCCUAGGUGCAUGCCACUUUCUGACUGAUAAUGAAAUUGUCAGGUACCUGGCCUUGACUAAGCUCAACAGCAUCACAUAAAGAGAAGCUUUCAUACUUAGAUUACUGUUUAAAGUUUUUGCUUAUUUGAUUUCUUAAUGCCAUUAUGACAUUAUUGAUUCAAUUCUGCUUCCGAUUUUCGAAGUUCUGGGCAUCUACUGAUUGCAUCAUUAUAUGAGAAGUUGCAUGAGUUUAUGUAUCCUGUUAUUGUUCCUUUGCGAUUUCACUGCUCACGGGACUAACCUCUCCAUUCAGUCGAAAUGAAUUGUAAUUUCUUUACUGGUAGCAGUAGUACUUUUCAUAGCAAAGAUAAUAGAAAAUAUGAAAUAUAAAUAGAAGGAAAUCUGGAUUGUAGAUAGCACCAUAAGUAACACUCAAUAUUCACUACAUAAUAAAUAGACAGUGUUACAUAGGUAGAGAAACCUACAAUGAGUACUCAUCACCAUUCUCAAACAGAAACAUAGCAGCGACUUAUACAUAGAACCUAUAGGCUCGCAGGGAAAGAGUAACAUGAUAAGUUCACAGCGGGUAGCAGCUCUUAUUUUACGUAUUACUCAAAAUCUCAAACUAACCAAAGUCACUCAGUUGGGAUGGGUAGGAGAUGGUGGUUUGUGGGGUGGCUUCUGGGUAGGAGCUGGUGGCUUCUUUGUUGGAGUUGAAGGAGGCAUAUUCUUCUGAGGUGGCUUGUAUGACUCUUCGGCACUCUCUGCAGGAGGGUGCCCAGGGUUGUGACCAGAAGGAGGUGGCUUCUGUCCCUUUGGUGGUUUGCCUAAUGGGCUUGGUGGCUUGUGCUCCGGGAGUUGUUUCUCUCCCUCGAGUAGGUUUCGAGUUUUGUCAGAUGGCUUGUGUUCUGGUGGUGGCUUCUCUCCCUGGGGUGGUUUGCCGAAUGGGCUUGGUGGCUUGUGUUCGGGGAGUGGCUUCUCUCCCUGGAGAAGGUUACGAGUUUUGUCAGAUGGCUUUUGUUCUGGUGGCGGCUUCUCUCCCUGGGGUGGUUUGCCAAAUGGGCUUGGUGGCUUGUGUUCGGGAACUGGCUUCUCUCCCUUGGGAGGUUCAUUUGGUGGCUGGUGUUCCGUAGGUGGUUCCUUCACCGGCGGCUUGUGCUCCGGAAGCGGCUUCUCUACCUGGAGAAGCUUACGAGUUUUGUCAGAUGGCUUGUGUUGUGGUGGUGGCUUCUCUCCCGGGGGUGGUUUGCCAAAUGGACUUGGUGGCUUGUGUUCGGGGAGUGGCUUCUCUCCAUGGGGAGGUUUAGUUGGUGGUUGGUGUUGCGUAGGUGGUUUCUGAAGUGGGGGAUGCUUGGGGUAGUCAGCAAUAGACGAGGUAGUGAGAACCACCAGUCCCAACAGCAACACUAGCAAGGAUGUUGAAGACAUCUUUGAGUUCAGGCUGAGAUCUGUGCAAGGAUAAAAGAUUUAGGUGGCCUUUUAUAGAGGGCUGGACCCAACACCCAUAUGACACGUGUCAUGCACUCAUGGUGACACAUAAUUCUAUGGGACCAUUUGGGUCCUACAGAAGUUGCAAAGUUGGACUAUUGAGGUGUGAUCACAACUUUUGUCCUACUUGCUUUCUCUGCGGCCAUUGCACGAUUUCCUUUAGCAUCAUUUUCUUGUCUAAAUAAGCGUAUUAUAUUUGUGGCAGACCGUCCACGUGUCAUAAACAGAUAUAUUAUAAUAAUGUAGUAUGCUUUUCUUCAACGGAACUUGACACUCUUCUAAGUCUUGUUUUAAAUACUGUGCAGGAUUACGUCAUAAGUUGCUUGUUCCAAGUCAAAAUUGGUGGGCAAACGUUGGCCUUUUUUCAUUUUCCCUAAUAUUAAUGCUCACCUGGGAUAGGCACUACAUGAUUUAUCUGCUCUUUUACUGUGAAGUUGCUUUGUGCAUGAGUUACACCUCCCCUGCACACCCUCAACAUUUGUUGCUCUGUUUUUCUUGUGUCCAGACGAGGAUAUUAAUUGGAGGCUGACAAAACGACUGCUAGCCAAGGAUUUACAAGGUCCUGGUUUGAGGCUUUCACGAAAGUAUUUUUGAAAAGAUACACAUAGAGAUUGCGCGUUCGGUGCAAUGCAACAAUGUGAGCCAUUCUGAAGUCUUAAAUUUCAGAUUAAUGAAUGCUACAAAAUUCUAAGAAGGGCCGUUUCCAAAUAUUUGAGUUCAUUCAUCCGAACAUCGGGUAUAUGCUUCUUUCUCUAGCCCCUCCUUGAAGGGAGGAGGGACAAUGUGAUCUGUAUCGUUAGAAGCUAUUCCAUGUCGUCAUCUUUGGGCUCAGUUCAAUACUAAAAGAUAUGGGCGGGGCCCUUAUCAUUUUAUAUUUCUUCUAGAAGGUUUAUUCUGGAAAUCUUUCACAGAAACAUAUCUUUUUCUUCUCUACGUGAUCCGUGGUUUGAAAGUUGGAAAAAUGGGUCCGUUAACAAGCCACCGAGUUGAAAAGUUGGAAAAAUGGCAACACCGCCAACCUCUUGUAUUCGAUAGUUAAAUAAAAGGUCACUGGAAGUGAGAUCCCUUUUGGCCUCUUGAUUUUCAUUCCAGCAUCUCUAUGGCCUGAUAAAUUAAAAAACUAAAAAAAAAGACAGUACGUGGGUUGGUGUUAAGCAUCAAGAGUCAAGACAUGAUAAUGGAGAGAAAGGAUAUUCAAAUUCCAGUUCUGACAACAUGAUUUUCUUUGCUGAACUACCAUAUUAUAUUUGAUCAAGAAAGAGUAGUGCAUGUGGCCAGGAUCAAGACAUACAUUAAUUUCCACAUGAUGAAGACAGUUUCUGAGAGUUUCUUCUAAAGCUCUUGCGCGAGUAGGCUUCAAGUCAAAAUCUCCCAUGUAAACACUGGUUUUUCUUUCAUUGCCACUAAGGAUGCAGUUAAUAUUGACUUAAGAUCCUACGUGAUAUAUUUUUUUAAAAGAGCUAUAUUGUAGAUAAUAUUUGAAAUAAUGUUGAUUCGUUGUGGAAAUAUAUUUGUAAGGAAAGUUGUUGACAAUUUAAUAUAGUAUAAGAAGAAAAAAGUUAUCAACUAGCUAGAGAUGAGUAUGUAAAGUGAGGCUCACGAUUCAACGCGUAAAUAUAAGAUAUUUUAAGGCUCAAUAGUUAUGAUAUCUAUUUUAUUUUUUGUAUCUCAUAUAUUCAAAGAUAUAGUAAAAUGAUUUUACAUAUAUAUAUAUAUAUAUAUAUGAACAUAACUAUUUGUGCCAAUUGAUUUUUAUCUUUAUUUUGUAUAUUAGUAAUUAUAUUAAAGUUUUUACUAAUAUAAUAACUAAUAUAAAAGCUUUUUCUAAAAGAGUCAACAGAGCAAAACACUUAUUAUAAAAAAUAAUUUUGAUUGAAGGUGGAGUCAAUUAUUCUUUAUUUAACAUGUAAUGCAUACGGCGUGUACUUCAUAACUAAAGUAUAUAAGUGUAACAUCUCUUAUAUAUUCUCAUUCAAUCUCGAAAGUGGAAAUUUUAAAAAGAUUAAACGGUUCAAAUUUGUCGUGCAUAAAGGGGAUCAUGUCACAUAAGCAAACCAUGGCAUACCAAAGACAUAGGUAUGGACUAAGAAUUUUUUUCAAAUAAGUUUCUUAUUAGGGUACAUUAAUAGGUGACUUUUUAUGACAUAUCAAAGGAGUCAAGUGCACCAAUAAAAACAUAUAUAGAAAAUUCAUGCAUGACAUGUAUCACUAAGAGAAGAUUGACUUGAUAGAGUUUAAUCCAAAUAGGAGAUUGUUAAAAGGUGUCUCAAAUUCUUGAUUGAUAUAUAUUUUUUUUAUUAAAAAGGUUAUUAUAUAGAUAUUUCAAUAGACUAUUAAUUCUUUGUAAAAAUAGUUAUAUAAUGAGGAUGGUGAUUAAAAAUAUCUCUAUCAAUAUUUUGGAUUAUAAAAAGAAAAAAAAUGAGAUAAUGAUAAACAUAUAAAACUUGUACAAGUAGAUAAAGAUGUGAUGAAAGACACUUGAUGAAUGAAGGCUUUGUAUUUCAAGAUAUAAAUAUAUGGAGCAAAACUCUUAAUUAUAUGAUCAAAUGAUUCUCUCAUAUUCAUGAAUAUAAGCAGGAUUGGGGAACCAUGAUAGAAUCUUAUAUGCCUCUCCAUGUAGAGUGAUCGAUGUUUAUCUUCAUAUUUUACACCAGUGAAUGACAUUGAAACUCUUAUUGAUAAAAGGGAAAAGGCAUGGCCUCCACCCCAAGAAAAACAAGUAACCUCGGUUUAAAUCACUAGUCUACACCCCGAAGAGAGAACUAGCCAAACCUACUAAAAGAGAAACUUAACAAUUUAGAAAGAAACCGUCCAUGAUAAAGGGCCCCUAAAGGUCCAAUUCAGUGAGGUCGUGAACAAAAACACUUUCAUGUCAAAACAGAGAUAGGUACCACCAAAAUGUAAAGGGAAAGAUGUAAACCACGUCGAACUUUGGUAAUCAAUGGUAAAGAUAGCAUGAUAGCUAAAAGCACUAAAGCUGUGCUUGGUAUGCAAAAAUGAAAAGUGGAAAUCAGCGUCUUAUUCUUUUUCACCUUUAUUCACAUAUUAGGAUAACUAAUAUCUAAUGUUUUUUAUGUCUCAAAUUCUAUUCCAUGUUAUGGUAAACUUUCAUCUUGUUUAGAUCACUUUUGUCUGGUUUGGGCUCAAGACGAUAAGCCUAUAGAGACUUCAUAUUGGGUUGAAUCGAUGCCCUUGAUCUGAUCUGUUCGUUAGAAAAAUCUGAAUUAUUAUAAGCAUUUAGAUAAAAAAUAAAUAAAUGUGAAACACAAACUACUCCCUGCACAACCUUGACCCUAGUUACUCAGUUUCACUGCUCACAGGACUAACCUCUCCAUUCAGUCGAAAUGAAUUGUAACAAGAAGAUUUUUGACAGGAGGACGGUAGUUUAAAAUAAUAAUUUCUAAAGUACUUUUGUGAAAAAAAAUAAUUCCAAACGUGGAUUUUAUCAAGUAAAAAGAAAAAAAAAAGUUAUUUUCUUUUAAAAUCUGUUCUUCUAAAGAUGAUAUAUAUACCAAAAAAAAAAAUUGUUUUCUGAAGGUAAAAUUUUUAAAAUUCAUUUUUAAAAAAAUUUACACACUAAAAUUAUCUUUUCAAGAGAAGAUUUUUUUAAUUUUAAAUAAUUAUUAAUUUAUAAUUAAUUUGUUAUUAAUUAUUUAUUAAUUUUUUUAUUUGAAAAAUGCAUUUAUAAAAAACAAAUUUGUUAUUAAUUUAUUAAAUAAUUUUUACAAAAUAAAUAAUUUUUUUUUAUUUUAAUUUUAAAAUUAAUUUUAUUAUAUAAAUUUUAAAAUUAAAAAUAUUAAUAUUUAAUUUAAAAUUUAACUAUAAAAGGAAUAAAAUAUAGAAAAAUAAAUUAAUUUAUUAUUCAAUAAAUUAAUUUUCAAUAAAAUUUUCAGCAUUAAGAGAUAAAUUUUUAAGUAUUAAUCAAUUUAAAAAGAAAUAAUGAUCAUUUGUAUAUUAAGAUAUUUUAUUUAGUAAUUAUGAAUGAUAAACAACUAAAGUAAUUUGAAAAAAUAAUAAAAUAUUUAAAAAAUAAUAAUUUAAUACACGUAAAAUUAGAAAUGAUUAACUAUUUUUUAUUAAGAAAAAAUUGAGGAAAUAUUUUGUUAUUUAAAAUUUUUUAUUUGUUUUCAAUUUUUAAUGUUAUAGGUUUCAAGAAAAUUGAUCAAAUAAAAAUUAAGAAGUCAUUUUUUCAAAAACUAUAUAUCUAAAUAAAAGCCUUGAAAUUCAAAUACACAAUAUCAUAAAUAUAAACACCAAGUCAAUCCUUAAUUAUCAAAUGUUUUUAAUAUUAAAGAAUCAAAAUCACCUACUAUCAUGAUAAUAAGAAAACCAAUAAUAUUGUUCAUAUAAAUACUAAAAAGCUAACAAAUAUCCCAAACAAUUAAUAAAGUAUCAAACAUGAUAAAAAGUCAAUUAUUAUCAUGAAUGCAAAAAAUCAAUAAUUUUGUUUAUAUGAACCAUCAACAAAGAAAAAAAAAAUCAAUAUCUAAAUAUUAAACAUAAUUUAUAUUUUUAUAAAUAUUAUUGUUGAUAAAUAUCUUAACAAUUAUAAUUUUAGUAAAUAAAAUUAAUUAAUUUUAGUUUAAGAAUUAUUUUUUUAUACUUUCGUAUUCUUAUCAAAAAUCCCCAUUUUGCAUGUCUCCUUUGGCAUGACUUUCUUACCUAAACAAGCAUAUAUAUAUAUAUAUAUAUAUAAAAUAUUUGGUUAAGAAAGAGUACUAAAGUUUAUAUGGCACACAUCAAGAUAGAAACAGAAGUGGAAGAUAAUCCAAAUGUAUGAACAGAUAUAUUAUAUCCAUGUAGUGGUAGUGACUUCAUUAUUUACUUUUAUCUAAUGGAGCAUGACACACUUCUUCUGAAUAUUUUGCACGAUUAUGUUAUGUGUCAGCUUGUUCUAAGUCAAAACUAGUGAUAAAAAUCGGUUUUUUUUGCAUUUCCUUCAUGAAGAUGGCACCUGGAUGGGGCACUACAUGAGUGGCAUAGCACGAAGUGAUUUAUCUGCUCCCUUUACUAUAAAGUGCUUUGUGUAUAAGUUACACCUCCCCUGCACUGCCUCAACAUUUGUUGUUCUGUCUUCCGUCUGUCCAAACGAGGACAAACGUAUGUUGUAGGUUGACAAAACCACAGCUAGCCUAGGAUUUGCAAGGAUCUAGUUUGAUUCGUAUGCAAAAGGAUUGGUGAAAAGAUUCACAAAGAUAAUGCUUUUUGCAAUGCAAUCUUGUUCUAAUUCAACAGUGUGGACCAUUUUCAUGUAAUGCUUCAACUAGAUGUCAGUUUCAUGAAUUUUUGUUCAUCUAAUUGAUCACUGGAUAGGCCAUAACCCGAAGAAAUUCAAAAUUCCCUUCAGUACUGUAGCUAAGGAAAGAUCCCUAUCUACCACUGGGAUUUUAAGAGGGUAAAAAUGUAGGUGGGUGCCUAUAUCAUUUGCACUUCACUAUAGGCCUCUUUGGGAAGAUUUCUUCUGAAGACAUUUCAAAGAAACAUAUUUUUCUCUUCUCUCCGUAAACGGCAGCUGCAAGUCAGUCCAUUCACAGGCCACCGAGUUGAAAAGGCUGGAAAAUUGGCCAAAGCACCCGCCUCCUGGAUUCCAUGGGUAAGGAAAAGGUCACUGGAGGUGUGAUCCCUGUUGGCCUCUUGAUUUCCAUUCCGCCAUCUAUAUGACCUGAUAACCCAAAAACACAGAAGGAAAACGUCACCUGGGUUCAUAGUAAGCAUCAAGUCAUGAUAGAGACCAGACAACAUGACCAACAAAGAGUAGCGAAUGGGGCCAACAUCAAGCCCCAUUACGGUUAGAAGAUGGAAGAAGUAGAAGACAAUCCAAUUCUGAUAGAUUCGGGCAAAUGUAGUGCUGUUCAAACUUAAUCAUUUACUAUUUCUUCAUGAAUCACGGCAUUUUUCUUCUGAAAAUUUUCCAAGAUUAGGCCUCUGAAGAAAAAUUUCAUAUGUAAAUUGGUAUAUUAAGGAAAAGGCGUUACAAAGGUGAAAAAAAACCAAUCAAAUCUUAUAUAUGACAUCUCAAAAAUAUGAACUUGCUAUAAAUAUUUAAAAUCAAAAUCUUGCACAUCACCUCGUAGUACGAACUUGCUAUAAAACUUGAAAAUCAAGAAGAAAGGGGCAGUAUUGGACGAGACUACUUAGCACAUAUUAUUAUGAUGUUUUUUCAUUUUCUUAAUGUUGUUUUUAUGUCUUAAAUUCUAUUAUUCUAUGUUACGGUAAACAUUCAUCUUGUUUGUGUGGAAUAGGAUCACUUUUCUCUGGGUUGAGUCGAUGCCCUUAGUUAAUUUGUUCAUUUGAAUAAACUAAAUUAUUAUAAGUAUUUAGAUAAGAAAAACGUGAUACAUAAAUUACGCCUCUCGGCACAACUUCAACACUGGUUACUCUGUUUCAGUUUCCUCACACAAGAUUAUUGGUUCUAGGGUUUAUUUGGUUUUGGUUUGAUUCUAAUUGCUAAACUUUCUCAAGGAAGAUGUUAUAUAGGGAGUGAGAAACCUUCACUCUUGGCUACCUCCAAGAGAAGAGCAAGUGGUCUGAAUCAAAGAUAUACUGCUCACUUUUUCUUCUUCUAAGGACAGCUAUGACCUUGCUUUAAGGUUCGAAUAGCCUAAUGCAACCUCCCAUUUCUCAAGUCAGCUGAUGAUGUAAGUCACCUUGGCUUUCCACAUUCAUACGGUGAGGACGUUUGUGGGUGUAAUUCUCUUAACAGUUUUCAUUUUAUAUGGAAAAAUUCAUAAUUAAGGGUAAUUACUGAUUCCAUUUGACAGUGACCAAGUUUAAAAUAUUAAUUCAUAUAUUAAAUGCACAUUAAAAAAUCAUGGAAUAAAUAUAUUUACUAAUAUAUAGUUCUUUUGCCAUGUUCUGUCACAGAAGCAUCGAACUUUCCCUAGAAAUUUUUGCAUGGUAUUCUACUUAUGAUUUUGAAAACUCUAGGCACCUGAGGCCACUAAUUGCAUGGUUGGAUGAGGAGCUGCAUGAGAUUAUGUAUCGUGUUGUUCCUUAACUACAAAUAUCAGUUUUAAGUAGCAUCUCCAUGUGACAUUUUCCUGAUGCAAUUUCGCUGUCCACCAACAAAUUUCACCAUGCAGCAAGAUGAAUUGUAAUUUCUUUAUUGUUAUCAACAGCUUUAAUUAAUCUUGAUAUAUAUAUAUAACUUAGUAGAAGUAUAUUAAUCUAGAUUGUAGUUGCACUAAGAUAAUAGGCAAUAUUAUAACAGUGCCACAAUGCUCAUCGCCAAAUAGAAAGGUAGAAAAACUACAAUGAGUAACUCACAACAUUCUCAAACAGGACAUAGCGGCGACUGAUACAUAGAACACUAUUGGCACUCAGGAAAUGAUAAGAUCAGUGCCCAGCAGGCAGCACGUCUUAUUUUACAUACUACUUAAAACUAACCAAAGUCAUUCAGUUGGGAUGGGUGGGAGAUGGUGGUUUGUGCGGUGGCUUUUGGGUAGUUGGUGGCUUCUUUCCUGGAACUGAUGGUUUUUUUGUUGGAGUUGAAGGAGGCUUAAUCGUCUGAGGUGGCUUGUAUGAGUCUUCAGCACUCUCUGCGGGAGGGUGCCCAGGGUUGUGACCAUAAUGGGGUGGCUUCUCUCCCUUAGUUGGUUUGCCAAGUGGGCUGGCUGGCUUGUGCUCCGGGAGCGGCUUCUCUCCCUUAGGUGGUUUGCCAAAUGGGCUUGCUGGCUUGUGCUCUGGGAGCGGCUUCUCUCCCUCAAGAAGUUUACGGGUUUUGUCAGAUGGCUUGUGUUCUGGUGGUGGCUUCUCUCCUUGGGGUGGUUUGCCAAAUGGACUUGGUGGCUUGUGUUCGGGGAGUGGCUCCUCUCCCUUGGGAGGUUUAGUUGGUGGCUGGUGUUCCAUAGGUGGUUUCUCAACCGGGGGCUUGUUCUCCGUUGGUGGUUUAUGAACUGGGGGAUGCUUGGGGUAGUCAGCAAGAGACGGGGUGGUGAGAACCACCAGUCCCAGCAGCAACACUAGCAAGUAUGUGGAAGAGUACAUCUUUGAGUUCAGGCUGAGAUUUGUGCGAGACUUGAAGAAUUAGGUGGCCUUUUAUAGCUGGCUGCACCCAACACUCACAUGACACGUAUCAUGGUGACACAUGUGCUAUGGGUCCAUUUGGGUCCUACAGAAGCUGAAAACUUUUGACUAUUGAGGUGUGGUCACAACUUUUGUCCCUAUUGCUUUCUCCGCAACCGUUUUACAUGUUUCCUUUGGCAUAAUUUUCUAAGCUAAACAAGCAUAUAUCAUAUUUGGUUAAGAAAGAGUAAAGUGUAUAUGGCACACAUCAAGGAAGAGAAACAGAAAAAGUGGGAGACAAUCAAUUGUGAUAAACAGAUAUAUUAUAUUCAUGUAGUACUAGUGACUUUAUCAUUUACUUUUAUCCAAUAGAUCAUCACUCUUUCUUCUAAAUAUUUUGGAGGAUAAUGGUACAUGUUGCUUGUUUCCAAGUCAAAAUUGGUGGCAAAAAUCGGCAUGAUACGAAAGGAUUGGUGAAAAGAUUCACAUAGAUGGUGCUUUGUGCAAUGCAGUCUUGCUCUAAUUCAACAGAGUGGACCAUGGUGAUGUAUUUUAAAUUUUAAAUUUUAAAUUAAUGCAUGCUUCAAAGUUUUAACUAGAUGUCACUUCCAUGGAUUUUUGUUCAUUUAAUUGAGCACAGGAUAGGCUAUCAAACUUGAAGUAAUAUAAAAAUCCCUUCAUUACUGUAACUAAUGAAAGAUCAUUAUCUGCGCUUGGUAUUUUGCCAAGGUAUUUGCUGCUCUUUCUAGCCCUGUCUUACAGUUAAGGACAAUGUGAUCUAGUUAACCUUAGAAGCUAUUCCAUGUCAGAUACAAGAGAUCAAGCACAUUAUCUUUGGGCUCAGUUCAAAACUAUAAUAUAUGGGUGGGGUGGAGGCCCAUAUCAUUUGCAUAUCACCACUAUUGGUUUAGUUUGGAAGGUUUCUUCUGGAAGAUUGCUGCUUUCUGGAAUCAUUUCAAAGAAAUAUAUCUUUUUGUUCUCUUGGUGACGAGCAGCGGCAAUCAAGUCUGUUGACAAACAACCGAGUUGAAAAGUUUGAAAAUUGGUCACAGCCCACGUCCAUGGUUAAGGAAAAGGUCACUGGAAGUGAUCCCUUCUGGGCCUCUUGAUUUCCAUUCUGACAUCUAUAUGACCUGAUAAAUAGAAAGAAAAAAAAACAGAAGAAAAGCGGCACCCGGGUUCAUAGUAAGCAUCAAGACAGGAUACUGAAAGAAGGGAGAAAGGAGAUUGCAAGUCCAAUCCUGAUAAAAUGAUCAACAAAGAGUAUCAAAAUGGGGCCAACAUAAAGACCCAUUGAGGUUAGCAGAUGGCAUGGCAUUUUUCUCCUUAAGUUUUCCAUGAUUAGACUUGAAGUCAAAAUUUCACAUGUAAAUUUGUAUUUCUACAUUUCCCACUGACGACACCCAACUUCAACUUGAGUUAGAAUAACAUUGUGUGAACUUAUCUGGCCCUCAAAAUUUACUGUGAAGUGCUUUCUGCGUGUGAAGAUUCAGAAAAGCACCAAGGGAACAUGUAUGGUCUGCCUUUUUCUGAUGUUAUGUUUGUCUCUAAUUCUGUUCCAUGUCAUGGUAAAUGUUCACAUUGCUUGUAUGGAACACACCAGGAUCACUUUUUCGGGUUUAUUUUGAGGCUUCAUAUUGGGUUCAUAUUGGGUUCAAUGCUUUUAAUGUGUUCAUUAGACAAAUCUGAAUUAUCAUAUGCAUUUAGAUAAGAACAAUAAUGUGAAACCCUAGUUACACCUCCCCUGCAUAACCCCAACCCUGCUUACUCUAUUUCAGUUUACUCACACAAGUUUUACCGGUUCUUAUAAGUCAAGAAAAGGCAACUGAUGUUGGAUUGACUCUCUUCCAUGUAUAAAAAGCAACUUUUAUAUAUACAUAAAAUAACUUCUUCCCCUCACCAAUGUGGGAUAUCAUGGAUUUAUUCUGGAAACACAUCAAAGGAACAUCUUUUCUCUUGGGUGACCCUAAGUGGUGAGUCAGACCAUUUGCAUGCCAUUGAGUUGCACAGUUGGAUAAAUGCACCUACCUCCUGGGCUCCAGAGUUAAAAGGGUGGAUCCCUGGAUCGCAACCCUCUUGGCAUCUUGGUUUCCAUUCCAACAUCCACAUGACUUGACAAAACAAAAAACAGAAUAAAAUCAUCACUAUUUUCAUGCUAAGCACCAAUACAUGAUGGAAAUCAUUGCUUAAAGAUUUGGGGUCAUUUAGGUUUUGACUGCCUCCUAACACCUCACCUAAUCACAAGUUUUUAUGCUUACAAAUCAAAUAUCGUUCUUCAUUAUAUUAAAAUCAUUUUAAGAUUUCAGAUCCAUCUGCUAAUUAUGAUUAUGAUAACAUUAAUUCACCUGUGCUUCUCAUUUUCGACACACAAGGCAUCUAGGUUUGCAGGAUUUCCUUAUUAGAUGAGAUAAAUGAGUACGCAUGGUUAUGUAUGCAGCAUUCAUUAACCAUGGUAUGUGACAUUUAGAAUUAAGAUAGCAAGCAAACUUUCCCUGCAGCUUGAGUAAAUUGUGAUUUCUUAGCCUCUAUGAGUGGUUCCCAAAUCAAAUUAACAUAGUGAAAUAUACGUAGUCCAGUGAAAGGAAAUGUAAAUUAUAAACUAACAGCACUACACUACUGGUAACACUCGAUACUCUCUAUAUAAUGCAAUGAAAUAUACGUUAUACGUUGCUUGUUCCAAGUCAAAAUUUGUGGCCAAACGUUGGCCUUUUUUCAUUUUCCCUAAGAUUAAUGCUCACCUGGGAUAGGCACUACAUGAUUUAUCUGCUCUUUUACUGUAAAGUUGCUUUGUGUAUGAGUUACACCUCCCCUGCACACCCUCAACAUUUGUUGCUCUGUUUUCCUUGUGUCCAGACGAGGAUAUUAAGUGGGGGCUGACAAAACGACUGCUAGCCAAGGAUUUACAAGGUCCUGGUUUGACGCUUCCGCGAAAGUAUUUUUGAAAAUAUACACAUAGAGAUUGCGCGUUCGGUGCAAUGCAACAAUGUGAGCCAUUCUGAAGUUUUUAAUUUCAGAUUAAUGAAUGCUACAAAAUUCUAAGAAGGGCCGUUUCCAAAUAUUUGAGUUCAUUUAUCCGAACAUCGGAUAAGUAAUGAUCAUAGAUUAUUAUUAUUAUCUGACGUUCUUAUAAUGGUUGGCAUUAUAAGAGGGUAUAUGCUUCUUUCUCUAGCCCCUCCUUCAAGGGAGGGACAAUGUGAUCUGUAUCGUUAGAAGCUAUUCCAUGUCGUCAUCUUUUGGCUUAAGUCAAUACUAAAAUAUAUGGGCGGGGCCCCUGUCAUUUUAUAUUUCUUCUAGAAGGUUUGUUCUGGAAAUCUUUCACCGAAACAUAUCUUUUUCUUCUCUACGUGAUCCGUGGUUGGAAAGUUAGAAAAAUGGGUCCGUUCACAAGCCACCGAGUUGAAAAGUUGGAAAAAUGGCAACACCGCCAACCUCUUGUAUUCGAUAGUUAAAUAAAAGGUCACUGGAAGUGAGAUCCCUUUUGGCCUCUUGAUUUUCAUCCCAGCAUCUCUAUGUCCUGAUAAACUAAAAAACUAAAAAAAAAACAGUACGUGGGUUGGUGUUAAGCAUCAAGAGUCAAGACAUGAUAAUGGAGAGAAAGGAUAUUCAAAUUCCAGUUCUGACAACAUGAUUUUCUUUCCUGAACAACCAUGUUAUAUUUGAUCAAGAAAGAGUAGUGCAUGUGGCCAGGAUCAAGACAUACAUUAAUUUCCACAUGAUGAAGACAGUUUCUGAGAGUUUCUUCUAAAGCUCUUGCGCUAGUAGGCUUCAAGUCAAAAUUUCCCAUGUAAACACUGGAUUUUCUUUAAUUGCCACUAAGGAUACAGUUAAAAUUGACUUAAAAUCCUACGUGAUAUAUAUCUUUAACAAAAGUAUAUUGUAUAUAAUAUUUGAAAUAAUGUUGAUUCGUUGUGGAAAUAUGUUUGUAAGGAAAGUUGUUGACAAUUUAAUAUAGUAUAAGAAGAAAAAAGUUAUCAACUAGAGAUGAGUAUGUAAAGUGAGGCUCACGAUUCAACGCGUAAAUAUAAGAUAUUUUAAGGCUCAAUAGUUAUGAUAUCUAUUUUAUUUUUUGUAUCCCAUAUAUUCAAAGAUACAGUAAAAUGAUUUUAUAUAUAUGAACAUAGCCGAUAGUAUCAUGUUAAAACCUUAUAUGACUCUUUGUGCCAAUUGAUUUUUAUCUUUAUUUUGUGUAUUAGUAAUUAGUAUUAAAGUUUUUACUAACAUAAUAAUUGAUAUAAAAGCUUUUUCCAAAAGAGUCAAACAGAGCAAAACACUUAUUAUAAAAAGAAUUUUGAUUGAAGGUGGAGUCAAUUAUUCUUUAUUCAACAUGUGAUGCAUACAGCGGGUACUUCAUAACUAAAGUAUAUAAGUGCAACAUCUCUUAUACAUUCUCAUUCAAUCUCGAAAGUGGAAAAUUUUAAAAGAUUAAAUGGUUCAAAUUUUCCGUGCAUAAAGGGGAUCAUGUCACAUAACCAAACCAUGGCAUACCAAAGCCAUGAUAUGGACUAAGAAUUUUGUUAAAAUAAGUUUCUUAUUAGGGCACAUUAUGUGACUAUUUAUGACAUAUCAAAGGAGUCAAGUGCAUCAAUAAAGACAUAGAAAAUUCAUGCAUCACAUGUACCACUAAGAGAAAAUUGACUUGAUAGAGUUUAGUCCAAAUAGGAGAUUGUUAAAAGGUGCAUCAAAUUCUUGAUUGAUAUAUAUUUUUUUUAUUAGAAAGGUUAUUAUAUAGAUAUUUCAAUAGACUAUUAAUCCUUUGUAAAAAUAGUUAUAUAAUGAGGAUGGUGAUUAAAAAUAUCUCUAUCAAUAUUUUGGAUUAUAAAAAGAAAAAAAAUAUGAGAAAAUGAUAAACAUAUAAAACUUGUACAAGUAGAUAGAGAUGUGAUGAAAGACACUUGAUGAAUGGAGGCCUUGUAUUUCAAGAUGUAAAUAUAUGGAGCAAAACUCUUAAUUAUAUGAUCAAAUGAUUCUCUCAUAUUCAUGAACAUAAGCAGGAUUGGGGAACCAUGAUAGAAUCUUAUAUGCCUCUCCAUGUAGAUUGAUCGAUGUUUAUCUUCAUAUUUUACACCAAUGAAUGACAUUGAAACUCUGAUUGAUAAAAGGGAAAAAGCAUGGCCUCCACCACAAGAAAAACAAGUAACCUCGGUCUAAAUCACUAGUCUACACCCCGAAGAGAGAACUAGCCAAACCUACUAAAAGAGAAACUUACCAAUUUAGAAAGAAAUCUUCCAUGAUAAAGGGCCCCUAAAAGUCCAAUUCAGUCAGGUUGUGAACAAAAACACCUUCAUGUCAAAACAGGAAUAGGUACCACCAAAAUGUAAAGGGAAAGAUGUAAACCAAGUCGAACUUUGGUAAACAAUGGUAAAGAUAGCAUGAUAGCUAAAAGCACUAAAGCUGUGCUUGGUAUGCAAAAAUGAAAAGUGGAAAUCAGCGUCUUAUUCUUUUUCUCCUUUAUUCACAUAUUAGGAUAACUAAUAUCUAAUGUUUUUUUUAUGUCUCAAAUUCUAUUCCAUGUUAUGGUAAACUUUCAUCUUGUUUAAGUGGAAGAGUAGGAUCACUUUUGUCUGGUUUGGGCUCAAGACGAUAAGCCUAUAGAGACUUCAUAUUGGGUUGAAUUGAUGCCCUUGAUCCGAUCAGUUCGUUAGAAAAAUCUGAAUUAUUAUAAGCAUUUAGAUAAAAUAAAUAAAUAAAUGUGAAACAGAGACUAUUCUCUGCACAACCUUGACCCUAGUUACUCAGUUUCACUGCUCACGGGACUAACCUCUCCAUUCAGUCGAAAUGAAUUGUAAUUUCUUUACUGGUAGCAGUAGUACUUUUCAUAGCAAAGAUAAUAGUAAAUAUGAAAUAUAAAUAUAUAGAAGGAAAUCUGGAUUGUAGAUAGCACCAUAAGUAACACUCAAUAUUUACUACAUAAUAAAAGAGAUAGUGUUACAAAGGUAGAGAAACCUACAAUGAGUACUCAUCACCAUUCUCAAACAGAAACAUAGCAGUGACUUAUACAUAGAACCUAUAGGCUCGCAGGGAAAGAGUAACAUGAUAAGUGCACAGCGGGUAGCAGCUCUUAUUUUACGUAUUACUCAAAAUCUCAAACUAACCAAAGUCACUCAGUUGGGAUGGGUAGGAGAUGGUGGUUUGUGGGGUGGCUUCUGGGUAGGAGCUGGUGGCUUCUUUGUUGGAGUUGAAGGAGGCGUAAUCUUCUGAGGUGGCUUGUAUGAGUCUUUGGCACUCUCUGCAGGAGGGUGCCCAGGGUUGUGACCGGAAGGAGGUGGCUUCUGUCCCUUUGGUGGUUUGCCUAAUGGGCUUGGUGGCUUGUGCUCCGGGAGUUGUUUCUCUCCCUCGAGUAGGUUUCGAGUUUUGUCAGAUGGCUUGUGUUCUGGUGGUGGCUUCUCUCCCUGGGGUGGUUUGCCGAAUGGGCUUGGUGGCUUGUGUUCGGGGAGUGGCUUCUCUCCCUUGGCAGGUUCAGUUGGUGGCUGGUGCUCCGUAGGUGGUUUCUUCACCGCCGGCUUCUCUCCCUGGAGAAGGUUACGAGUUUUGUCAGAUGGCUUCUGUUCUGGUGGCGGCUUCUCUCCCUGGGGUGGUUUGCCAAAUGGGCUUGGUGGCUUGUGUUCGGGAACUGGCUUCUCUCCCUUGGCAGGUUCAGUUAGUGGCUGGUGUUCCGUAGGUGGUUUCUUCACCGGCGGCUUGUGCUCCGGAAGCGGCUUCUCUACCUGGAGAAGCUUACGAGUUUUGUCAGAUGGCUUGUGUUGUGGUGGUGGCUUCUCUCCCUGGGGUGGUUUGCCAAAUGGACUUGGUGGCUUGUGUUCGGGGAGUGGCUUCUCUCCAUUGGGAGGUUUAGUUGGUGGUUGGUGUUCCGUAGGUGGUUUCUGAAGUGGGGGAUGCUUGGGGUAGUCAGCAAGAGACGAGGUAGUGAGAACCACCAGUCCCAGCAGCAAUACUAGCAAGGAUGUGGAAGACAUCUUUGAGUUCAGGCUGAGAUUUGUGCAAGGCUAGAAGAAUUAGGUGGCCUUUUAUAGCGGGCUGGACCCAACAACCAAAUGACACGUAUCAUGAUACACAUAUGUGUUAUAAGAUCCUUGUGGGUCCUACAGAAGUUGAAAACUUUGACAAUUGAGGUGUGAUUACAACUUUUGUCCCUAUUGCUUUCUCGUCAGCCGUUUUGCAAGAUUUUUGACAGGAGGACGGUAGUUUAAAAUAAUAAUUUCUAAAGUACUUUUGUGAAAAAAAAUAAUUCCAAACGUGGAUUUUAUCAAGUAAAAAAAACAAAAAAAAGUUAUUUUCUUUUAAAAUCUUUUCUUCAUGAUUCAUAUACCAAAAAAAGAAUUGUUUUCUGUAGGUAAAAUUUUUAAAAUUCAUUUUUAAAAAAAAAAAAUUACACACUAAAAUUAUCUCUUCAAGAAAAUAUUUUUUAAAUUUUAAAUAAUUAUUAAUUUAUAAUUAAUUUUUUAUUAAUUAUUUAUUAAAUUUAUAUGUGAAAAAUGCAUUUAUAAAAAACAAAUUUUUUAUUAAUUUAUUAAAUAAUUAUUUACAAAAUAAAUAAUUUUGCUUUAUUUUAAUUUUAAAAUUAAUUUUAUUAUAUAAAUUUUAAAAUUAAAAAUAUUAAUAUUUAAUUUAAAAUUUAACUAUAAAAGGAAUAAAAUAUAGAAAAAUAAAUUAAUUUAUUAUUCAAUAAAUUAAUUUUCAAUAAAAUUUUCAGCAUUAAGAGAUAAAUUUUUAAGUAUUAAUCAAUUUAAAAAAUAAUAAUAAUCAUUUGUAUACUAAGAUAUUUUAUUUAGUAAUUAUGAAUGAUAAACAACUAAAGUAAUUUGAAAAAAUAAUAAAAUAUUUAAAAAUAAUAAUUUAAUACACUUAAAAUUAGAAAUGAUUAACUAUUUUUUAUUAAGAAAAAAUUGAAGAAAUAUUUUGUUAUUUAAAAUUUUUUAUUUGUUUUCAAUUUUAAAUGUUAUAGGUUUCAAGAAAAUUGAUCAAAUAAAAAUUAAGAAGUCAUUUUUUCAAAAACUAUAUAUCUAAAUAAAAGCCUUGAAAUUCAAAUACACAAUAUCAUAAAUAUAAACACCAAGUCAAUCCUUAAUUAUCAAAUGUUUUUAAUAUUAAAGAAUCAAAAUCACCUACUAUCAUGAUAAUAAGAAAACCAAUAAUAUUGUUCAUAUAAAUACUAAAAAGCUAACAAAUAUCCCAAACAAUUAAUAAAGUAUCAAACAUGAUAAAAAGUCAAUUAUUAUCAUGAAUGCAAAAAAUCAAUAAUUUUGUUUAUAUGAACCAUCAACAAAGAAAAAAAAAAUCAAUAUCUAAAUAUUAAACAUAAUUUAUAUUUUUAUAAAUAUUAUUGUUGAUAAAUAUCUUAAUAAUUAUAAUUUUUUAUAUAUUAAAUUUAGUAAAUAAAAUUAAUUAAUUUUAUAAUAUAAGAUAUAUAUAAUAAUUAAGAGACUAUUUGUCCCAAACAAUUUAUUUAUUUUUUUUUUAGGAAAUUGUCUCUUCAAGAGACGACUUCUCCCAACAUUUUUAAAAAAAAAAAAAAAAACAUCUAUUCAAAAGACGAUUUCUCCUCAUUUUUUAAAAAUGAAUUUUAGAAAUCAUAUUUUCAAAAAUGAAUUUUAGAAAUCAUAUUUUCAAAAGACGAUUUUUUUUUAUAUAAAUUAUUUUUUAAAAUGACGAUUUUAAAAGGAAAUAACGAUCUCUCUCCUACUUGGCAAAAACUAUGGUAAAUUUGGAAUUAUUUCUUCCACAACCAUAGUUUAAGAAUUAUUUUUUUAUACUUUCGUAGACUUAUCAAAAAUCCCUAUUUUGCAUGUCUCAUUUGGCAUGACUUUCUUACCUAAACAAGCAUAUAUAUAUAUAUAUAUAUAUAUAUCACUUUUGUCUGGGUUGAGUCAAUGCCCUUAACUAAUUUGUUCAUUUGAAUAGUCUAAAUUAUUAUAAGCUUUUAGUUAAGAAAAAUGUGAAACAUAAAUUACACCUCUCGGCACAACUUCGACACUGGUUACUCUGUUUCAGUUUAUUCACACAAGAUUAUUGGUUCUAGGGUUUAUUUGGUUUUGGUUUGAUUCUAAUUGCUAAACUUUCUCAAGGAAGAUGUUAUAUAGGGAGUGAGAAACCUUCACUCCUGGCUACCUCCAAGAGAAGAGCAAGUGGUCUGAAUCAAAGAUAUACUGCUCACUUUUUCUUCUUCUAAGGACAGCUAUGACCUUGCUUUAAAAUGUUCGAAUAGCCUAAUGCAACCUCCCAUUUCUCAAGUCAGCUGAUGAUGUAAGUCACCUUGGCUUUCCACAUUCAUACGGUGAGGACGUUUGUGGGUGUAAUUCUCUUAACAGUUUUCAUUUUAUAUGGAAAAAUUCAUAAUUAAGGGUAAUUACUGAUUCCAUUUGACAGUGACCAAGUUUAAAAUAUUAACUCAUGUAUUAAAUGCACAUUAAAAAAUCAUGGAAUAAAUAUAUUUACUAAUAUAUAGUUCUUUUGUCAUGUUCUGUCACAGAAGCAUCGAACUUUCCCUAGAAAUUUUUGCAUGGUAUUCUGCUUAUGAUUUUGAAAACUCUAGGCACCUAAGGCCACUGAUUGCAUGGUUGGAUGAGGAGCUGCAUGAGAUUAUGUAUCCUGUUGCUCCUUAACUACAAAUAUCAGUUUUAAGUAGCAUCUCCAUGUGACAUUUUCCUGAUGCAAUUUCGCUGUCCACCAACAAAUGUCUCCAUGCAGCUAGAUGAAUUGUAAUUUCUUUGUUGUUAUCAACAGCUUUAAUUAAUCUUGAUAUAUAUAUAACUUAGUAGAAGUAAUUAAUCUAGAUUGUAGUUGCACUAAGAUAAUAGGCAAUAUUAUAACAGUGCCACAAUGCUCAUCGCCAAAUAGAAAGGUAGAAAAACUACAAUGAGUAACUCACACAACAUUCUCAAACAGGACAUAGCGGCGACUGAUACAUAGAACACUAUUGGCACUCAGGAAAUGAUAAGAUCAGUGCCCAGCAGGCAGCACGUCUUAUUUUACAUACUACUUAAAACUAACCAAAGUCAUUCAGUUGGGAUGGGUGGGAGAUGGUGGUUUGUGCGGUGGCUUCUUUCCUGGAACUGGUGGUUUUUUUGUUGGAGUUGAAGGAGGCUUAAUCGUCUGAGGUGGCUUGUAUGAGUCUUCAGCACUCUCUGCAAGAGGGUGCCCAGGGUUGUGACCAUAAUGAGGUGGCUUCUCUCCCUUAGGUGGUUUGCCAAGUGGGCUGGCUGGCUUGUGCUCCGGGAGCGGCUUCUCUCCCUUAGGUGGUUUGCCAAAUGGGCUUGCUGGCUUGUGCUCUGGGAGCGGCUUCUCUCCCCCAAGAAGUUUGCGGGUUUUGUCAGAUGGCUUGUGUUCUGGUGGUGGCUUCUCUCCUUGGGGUGGUUUGCCAAAUGGACUUGGUGGCUUGUGUUCGGGGAGUGGCUCCUCUCCCUUGGGAGGUUUAGUUGGUGGCUGGUGUUCCGUAGGUGGUUUCUCAACCGGGGGCUGGUGCUCCGUAGGUGGUUUAUGAACUGGGGGAUGCUUGGGGUAGUCAGCAAGAGACGGGGUGGUGAGAACCACCAGUCCCAGCAGCAACACUAGCAAGUAUGUGGAUGACAUCUUUGAGUUCAGGCUGAGAUUUGUGCAAGACUAGAAGAAUUAGGUGGCCUUUUAUAGCUGGCUGCACCCAACACUCACAUGACACGUAUCACGGUGACACAUGUGCUAUGGGAUCCAUUUGGGUCCUACAGAAGUUGAAAACUUUUGACUAUUGAGGUGUGAUCACAACUUUUGUCCCUAUUGCUUUCUCCGCAACCGUUUUACAUGUUUCCUUUGUGGUGUUUAAUAGUGUUUUUUUCCUUAAUUCUAAAUAAACCUUAAUACUUAAUAAUGUUAAAUAUUAGGUUAUUUAUUUUUAUAAUAUUUUAUUUAUAUUAAGUAUUAAAAAGUAAAGAAAAAUCAAUAUAUUUAUUUUUCUAUUUAGAAAAAACUAUAUAUUUUUAAUUUUUUUAUUUAAUAAAAAAUUUAUAAUAAAUCAUGAAAAAAUAGAAAAACAAACAACCUAAAUUUUAAAAAUAAAUUGUUUUUAGUAAAAACCCAAAAAAACAAACACCACCUUAACUAAACAAAUAUAUAUUAUAUUUAGUUAAGAAAGAGUAAAGUGUAUAUGGCUCAAAUCAAGGAAGAGAAACAGAAUAAGUGGAAGACAAUCAAUUGUGAUAAACAGAUAUAUUACAUGCAUGUAGUACUAGUGACUUUAUCAUUUACUUUUAUACAAUAGAUCAUCACACUCUUUCUUCUAAAUAUUUUGGAGGAUAAUGGUACAUGUUGCUUGUUGCCAAGUCAAAAUUGGUGGCAAAAAUCGGCAUGAUACGAAAGGAUUGGUGAAAAGAUUCACAUAGAUGGUGCUUUGUGCAAUGCAGUCUUGCUCUAAUUCAACAGAGUGGACCAUGGUGAUGUAUUUUAAAUUUUAAAUUUUAAAUUAAUGCAUGCUUCAAAGUUUUAACUAGAUGUCACUUCCAUGGAUUUUUGUUCAUUUAAUUGAGAACAGGAUAGGCUAUCAAACUUGAAGUAAUAUAAAAAUCCCUUCAUUACUGUAACUAAUGAAAGAUCAUUAUCUGCGCUUGGUAUUUUGCCAAGGUAUUUGCUGCUCUUUCUAGCCCUAUCUUACAGUUAAGGACAAUGUGAUCUAGUUAACCUUAGAAGCUAUUCCAUGUCAUAUACAAGAGAUCAAGCACAUUAUCUUUGGGCUCAGUUCAAAACUAUAAUAUAUGGGUGGGGUGGGGGCCUAUACCAUUUGCAUAUCACCACUAUUGGUUUAGUUUGGAAGGUUUCUUCUGGAAGAUUGCUUUCUGGAAACAUUUCAAAGAAAUAUAUCUUUUUGUUCUCUUGGUGACGAGCAGCGGCAAUCAAGUCUGUUGACAAACAACCGAGUUGAAAAGUUUGAAAAUUGGUCACAGCCCACGUCCAUGGUUAAGGAAAAGGUCACUGGAAGUGAUCCCUUCUGGGCCUGUUGGAAGCAGGGGAGGUUAACACACCAAGCAACAAAGAACAGAGAUAUGCUGCUACUGAUCUAUAUUUUUUAUUUGAUCAUAAGGCUAAAUUUAUACAGAUUGUGUAACAGAUAUGACCUCAAAAAAAAGCAUCAAAUCAAGCUACUUGUUGAACAAACAACUACCUUCUACAAAAUAACAUCAAAAUUUAACUUAAAAGCAAAAACAUAAAAAUAGCAACAGCAAAAAUAGAAACAUAAAAAUAGCUUCAGCAUUCUAGUAAUCUCGUUGACUUCAAUUGCAUGUGGUUGACGAUUUCAGCCUUUUCCUCAGCAGCUACUAAGGCAUAACUCUCAACACUCCUCCUUGACUUAGGAGGUGCAAACUCCAAGUCUUUCUCAUAGAAACUCAAAUCUUAUUUUAGGAAGAGCUUUAGUCAGAAUAUCUACAUUUUGACUGUCUGUAUUGCAGUAGACUAGUUGUAUAUCUCCUUCUUUCUGUACUUCCCUCAAAAAUUACAAUUUAAUCUUGAAGUGCUUUGUUUUACCAUGAAAAACUGGAUCAUUUGCAAUAGAUAUAGUGGCCUGGUUGUCUACAAACACCUUUGUACUCACUUCUUGCUUCAUAUCCAAAUCUGUCAGCAACUUUCCAAGCCAUAAGGCUUGAUUUACAGCUGUAACAGCAGCAAUAUACUCUGCCUCAGCUGUGGAUUGAGCCACGACUUCUUGCUUCCUUGAACUCCAUGAAAAAACACCAGAACCAAAACUAAAACAAUAGCCUGAAGUACUUCUCAUAUCGUCAACACAACCAGCCCAAUCACUAUCAGAAAAUCCAUGAAAAUUGAAACUUUGAACUUGACUGAACUUAAUGCCAUAAUCCACAGUGCCUUUAACAUUUCUUAUCACACGCUUUGCUGCCUGGAAAUGAAUUUCACUAGCACAAUGCAUGUAUCUCGAAAGUAGACUUACAGCAUGCAUUAUAUCGAGUCUUGUUGCAGUCAAGUACAUUAAGCAUCCAAUCAUGCUUCGAUAAAGUCCUUCAUCUACCUUUUUAGCACCGUCCUCCUUACAGAACUUCUCUUUCUGGUUCAUAGGGGUAGAUGUAGGUUUGCAUUCCUCCAUUUUGAAUUUCUUCAUAAUUUCUUUGGCAUAUUUUUGUUGGCAGAUGAAAAUCUCAUUCUGCUUCUGGUGUACUUCCAUUCCCAAGAAGUAAGACAUCUCAUCUAGGUCUGUCAUCUCAAAAACCUGCUCCAUUUCAGCCUUGAAUUUGUUCACAAACCCUGCAUUACUUCCUGUUACAAGCAAAUCAUCAACAUAUAGAGAAACAAUUAAUAUAUCUUCUUCAAUCUUCUUAAUGUAGAGUGUAAAUUCACUCAAGCUCUUGUGAAAGCCUAAAGUUAGCAGGUGAGUGUCAAUCCUGCUGUACCAAGCUCUAGGGGCUUGUCUUAACCCAUACAAGGCCUUCUUAAGAAGGUAUACUUUUUCUUCUUUUCCUUUGAUAGCAAAACCUUCUGGUUGUUCGACAAAAAUCUCUUCCUCUAAGUAGCCAUUCAAAAAUGCUGACUUCACAUCUAGUUGAUAAAUCUUCCAUUUUCUUUGAGCUACAAGAGCCAACAACAUCCUGAUUGUAUCCAAACGAGCUACUGGUGCAAAGGUUUCCGAAAAGUCAACACCAAACAUUUGUGCAUACCCUUUGACAACCAGCCUUGCUUUAUGUUUGUUUAUAGAACCAUCAGAGUUGAGUUUGGUUCUGUAAACCCACUUAACCCCAAUAGGUUUUUUGUGUGAAGGUCUAUCUACUAGCUCCCAAGUGUUGUUCUUGUCAAUCAUAUCUAGCUCCUCCUGCAUUGCAACCCUCCAUCUUUUAUUUUCAGCAGCUUCAACAAACCCUGCAAGUUCAAGAACAGCUAUAUUACACCUUUGAUAAAUAUCAAAAAGUGUCAUGAAACCUCUAACUGGAAGUUCAUCAACAUCUUCAUCAAUAUAUUGCUGAUUCUGCUCAUCCCAACUCCAUUUCUCCGUUUCCAAAAACUUAACAUCUCUACUUACCACAAUUUUACUAUUUUGUGGCAAGUAGAUUCUGUAAGCUUUUGAGGUGCUGUUGUAUCCAAUGAAAAUUCCUGGUUCUGACUUUUUAUCUAGCUUGUCUCUUUUCACCUGAGGAACAUAAGAGAAACACAAGCAACCAAAGGUCUUUAAAUUCAUUAGCAUAGGCUUAUAAGCAAACCAGGCCUCAAAAGGUGUCUGUUUCUGCAAUGCUUUUGUUGGUAGUCUAUUUAGCAAAAAUACUACUGUAUUUGCAGCUUCAACCCAAAAACUUUUUGGCAGCUCUUUCUCAUGCAAAAGACAUCUUGUCAUUGAUUACUACUCAAAAAGUGCUAUUUGAUAGCCUUUAAUUAAUCCUUUUUAACACUUUUGAGUAGUAGUUUAGGCCUUUUAACUCAAUUGGCAUGUUAAGGAUCCUUUAAAGCAAUUUUGAUCACUUUGUGCAAGUUUUGGUGUUUUUGUUAGUAUUUCGAUCACCAAAGCAAGUCAAGAAUGAGGAGAGCUAUGAGGAAUCUUGGGCAAAGCUUAGAAUUCAAUUGCCAAGAGUGAAUCCGGAUUGCAAGGAGAAAAAGCAAAGAGGAUCAGUCAUGGAGCAUAUUCUUGAUGACAGUCGUAGCAGCCACUUUUGGAUCACUUUCUGAAGUCCAAAUGAUGCAAGCUAUAUACCAUUUCAAAGCUCAGGAAGUCAACAAUCCAAUGCUUCAAACGGUGUGCGAUUCGGAAUUGAAACGAAGAAGUUGCAGCCAUUACAAGCCAGACACUCUAAAGUGUUGCGGAAUCAGCCAUGUGUUGCGAGAAUUUCGCAGCACUUUUGUACAGUAAGGUGUUUCUCCUUCUAACGAUGCACGAACCAUGCCGCGAGAAGGGAGCUGGAAACUUCAAGAUGGAAGCCAACUUUGCAGCCUAGUGAAGAUAGCUCGGUCUUGCAAGAUAAUUUCGCAGCCCUCUUGGGUGUCUGCGAAAUUUCGCAGGCCUCAUUUUUCACCUGCGAAAUGGCUCUUGAAGCCUCCCGAAGCUUGCUACCGACAUUGGGAGAUAUUUUCCAUUAGAUUUUUGUUGUCUAAAUCCCAAAAUACUCCUUGUAAACCACCAAUUACAUGAUUCCUUAGUUUUUAAGUUAGUAAAAAGACCAAAUAUCUUUGUAACAAUUAGUUUUAUAUUUUGUUGUUAUAAAUACCUCUCGGGAGCCUGUUCUCAGGGAGGAGUUCCUUCUGUAAACGUUUGGUAAGCAAGUAAAGUCUAUUUUCUUUCUACUGCCUUACCUUCUCACUUUGUAUUUUCAUUUUAUUUCUAAGUUAUGAAUUCUCUGAGGAGUUUUCCCCAAAGAAUGAGUAACUAAACCUCCAAUUCCUUGGAGCUAAGGUUGCCGGGGAAGGUUCCAAGUGCAAGAAUGCAAAGCUCUGUGGUUUUAGCUAGUAAUGAAGAGGAAGUGAAAUCCUUUAGUGAUUUCAAUGUUUUUAGUUAACUUAAAACACUUUGGAGUCACCUGGGCCAACACUUGGUAAGGCAAGUGAUUUCCAACCAUGGAAAUGCACUAGUUUACCCCUUGCGAGCCUCUGGUAGGUGACUUCAAGGUAGGAUUUUCUGGAAUUACCAACACUUGGUAAGCUUUUGGACUCCUAGGAGACAUCCAUUAGUUAUCUCUUGCGAGUUUGUGAAGGGAAUCCAAGGUUAAAGAUCACCUUGAAUGGUAAGUGCUCGUGAGAGGCAUGAACCAUUGCAAGUUGUAUCAGUGAGAGAAUUAAAGUGAAAUCUAAUUGAAGGAGUCUUUGUACAUCACCGGUUAGAGAAUUGACUAUAAGUUGAAUCUCUAAUGCGAGGAAAUGAACCAACUGACCAGAGCCGUGUCUUUUGCAUGAGGAACCACCCCAGUGAACCUAAAUCUCCAAGGAAUGUUUUUUUCUUCCUAAAUUAUUCCAAACUUCUGUUAAGUUAGUUAGUUUAAAUCUCAACCUUUACAAAUCAAAGUUUGUGUUUUAUUCCUUAAGCUAACCGUGAAAUGAAACAAGACCAAUUCACUUGGAAUUGGUAUCAUUGAUUGCCUGCAAAUCAUUCCCAGUGAACGAUCCUAGAGCCACUAUACUAUAGUAGCUUUGUAUUUGCUACCCUAGUGUAUGGUGUUAUAGGUAUAAAUUUUGUUGAUCACUUCCUCAAUCAAGGAGCACCAGCUGAACACAAAUCAGCUGAGACACCAAUUAGGCAUGAGUCAAAUGGCGCCGUUGCCGGGGAAUGAAUGUCAAGUUCAUUGUGAUACCAUUGUUGAGCACUUGUGAUUUUCAUCACAAGUUGGUAAAGUUUCUUUCACUUUACUAAUUUUCAUUCUUUCUUUGUUUAUUUACAAUCUAAGUUUAUCUUUUUAAAUUUUAGUCUAGUUUAAUUUUGUUGUUGUAGCCCUGUUUUUCUUGUUGUCCUCUGUUUUCAUUUUUUUUUUCAGGUAGAUACUAGUUGUGUAUGCCCAAGUGGAUACGAGACAUAGGAGGUAGGCUUGUUAAGUGUGAUACACCUCAGAAAGGAGAAUUUGAAGUAAUCUUGAAUAUCAUGGAGGCUGCACCUGAAGAUCAGCAUAGUCACCAAGGUCGUCAAGACAAUCUCAAUGAAUUCAGAUCAAUGAGGGACCGUAUGCAUCCACCUCGUAUGAGUACACCAUCAUGUAUAGUGCCCCCUACAGAGCAGCUAGUGAUCAGACCAUAUCUUGUUCCACUUCUACCAACUUUCCAUGGGAUGGAAAGUGAGAAUCCGUAUGCACACAUCAAGGAAUUUGAAGAUGUUUGUAAUACAUUCCAAGAAGGAGGAGCUUCAAUUGACUUGAUGAGGCUUAAGUUAUUUCCUUUUACUUUAAAGGAUAAGGCCAAAAUUUGGCUUAAUUCUUUAAGGCCAAGGAGUAUCCGCUCUUGGACUGAUUUACAAGCUGAGUUCCUUAAGAAAUUUUUUCCUACUCAUAGAACAAAUGGCUUGAAAAGGCAAAUUUCAAACUUCUCAGCUAAAGAGAAUGAGAAAUUCUAUGAGUGUUGGGAAAGAUACAUGGAAGCUAUAAAUGCUUGUCCUCACCAUGGCUUUGAUACUUGGCUAUUGGUGAGCUAUUUUUAUGAUGGUAUGUCCUCCUCAAUGAAGCAACUCCUCGAGACAAUGUGUGGAGGAGAUUUCAUGAGCAAAAAUCCAGAGGAAGCUAUGGAUUUCUUGAGCUAUGUAGCUGAUGUUUCAAGGGGAUGGGAUGAACCAACUAAAGGAGAAGUGGGAAAGAUGAAGUCUCAGUUGAAUGCUUACAAUGCAAAGGCUGGGAUGUAUAAUUUGAAAGAAGAUGAUGACAUGAAAGCAAAGUUGGCAGCUAUGACAAGAAGAUUGGAGGAGCUGGAGCUGAAAAGAAUGCAUGAAGUGCAAGCUGUUGCUGAAGCACCAGUGCAAGUGAAGCUGUGUCCCAAUUGUCAAUCAUUUGAACAUUUGGUGGAGGAGUGCCCUGCAAUUUCAGUUGAAAGGGAAAUGUAUAGAGAUCAAGCAAAUGUUGUUGGACAAUUUAGGCCCAAUAACAAUGCUCCUUAUGGAAAUACCUACAAUUCAAGUUGGAGGAAUCAUCCAAAUUUCUCAUAGAAGGCCAGAGCAACUCAAUACCAACAGCCGGAUCCACCAUCUCAGCAAUCUUCAAGUAUUGAACAAAUAAUAGCCAAUCUCAGCAAGGUAGUGGGAGAUUUUGUGGGAAAGCAAGAAGCCACCAAUGCUCGAGUUGAUCAAAGAAUGGAUAGAAUGGAGAGUGUGUUGAACAAAAGAAUGGAUGGAAUGCAAAAUGAUAUGAACCAAAAGUUUGAUAACAUCCAAUAUUCAAUUUCAAGGCUUACAAAUUUGAAUACACUGCAAGAAAAAGGAAGAUUUCCUUCUCAACCUAACCAAAAUCCCAAAGGUGUCCAUGAAGUGGAAAGCCAUGAGGGAGAAUCAUCACAGGUGAAAGAUGUGAAAGCUUUGAUCACUCUAAGGAGUGGUAAGAAAAUUGAGCAGCCAACACCCAUGCCACAUGUUGAGAAAGAAGAAGGGAUAAAGAAAGGAAAGGAAAUAGAAGAUAAAGACAGUGAGAUCAGUGAAGAAAAGAAGGACUCUGAUUCAACAAUCAAAGCAAUUCCAGAGAAAGAGCUUCUGAAGGAAGAAAUGCUGAAGAAAUCAACUUUUCCACCUUUUCCUCAAGCAUUACAGGGGAAAAAGGGGGUUAGAAAUGCAGCUGAAAUCCUUGAAGUCUUAAGACAAGUAAAAGUUAAUAUUCCACUGCUGGAUAUGAUCAAACAAGUUCCAACGUAUGCAAAAUUCCUAAAGGACUUGUGUACUAUCAAAAGAGGGGUUGACUGUAAACAAGAAAGCCUUCUUGACUGAGCAAGUAAGUGCAAUCUUACAAUGCAAGUCUCCUUUGAAGUACAAAGACCCUGGAAGUCCUACCAUUUCAGUCAUGAUUGGAGGAAAGGUAGUGGAGAAAGCCUUGCUAGACUUGGGAGCAAGUGUGAAUUUGCUUCCAUACUCUGUCUACAAGCAACUGGGACUUGGAGAGUUGAAGCCAACAGCAAUCACUUUAUCUUUGGCAGAUAGAUCAGUGAAAAUUCCAAGAGGAGUAAUUGAGGAUGUAUUGGUUCAAGUGGAUAAUUUCUACUAUCCAGUAGAUUUUGUUGUUCUUGAUACUGAUCCAACUGUAAAGGAAGCUAAUUUAGUUCCUAUCAUCCUUGGAAGGCCAUUUCUUGCAACUUCAAAUGCAAUCAUCAACUGUAGAAAUGGGCUUAUGCAACUCACUUUUGGUAACAUGACACUGGAUCUCAAUAUUUUCUAUAUGUCUAAAAAGCAAAUCACUCCUGAGGAAGAAGAAGGUCCAGAAGAGCUAUGUAUUAUUGAUACUUUGGUGGAGGAGCACUGCAAUCAGCAUAUGCAAGAUAAGUUGAAUGAAAGUCUUGUGGAUAUUGAGGAAGGUUUUUCUGAAUCUCCUAUUGGGCUUGCUACUCUACAAAGUUGGAGAAAGAUAGAAGGAAUUCUACCUUUGUUCAAUGAAAAAGAGGAGGCAACUGUUGAAGAAGAAAUUCCAAAACUCAAUUUGAAGCCUUUACCUGUGGAGCUGAAAUAUACAUAUCUUGAAGCAAAUAAUCAAUGUCCUGUUGUGAUAUCCUCAUCUCUGACCAGUCAUCAAGAGAAUUGUUUAAUGGAAGUUCUCAUGAGGUGUAAGAAGGCAAUAGGAUGGCAAAUAUCUGACUUGAAAGGCAUUAGUCCUUUAGUUUGUACUCAUCAUAUAUAUAUGGAGGAGGAAGCAAAGCCAAUUCGUCAAUUUCAAAGAAGGUUGAAUCCUCAUCUACAAGAGGUGGUGCGAGCUGAGGUGCUGAAGCUACUUCAAGCAGGAAUCAUUUACCCUAUUUCUGAUAGCCCUUGGGUGAGUCCUACUCAAGUGGUACCAAAGAAGUCAGGGAUCACAGUGAUUCAAAAUGAAAAAGGGGAAGAAAUUACUACACGCCUCACUUCAGGUUGGAGGGUGUGUAUUGAUUAUAGAAAGCUGAAUGCUGUCACCAGGAAGGAUCAUUUUCCAUUGCCAUUUAUUGAUCAAGUGCUGGAGAGAGUCUCUGGACAUCCAUUUUAUUGUUUCUUGGAUGGGUAUUCAGGCUAUUUUCAAAUUGAAAUUGAUUUGGCAGAUCAGGAAAAGACCACUUUUACAUGUCCAUUUGGAACAUUUGCUUAUAGAAGAAUGCCUUUUGGUUUAUGCAAUGCACCUGCUACAUUUCAAAGAUGUAUGUUGAGUAUUUUCAGUGAUAUGGUGGAGAGAAUUAUGGAGGUUUUCAUGGAUGACAUCACCGUAUAUGGAGGUACAUUUGAGGAGUGCUUGGUUAAUUUGGAAGCAGUUCUUCAUAGAUGCAUUGAAAAAGAUUUGGUGCUGAACUGGGAGAAAUGCCAUUUUAUGGUACGUCAAGGAAUUGUCCUUGGCCAUAUCAUCUCUGAAAGAGGCAUUGAAGUUGAUAAAGCAAAGGUGGAGCUUAUUGCCAAAUUACCAUCUCCAACAACUGUGAAAGGAGUAAGACAGUUCCUUGGCCAUGCAGGGUUCUAUAGGAGGUUUAUAAAAGGUUUUUCAAGUCUUUCAAAACCUCUUUGUGAGCUGUUAGCUAAGGAUGCUAAGUUUAUAUGGGAUGAAAGGUGUCAGCAUAGCUUUGAUCAACUGAAGAAGUUUUUAACAACAACUCCAAUAGUGAGAGCCCCUAACUGGCAAUUACCUUUUGAACUGAUGUGUGAUGCCAGUGACUUUGCUAUAGGAGCUGUGCUUGGCCAAAGAGAAGAUGGGAAGCCCUAUGUGAUUUACUAUGCAAGUAAAACACUAAAUGAAGCUCAGAGGAACUACACAACUACAGAGAAAGAAUUGUUAGCUGUGGUAUUUGCUUUGGACAAAUUUCGAGCUUAUUUAGUGGGGUCUUUCAUCAUUGUCUUCACUGACCAUUCAGCCUUGAAGUAUUUAUUGACAAAGCAAGAUGCAAAAGCAAGGUUGAUUAGAUGGAUUCUAUUGUUACAAGAGUUCGAUCUUCAAAUCAAAGAUAAGAAAGGAGUGGAGAAUGUAGUAGCUGACCACUUGUCAAGGUUAGUUAUAGCACAUAAUUCCCAUCCCUUGCCUAUCAAUGAUGAUUUUCCUGAAGAAUCACUCAUGUUCCUAGUGAAAACUCCUUGGUAUGCUCAUAUUGCUAAUUAUUUAGUAACUGGGGAAAUUCCAAGUGAGUGGAAUGCACAGGACAGGAAGCACUUCUUUGCCAAAAUUCAUGCUUAUUAUUGGGAAGAGCCCUUUCUCUUUAAGUAUUGUGCAGAUCAGAUUAUUAGGAAGUGUGUCCCUGAAGAUGAGCAGCAAGGGAUUCUAUCUCAGUGUCAUGAGAAUGCAUGUGGAGGCCACUUUGCCUCUCAGAAAACAGCCAUGAAGGUAUUACAAUCAGGGUUUACUUGGCCAUCUCUUUUCAAAGAUGCCCACAUCAUGUGUAGAAAUUGUGAUAGAUGCCAAAGGCUUGGAAAGCUAACAAAAAGAAAUCAAAUGCCUAUGAACCCCAUUCUGAUAGUUGAGAUAUUUGAUGUUUAGGGCAUUGACUUCAUGGGACCUUUCCCAAUGUCUUUUGGUAAUUCUUACAUUUUGGUGGGGGUAAAUUAUGUUUCUAAAUGGGUUGAGGCAAUCCCCUGUAAGCAAAAUGAUCACAGGGUGGUUCUCAAGUUUCUUAAAGAGAACAUUUUCUCAAGAUUUGGGGUGCCCAAGGCCAUAAUCAGUGAUGGAGGAGCUCAUUUUUGCAACAAACCUUUUGAAGCUCUGUUAUCCAAGUAUGGAGUGAAGCAUAAGGUAGCCACACCUUAUCAUCCUCAGACAUCCGGGCAAGUUGAGCUAGCUAACAGGGAAAUAAAGAACAUUUUGAUGAAAGUGGUGAAUUCCAACAGAAAAGAUUGGUCUAUUAGGCUUCAUGAUUCAUUGUGGGCAUAUAGAACAGCUUAUAAAACUAUUCUUGGGAUGUCUCCCUAUCGUCUUGUCUAUGGCAAAGCAUGCCAUCUCCCUGUGGAAGUUGAAUACAAAGCUUGGUGGGCAAUAAAGAAGCUGAAUAUGGACUUGAUCAAGGCCGGAGAAAAGAGAUUUCUAGACCUUAAUGAGAUGGAGGAAUUAAGAAAUAAUGCUUAUAUCAAUUCCAAAGUUGCAAAACAGAGGAUGAAGAAGUGGCAUGAUCAACUCAUCUCCAACAAGGAAUUUCAGGAAGGGCAAAAAGUUUUGAUGUAUGACACAAGACUCCAUAUCUUUCCUGGGAAGCUCAAAUCAAGGUGGAUUGGUCCAUUUGUUAUUCACCGAGUAUAUUCCAAUGGAGUGGUGGACUUAUUGAAUUCCAAUGGCAAGGAUAGCUUUAAAGUCAAUGGAUAUCGUCUCAAGCCGUUCAUGGAGUCAUUCAAAUCAGAAAAGGAGGCAAUCAACCUCCUUGAACCUCAAAAAGCCUAAGUGAAAAGGGUUUGCUGGACGUGGCUUUACCACAGUCCAAAAUUUUUGUAAAUUUUGUAAAUUUUCAAGUUGUUUCUAUACUUUUGAUUUUAGUUUUUGAUCUUAAAUCAUGUUUUUAGGUGUGUUUUAAUCGUUUUAAAUGAUCCCAGGUGGAAGAAAUUUCAAGGGGAUUGAAAGAAAAAAAAUCGGGUCGAAAUUGGAGCCGAAACAGAGCAAAAACAGGGGAAAAACAGAGCUCUGCGAAAUUUCGCAGGGUGAAGGAAACCUCUGCGAAAUGAGCAUUUUGUUGCGAAACCAUUCCGCAGCACUGUAGAAGCCUCUGCGAGUGUAUUUCGCAGCUGCGAAAGUGAAUUUGGCACACGAGUGCCACUUCGCAGUACAGUAGCAUCCAUUUGGCAGCUGCGAAACUCAUUGCGAAAUGGAAAAGCGUGAUUUCGCACCAAAAGUCCCAUUCCGCAGGGUAUUUCGCAAUUGCGAAAGUGGUUUUGGCACACGAGUGCCACUCCGCAGCACAGUAACAUCAAUUUCGCAGCUGCGAAACUCACUGCGAAGUUGCUGCGAAAAUGGCAAGUUGCUGCGAAAUUGGCGUUUAGUUGCGAAACUUAAACUGACCCCUGAGCUUCCGUUUUUCCUAUUUAUACCGGUCAAAAGUGCUGCGAAAAGGGUUUCAAAAAUCAGAGCACCAUUCUCGCAGCCCCUUCAUCUUCUUCGCCAAGCCACGCCGUCCGAACCUCCGGUCGUCUUCUCCGUUUAGCAGCGCCGGCCAAAGAUCGAUAUUCCAAAAUGGCACGAACGCGAGGGGCAAAAUCUUCAUCCCCUUCGAAUCGCAAAAGGAGUCUGCGAAAGGAGCCAAGUCCAGGUUCUGCUCCAGAACCUGCUCCAAAGCCUUCGCCGUCGAGACCACAACCUUCUCCAGUGAAGCCGGCGCCACUAAAGCCGCCGGCAAGACGAUAUUUGACAAGGUCAGGCGGUUGGCCAUUGAAGAAGAAGCCCAGGGUUGAGAGCUCUGAACCAAUUGAUUUGACUGAGCAAUCCCCUGAGCAGUCCCCAAAUCCUUCACCAGUUCAAACUCCAGUGCCGUCACCGGUUCCCUCGCCAAUUCCCUCACCUGAAGCAACUCCAAUUCCAUCGUCGGUACCAUCUCCGGCACCCCAAGAAAAAGCUCAGGAGCCUCAAGCGCCAAUUCCAGAGCCCCAAAUUGCAGCUGAAGCACCUCUGGAAGAAGUGAUCCGAAGGCCAAUGCUGCCCCAGCCCCCAAUCGAAGGAAACUUGGAUUGUCGAACACGGGCAUUCCAUUCUGAGCUUUGCUUCGAUUUAACAGCAUUCAGAGUGAGGCCAGAGCUUGCCCAAUCCUUCCAGCUGCUGAGGAGAUAUCAUAUGGAGCAUCUGCUAGCUCCAAGGGAUUUUUUCUAUCCCCGGGUAGUCACGGACUUCUACCAGACCAUGACAACCAAAGAAGUAAGAAAUCCAACUCUGAUCCAUUUCAUAAUUGAUGGAAGGCAUGGUAUUUUGGGAGCAAGACACAUUGCUGAAGCUCUGCAAAUUCCUUUUGAGCCAACCCAAUUCGACAAUUUUAAAGCUUGGGUAAAUCCUACUGAGUUAGAGAUGGUUCGCACACUAACCAGAGGAGCUGCAAAUCGAUCACACCUGUUGAGGGGGGAGCUACCUCCAGUGAUGUUUUUGAUUGAUGCCUUUUUGAGGCAUAAUAUCUAUCCCCUGCAGCAUUGGACCCAAAGAAGGGGAAUUCUCCUGGAAGCUUUGUACAAGAUGUCAGAAGGAUUCUUCUUUGGGCCCCAUCAUCUUAUCAUGGCAGCCCUUCUAUACUUUGAGGAAAAGGUUCACAAGAAGAAACUUCAAAGAGCAGAUUGCAUUCCACUCCUCUUCCCAAGGCUGCUAUGCCAAGUUUUGGAGCAUCUCGGAUACCCCUCUGAGCCUCAGCAGGAAAGAAAGAGAAUAUGCCGUGAGCCAUUUACUCUUGAUAAAUGGAAUAAUAUGACGGCCUACAAAAUUGAUCAGCCUGGGCAGCCUCAGCCAGCAGCAAGGAGAGCCUCCCCAAGACAUGCACCUGAAGGUAUAACACUUGCUACUCCUGCCAUCCCUCGAGCUUCACCAGCUGCACCUGCUGCAUCACAGCCAUCCACAUCAGCUGAGCCGAGGAUGGCCAUCCCUAUAUCCGAAUAUCGAGAGCUGUGCCGAGCAUUGGAGACUCUUACAGCUUCCCAGAGCAAUCUUGCUCAAGAGUUGGCAGCCAUCAAAGCAUGCCAGGAGCAGAUGUUAGCCUCUCAGGCUCAACAAGCUGCCAUCCUAAGGCAGCUUCAAGUCCAUUUCGAUCUGCCACAAGCUGUAGAGCCCUCCACUGAGACUCCACCAGAGCCACACUCUCAGCCUUCAGAGUCUCUUCCUCCAGAGCCAGAAGCCCCAACUGAUCCACCUACAGAGGAGGCGGAUCCUUCUGCUUAGCACCAUCACCCCACUCAUCAGACAUUAUAUAUAUUUGCUGUUUAUGUUUUUAUGCAUGUUUGUUUUGUUUUAGUUGAAAUGAAAUCCCAGUAUUUUGGUACUAUAUAUGGGAUUCCUUGUGAUUACUUGUCCUUAGCAUUGUACUCGAAUGAAUUGAAAGUAAUACAAGUUGAAUUUUUCUUGUUAAAAGUUAGCAUUAAAAUUCUCCUUAUUUCCUUUUCUCACAUAUUCUAUUCUUUUUGAAACAUGUGGUUUUCCCCAAUCAAUAUUCGAAUUUGAUAUCAGCAUGGAGGUACCACUUCCUCCCUUUUAUUACAGUCACUCAAAUCACAUUGAGGACAAUGCUCAGUUCGGUUGGGGGGUAUGAGGAAGGAAGUAUUCUAAAUCUUUUUGGUAUUGCAAUUAUAUUGGUUAAUUAGUUGUAGAUUUUACGUUUUACUCUUGUUACUCUAUUCUCCAUGAAUUUUGAGGAAAAAUUUUCAAAUUAAACCAAGAGAAAUUGAACUGUUGUUUUUCACUUGACUUAGAGUAUGGAUUAUGCUUACUAAAGUGGUUCAAUUGUUGAAACUUCUACUGAAAUUGAAUUGAGUUCUUCCAUUUUAAGCUAUCCACACACUGUGCACAUUAGUUUCUGAUUAUAAGAUGAAAAGCUAUUUCCCUCUUGACUUAGGAUAAUUUUGGGACUUGGUAUAUUUGACCUCAUUUGAUAAAAAUUGAAACACCCUGCAAAAGGCCAAUGAGCCUUUGAAAUAAAGAAAGAUGUUUGCUUGCCUUGAAACCCGAGCAAGGUCUGAGGGGCAUAUGGUGAAAGCCUUUAAAGCCUGGUGCCCUAAGCCUUAAUUGGUUGGGAGUCACCGACCUCAAUGCUCGUUACAAGGGUGAAUAGGUAGAGCUAGCAUAUGGUAGAUGCUUGGGUAUUAGAAAUUCAUUCUUAAAAGUCCAGGGAAAAAUCCGAGGAGUUAGUGGUUGAAAGAUCCUUAAAACUUGGUGCCCUAAACCUUAAUUGGUUGGGAGUCAUCGAUGGACCCCCAUUACAUGGACAAGUCAGAAAGAGUACCCCAUAAAGCUACUUUAAAAAAAAAAAAAAAAAAAAAAAAAAGAUGAUGAAAGUGUGUUCUUUUCUUAUUGAUUUUGGUCAGAUUGCUAAAGUGUUGAAAAGAGAUAGGUUGGGGGGGGAGACUAGUUUAGCAUAUUAUUCUCGGAAUCUAAGGAACCAAUACACAUAGAUUUUUGUGGAAGAUUGAAGUUUAGUUCUUAGAAAGUGAAAUGAUUUUAAAACUUCAGUUUGCAUAAUGCACUCCCUUGAUUGACAGUGUUUAGCAUAGGUGUUAUGACUCUUGUUGAGAUUUGGGUUUGUAUUUCUUUAAUGAUUCAUGUGAGAAGUAAAUCAUCAUGCCACUUAAGAAUUAUUUUCCUUUCAGCAUGAUGUUGUAAAUUUUAGAUUAGUUUGCUAUUUAUUUUUAUUUUUCUCUCCUUUAUUGCUAAGGGACUAGCAAUAUGUCGGUUGGGGGGAGUGAUUACUACUCAAAAAGUGCUAUUUGAUAGCCUUUAAUUAAUCCUUUUUAACACUUUUGAGUAGUAGUUUAGGCCUUUUAACUCAAUUGGCAUGUUAAGGAUCCUUUAAAGCAAUUUUGAUCACUUUGUGCAAGUUUUGGUGUUUUUGUUAGUAUUUCGAUCACCAAAGCAAGUCAAGAAUGAGGAGAGCUAUGAGGAAUCUUGGGCAAAGCUUAGAAUUCAAUUGCCAAGAGUGAAUCCGGAUUGCAAGGAGAAAAAGCAAAGAGGAUCAGUCAUGGAGCAUAUUCUUGAUGACAGUCGUAGCAGCCACUUUUGGAGCACUUUCUGAAGUCCAAAUGAUGCAAGCUAUAUACCAUUUCAAAGCUCAGGAAGUCAACAAUCCAAUGCUUCAAACGGUGUGCGAUUCGGAAUUGAAACGAAGAAGUUGCAGCCAUUACAAGCCAGACACUCUAAAGUGUUGCGGAAUCAGCCAUGUGUUGCGAGAAUUUCGCAGCACUUUUGUACAGUAAGGUGUUUCUCCUUCUAACGAUGCACGAACCAUGCCGCGAGAAGGGAGCUGGAAACUUCAAGAUGGAAGCCAACUUGGCAGCCUAGUGAAGAUAGCUCGGUCUUGCAAGAUAAUUUCGCAGCCCUCUUGGGUGUCUGCGAAAUUUCGCAGGCCUCAUUUUUCACCUGCGAAAUGGCUCCUGAAGCCUCCCGAAGCUUGCUACCGACAUUGGGAGAUAUUUUCCAUUAGAUUUUUGUUGUCUAAAUCCCAAAAUACUCCUUGUAAACCACCAAUUACAUGAUUCCUUAGUUUUUAAGUUAGUAAAAAGACCAAAUAUCUUUGUAACAAUUAGUUUUAUAUUUUGUUGUUAUAAAUACCUCUCGGGAGCCUGUUCUCAGGGAGGAGUUCCUUCUGUAAACGUUUGGUAAGCAAGUAAAGUCUAUUUUCUUUCUACUGCCUUACCUUCUCACUUUGUAUUUUCAUUUUAUUUCUAAGUUAUGAAUUCUCUGAGGAGUUUUCCCCAAAGAAUGAGUAACUAAACCUCCAAUUCCUUGGAGCUAAGGUUGCCGGGGAAGGUUCCAAGUGCAAGAAUGCAAAGCUCUGUGGUUUUAGCUAGUAAUGAAGAGGAAGUGAAAUCCUUUAGUGAUUUCAAUGUUUUUAGUUAACUUAAAACACUUUGGAGUCACCUGGGCCAACACUUGGUAAGGCAAGUGAUUUCCAACCAUGGAAAUGCACUAGUUUACCCCUUGCGAGCCUCUGGUAGGUGACUUCAAGGUAGGAUUUUCUGGAAUUACCAACACUUGGUAAGCUUUUGGACUCCUAGGAGACAUCCAUUAGUUAUCUCUUGCGAGUUUGUGAAGGGAAUCCAAGGUUAAAGAUCACCUUGAAUGGUAAGUGCUCGUGAGAGGCAUGAACCAUUGCAAGUUGUAUCAGUGAGAGAAUUAAAGUGAAAUCUAAUUGAAGGAGUCUUUGUACAUCACCGGUUAGAGAAUUGACUAUAAGUUGAAUCUCUAAUGCGAGGAAAUGAACCAACUGACCAGAGCCGUGUCUUUUGCAUGAGGAACCACCCCAGUGAACCUAAAUCUCCAAGGAAUGUUUUUUUCUUCCUAAAUUAUUCCAAACUUCUGUUAAGUUAGUUAGUUUAAAUCUCAACCUUUACAAAUCAAAGUUUGUGUUUUAUUCCUUAAGCUAACCGUGAAAUGAAACAAGACCAAUUCACUUGGAAUUGGUAUCAUUGAUUGCCUGCAAAUCAUUCCCAAUGAACGAUCCUAGAGCCACUAUACUAUAGUAGCUUUGUAUUUACUACCCUAGUGUAUGGUGUUAUAGGUAUAAAUUUUGUUGAUCACUUCCUCAAUCAAGGAGCACCAGCUGAACACAAAUCAGCUGAGACACCAAUUAGGCAUGAGUCAGUCAUCUCCAUUAUUGUUUUAUUUUUUCUUUCCACCACCCCAUUUUGUUGUGGGGUGUAUGGUGCAAUGAGCUGGUGAUCUAUGCCUGCAUCUUCACAAAAUUUGUUGAAUUUUUCUGAAGUAUAUUCUGUACCAUUAUUCGACCUUAUAACCUUGAUUCUGUAUUCACUUUGAUUUUCAACCAUGGCCUUAUAUCUCAAAAACACAUCAGCAACCUCAGCUUUGUAAGUGAGAAAAUAAAUCCAACAAAAUCUUGUGAAGUCAUCAAUAAAUGCAAUAUAGUACUUACUCCCUUUCAAAGAUGGUGUCUUUUGAGGUCCACUCACAUCUGUGUGAACCAAUUGUAGUUUCUGUGUUGAUUUCCAUGCUGCUUUUUGAGGAAAAGGAAGUCUUGUUUGCUUCCCAUAUUGAUAGGCUGCACAUAUAGGAAGUUCUUCUUCCAAAUCAGGGAGUCCUUCUACAAUCUAAUUCUUCUUCAUGUAGAGCACGGUAUUGUGGUGGAAAUGCCCUAAUCUUUUAUGCCAAAGCAUUGUAUUGUUCUCGUGUUGUGCAGCAGUAAUUUGCUCAUCUUCUAACAUAUUUAAGGCAAAACUUUUGCCUUUCAUUUUUAUGUUGAACACCUCUUUGCCUUCAGCAUCCUUGAUUAUGCAAUUUUUGUCUUCAAAACAAACUUUAAACCCUUUCUCAACAAGCUGUCCAACACUUAGCAAAUUUUGGUCAAUGUCAGGCACAAACAAAACAUCAGAAAUGAGCUUUAAACCUGUUAGGCUUUCAAUAGCUAAUGUUCUUUUACCUUUUACUGGAAUAUACUCACCAUUUCCUAUUCUAACUUUGGAAAUAGUUGUCCUAUCAAUCUCCCUAAAGCGAUCUUGAUCAUGUCAUGUGGUUUGUGCAACCACUGUCCACGAGCCAGCUUUCAGAGGUGCUACCGUUUGCAAAACAUGUUGCUGAAAAUAGUUGUUCCUCCUGGUAUUGUUCAGCUGCUACAUUGGUUUCUCCCUGCUGCUGCUGAGUUCUACAGAUCCUUUCUAUGUGUCCAUGUCUACCACAUUUGUUGCAUUUCACAUCUGGUCUCCACCAACAUUUUUGUUGAGGAUGAUUUGUUUUCUUGCAAUGAGGACAGGGUGGAUAGGUUCCAGUUUUUUUAUUGUUGUUGUUGCUUGGCUUAUUGUUGUUCUUUUUGUUCUUCCUCCUUCUUGUGUUACCUUCAUUGGUCUGUGUCUUUGCUUGAAAAGCUCCUUCUACAGAACUUCCUUGCCUCAUGAGUCUUCUUUGUUCCAAAGCUUGUAAAGCAUUUAGUAGUUCUGCCAAGGUGAUACUUGACAAAUCUUUUGUGUUUUCCAAAGAAGAAAUUGUAGCUUCAUAUUUUUCAGGAAUUGUGACAAAAUUGUUUUGAACAACUCUUUCAUCAGAAAACUCUUUACCUAGCAACCUCACCUUGUUUGCUAUGGUAAGAAGUUGUUCUGCAUAAUCUUUUAUGGUUUGAGACUCUUUCAUCCUCACCAUUUCAAAUUCUCGAAUUAGAUUCAUUACCUGCACAUUUCUGACUCUUUCAUUGCCUUGAUAUUCUUCCCGUAGAUGCUUCCAGAUUUCUGCAACAGAUUCAAGUUGCAUGAUUCUGGUGAGAAUUAAUGGUGAGACUACAGAAAAUAAGCAAGCCUUGGCCUUAGCCUUCCUCGUCUUUUUCUCCUUAUGGUUUUUCAUCUGUGACACAGUUGGAUUGGCUCCAAGUGGAGAAAUUUCAUAAUCUUCCUCUAUUGCUUCCCAGACAUCAAGAGCCUGUAGAUGAACAGUCAUCCUGACAGCCUAAGUUUGGUAAUUUUCUCCAUUGAAGACUAGUGGUGCUGCUGUGAAGCUUGCUUCUUCCAUUUCUGCAAGGUUUUCAGAUUCAGGUUUGGUAUACGGUGUUUAGGCUCACACACCUCACUGGUCCCUCAAGACAAAAAUUGCUCUGAUACCAAACUGUUGGAAGCAGGCGAGGUUAACACACCAAGCAACAGAGAACAGAGAUAUGCUGCUACUGAUCUAUAUUUUUUAUUUGAUCAUAAGGCUGAAUUUAUACAGAUUGUGUAACAUAUAUGACCUCAAAAAAAGCAUCAAAUCAAGCUACUUGUUGAACAAAAAACUACCUCCUACAAAAUAGCAUCAGAAUUUAACUUAAAAGCAAAAACAUAAUAAUAGCAACAGCAAAAACAGAAACAUAAAAAUAGCUUCAACAUUCUAGUAAUCUCAUUGACUUCAAUUGCAUGUGGUUGACGAUUUCAGCCUUUUCCUCAGCAGCUACUAAGGCAUAACUCUCAACAGGGCCUCUUAAUUUCCAUUCUGGCAUCUAUAUGACCUGAUAAAUAGAAAGAAAAAAAAACAGAAGAAAAGCGGCACCUGGGUUCAUAGUAAGCAUCAAGACAGGAUGCUGAAAGAAGGGAGAGAGGAGAUUGCAAGUCCAAUCCUGAUAAAAUAUCAACAAAGAGUAUUAAAUGGGGCCAACAUAAAGACCCAUUAAGGUCAGCAGAUGGCAUGGCAUUUUUCUCCUUAAGUUUUCCAUGAUUAGGCUUGAAGUCAAAAUUUCACAUGUAAAUUUGUAUUUCUACAUUUCCCACUGACGACACCCAACUUCAACUUGAGUUAGAAUAACAUUGUGUGAACUUAUCUGGCCCUCAAAAUUUACUGUGAAGUGCUUUCUGCGUGUGAAGAUUCAGAAAAGCACCAAGGGAACAUGUAUGGUCUGCCUUUUUCUGAUGUUAUGUUUGUCUCUAAUUCUGUUCCAUGUCAUGGUAAAUGUUCACAUUGCUUGUAUGGAACACACCAGGAUCACUUUUUCAGGUUUAGGGGGAUACAAAAGGCUUCAUAUUGGGUUCAAUGCUUUUAAUGUGUUCAUUGGACAAAUCUGAAUUAUCAUACGCAUUUAGAUAAGAACAAUAAUGUGAAACCCUAGUUACACCUCCCCUGCAUAACCCCAACCCUGCUUGCUCUAUUUCAGUUUACUCACAAGUUUUACUGGUUCUUAUAAGUCAAGAAAAGGCAACUGAUGUUGGAUCGACUCUCUUCCAUGUAAAAAAUGCAACUUUUAUACAUAUAAAAGAACUUCUUCCCCUCACCAAUGUGGGAUUUCAUAGAUUUAUUCUGGAAACACAUCAAAGGAACAUCUUUUCUCUUGGGUGACCCUAAGUGGUGAGUCAGAUCAUUUGCAUGCCAUUGAGUUGCACAGUUGGAUAAAUGCACCUGCCUCCUGGGCUCCAGAGUUAAAAGGGUGGAUCCCUGGAUUGCAACCCUCUUGGCAUCUUGGUUUCUAUUCCAACAUCCACAUGACUUGACAAAACAAAAAACAGAAUAAAAUCAGCACUAUAUUCAUGCUAAGCACCAAUACAUGAUGGAAAUCAUUGCUUAAAGAUUUGGGGUCGUUUUAGGUUUUGACUGCCUCCUACCACCUCACCUAAUGACAAGUUUUUAUGCUUACAAAUCAAAUAUCGUUCUUCAUUAUAUUAAAAUCAUUUUAAGAUUUCAGAUCCAUCUGCUAAUUAUGAUUAUGAUAACAUUUAUUCACCUGUGCUUCUCAUUUUCGACACACAAGGCAUCUAGGUUUGCAGGAUUUCCUUAUUAGAUGAGAUAAAUGAGUACGUAUGGUUAUGUAUCCAGCAUUCAUUAACCAUGGUAUGUGACAUUUAGAAUUAAGAUAGCAAGCAAACUUUCCCUGCAGCUAGAGUAAAUUGUGAUUUCUUAGCCUCUAUGAGUGGUUCCCAAAUCAAAUUAACAUAGUGAAAUAUACGUAGUCCAGUGAAAGGAAAUGUAAAUUAUAAACUAACAGCACUACACUACUGGUAACAAUCGAUACUCUCUAUAUAAUGCAAUAAACAAUGUCACAAUUGCCUACAAGCAAGGCACAAACACUAGAACAAGUAAAGCACAAACCUUUCCCAACAGUUCCCAGUGACUGAUGCAUAUCAUACCCUCAACUCACAGAAGGGGAUGAUAUCAGUGCACUGCAGCACUUAUUUUACACAUACUACCACUACUACUACUACUACUACUACUCAUUAGCCAAAGUCACUCAGUUGGGAUGAGUGUGAGGUAGAGGUUUGUGGGGUGCUAUGUGGAAAGGAGUUUGGCUUCUUCUCAGGAGAUGGUAGCUUCUUUGCAGGAGUUGAAGGAGGCUUAAUCUUCUGUGGUGGAUUGAUUGUAUGAGUCUUUGGCACUCUCUUCUCUAGUACAGGUGAAUACCCAGGGGUGCAUCCAUAAUGCGGUGGCUUCUAUCCCUUAGGUGGUUUGCCAAAUUCAAAAUCGAAGGAUUUUUUUUUUUUAAGUAUACGUAUCUUUGAAAGCUUUUAUUUUGUAUGGCAAAUGGAAUGAGAGGAGCAGUCAUAUUCUAUUUGGCCAGAGCAACAUAUCACAAAUGAACAAGCUAUUUACUGCCACACUGGGCAAAACAUACAUAAUCCUUGUACUUCAAACAUCCAUGAAUUCUCAUCAUUUUCAGGACACGUUGCAUGGUCUAUCAUUCUAUAUGUCGGCAUAGUAAGUGCAGCUAAUAAGCCUAUUCAGAGCUGAAAUUCAAAAUCUAUUCACAGGAUAAUGACCUUAUUAUUGGAUUUUGCUCACUGUCAUACACACAUAUCAGAUAAAGCCCCACAUGCUCAUAAGCUACAAGCAACCUACAAGCACUAAAAUGAGUGUUAGACGUAUGAAACAUUCCCCAAUACUAGUAGUAUUACCUGUUCCAUAGAACACUAAAUUAGAAGAGAGAAGAUGUGAGACUCCAGCUUUUCUUUCUACAUAUUACUCAUAUCAAGUUGGAAUAGUUAGGCGGUAGAGGCUUGGGGUGGCUUGUGUAGGGGACUAGGCAGCUUCUCUCAGGAGUUGAUUUCGUCUUAUUCUGGAUGUCCAGGUUUCGUCCUUUCGAAUUUCCCAUGCAAAUCAGCAUUCUCCUUGGGAAACUUCACUCCGUUGGGAAACUUGUGUGAAUCUUUGGCAUUCUCUACCAGAGAAGGCCCAGGGCAGUGACCAUAAGGUGGUGGCCUUUUUUCAGGUGGUGGCUCCUCUCCCACUGGAGGCUUGUGGUAAUCAGCAAGAGAGGCAGUGGAGAGAAUCAUCACCCCAAGGAACAGCACUAGCAAGUAUUUGUGAGCCAUAUUUGGGAUCUGAUGAUGAAGACUAGAAGAUAGGAGUUGCCUCAUAUAAUGGGUUGGAGACUAUAUCUCAAGGGGACGUGUAUUUAUGCAUAUGAUCUAUAUAGGACCAUCCUCCUAAUAUUUUCAAAAUAAUGUUAUUGUCUCUCUUGGGUGACAGUUUGAUUUGGUCUAUUUCCAUGCCACUGAGUAGAAAAGUUUGACAAUUGGCUACACCACCUACCUGGAUUACAUGGUUGAAAGUGAAGAUCAGUACAGUGUGAUCACACUUGACCUCUUGUUCCCCAUUCCAGUAUCUAAUUAACCUGACAAAAGUAAAAGGAAAGGAAAAAGGGAAAAAAUAGAAUAAUGUUCAAAUAAAAACGAGAAAAAAUAGCAUAAUGUUGAUGAAUCAUGAUAAGCAUCAAGGCAUGAUAGUGAGAGAGAGGAAAGAAGACAGUGUAAUUUGCAAUCCUGAUAAUCAUUAUAUAGCAGUAACUUUAAUCAUUUUUCUAUCACAGGGAACAUGACACUCAUCUUCCUAUGGAGAUAUUGCAUAAGUUUUUUUCUUUGUAUGUCAACACUAACCAAUGAAGCAUGUUAGCUGGUUUGAAACUGAAACUGUAGCCCUCUGUUUGGUUCUUGAAAAACUUGAGAGAAAAUGGAAGUAAAGUUAAAAGGAAAGAAAAAGUGAAAAAAAAUAAAAAUAGAUUGAAAGUUAACAAAUUAUUUUUACAUGUUCCCUCAAAUUUCUUUCACUUAUUUUUCCUUUUCUAUAUAAAGAUUAAAUGAUUUAAAAAUCAUAAAUUUCUAACUAAUUAUAACUAUAUUUGAUUUUCUUUCAUAUUUUCCAAGAUAAAGUCAGACAUGAGAAAAUCAUUUUCCUUAAAAAAGAAAUUCUUUCCUUUACAGUUUCUUAGAACCAAACCUGGCACAAAAGUCCAAAUUGGGGUUUCUCCAUGUUCCAUUUUUUAUGGCUACCUUUAUGGACCAUAUAAUAUAGAAUGUACUUCUGCAUACCUUCAAGAUCAAGCUGAACUAUAAGAAAAAGACAAGCCAUGGCCCACGGAGCAGGGAUACCAAGCUGCCUUCUCCUAGAUUAAGUUCCAAGAUUUCAGUCUUCAAACCUGCUAAAAGCUAAAGGCAUGUUUCCAGCCUGCGGCAGAUAACAUGCACUGUCCAACAAUAAAUUGCAAACACAUUCGAUGCAGUUUAUUAGUACAAUAAGAUUAAAUCCACCAAAUCUUUUACAGUUCAACCAACACUUGAACUAGUAGCUAGCUUCACUACUGGGUAAUAAUAUAUAAACCAAACUCUUGAUAGGAACCAACCUAUCGCAGAUCGAACUUCUUACAUCCACCAUGAAUUACUGAACCAAAAGAAGAAUCGAAGAGACUGCCAAGGAGGAAAGCCUUCCUAUAACUAGAUAUUUAUAUUCCAAAUUAGGGAGAGCACCCACUGCCCAGGCCUCGCCCAGCAUAAACAGAUAGUAUACAUAUACAUGCAAAAAGCUCCAACCUUCAAGAUUUUAACUAUUAACUUAACACAAUUAAAAAUGUAUCCAAAAAGCAAAUCCCCUUGAACUCCUGAAGCAAUUACUCCAACCAAAUAAAGAUUUUAAGAGUUCCAUGUUCAUAUCCUGCAAGGAAAUCAUUCAAUGUUCAGACCUCUAAUUUCUGUCUUUCUAAAUGCCCAGCCAAAAGGCAUAAAGUAUCAUCCAAAUUGGAUGCACAGCAUAUGUUCUUAAAUCAUGGGAUUUCACCAUAAGUUACUACACUCUAACAGGGCCCAGAAAUUGACCUCCAGAUAUGCCUAUCAAAAAAUUAUCCCCACAUACAUUUUUCUGCUGAAAAGACAAUAUUGUUACAUUUGACAUUCAACCACUACUUGAACUCAACAACCAGGGAAAAGAAUAUAGUAUUUCUACCAAUGAGGAUGAGAGGGGCUGGUGAAUUAACAGGUAAAAGUUUGUUUUGGGUUCAUUGUUUGCAUAAUAAUGUAAAAAUGGAGUAGUAUAUUAUAAAUUAAUGUAAAAAUGGAUUAGCAUAACAUAAAUUGCCAUAAGAGAACCACAAACUACAAAGAAACUUAUUUUCCAAACAAGGAAAAUUAUUCAUAGCCAUUAUUACAUAAGAAAGGAAAUUGAUAAAAUUAUUAUCCAGUUCCCCAUCAGGAAAUAUGAAAGUACUCCUAAAAGCCUCAAUUCUAACCAGAAAACCAUAGAAAUGUAUUAGAAAUAUUGUACAGGGUUCUCUCCAAUAUUAGCUUCAGUUGCUAAGGAGAUCAGAACCUUGAAAGUAAGUCACAAAGGUCGUGUGGGUUUCCCAGAGUCUUCAACAACCAGUAUUCACAUAUGUACACAUUAAAAUUAAAUAAAGCAGGUAUCAAUUCCACAGGCUUUAAGAUUUGAAUUGCUUCUCCCUGGAAUCAUACACCACUCAUAUUGUCACUGACUUUCAAUUACUUCUCCCUGCGAUCAUAUGCCACUCAUAUUGUCACUGCCUUAGGGAACAAAGUGAAAAUCUGCAAUUUCAAUUAAUUCCAACAUAAAAAUAAAAAUCAAUCCUCAAAAAAUGGAUUGCCAGGAGGUAAAUAUAAUAGAAGACGAACAACUCUCACAACCAAGUUAAAGAAACCAGCCGCUAGGUACCUUUGAGUUCUAUACUACCAGGAACAAAUUGGAUGAGAUUAUUUAAAGGCUAUUCCACAGUGGAAAUUCAUUCGUUCAAAAAACAUUUGUCAUGCAUAUAGGCAAUCUAUCCUAUGCAUUCAUACAUCAUGGUCUCAUGCAAUCUUAAUAAAAGUGGUCCUGGAAAAAGAGAGAAAAAAGUAAUUACAAGCCUGUGCGACCAGAUUUCUUUUGUUUUUUUUUUUUUUUUCCUUUGCCAAACAACCAUGUUCAUAGUUUCAGAAGUUCAUUCUGUCUUUAAGAGACCAUGGCAGUGACUUGGCCAUUCAGCUAAGANNNNNNNNNNNNNNNNNNNNNNNNNNNNNNNNNNNNNNNNNNNNNNNNNNNNNNNNNNNNNNNNNNNNNNNNNNNNNNNNNNNNNNNNNNNNNNNNNNNNUCACCAAGGACUCCUCAACCUCAAAAUAAUAGAGAAAGUCUAGGACACCAUGUCACUACUGAGGACAACCCAACACCACAACAUUUCAGUCCGUUCAAAAAGAGUAAUUGGAAUUGUUGCAAAAAAUGUUCAACUAGUCCCAACAGGAGGCAAAUUCCUCCAUUUCUUCAUCGGGUCCGGAUCCUUUGCUCAAAAAGGUAAUUUUCUUACUGCCCUAAAAGAAAAAGGGAAAAUGUGAGUCAUUGGAUUGUUGACUCAGGAGCUUUUGAUCACAUGACUAGAGUGCCACAAUUUUUCAAAAUUAUACACCUUGUUUUGGGGAUGAUACAAUUCGUAUGGCUGAUGGUUCUCUCUCAAAGGUGACUGGUACAAGUUUUAUUGUCAUCUCUAAGGACCUAACUCUUGACUCUAUUCUUUUGGUUCCAAACUUGGAUUGCAAUCUAUUGUCCAUUAGUAAACUCACUUAUGAAAAGAACUAUGUUACUAAAUUUUUCCCAAACCAUUGUGUUUUUUAGAAUUUGAAUUCGGGGAAGACGAUUGGCAAUGUUGAAGUGUGUUUAGGACUCUAUGCCUUCAAAGUGAAUUAUUAUAUUGAAAGACAAUCUUAACCAACAGUUGGUGAAAAAUGGUGUCUUUUUGUCUUUAGUUCUAAUAAAGAUAGUGAUGUUAUGUUAUAGCACUAUUGUCUAGGACAUCCUAGUUUCUUAUAUCUCAAAAAACUCUUUCCAUGGUUUUCAGUGUGAAAUUUGUCAACUAUCCAAGCAUCUUUGCAAGCCCUAUCCAUAGUUUUAAAAGACUUAAGGCACACCAAGACGCAAAGUCCUCUUGGAGCCUUAGGCGCAAGGCACACCUAAGGCGCGAACUUUAGUAAAGUGAGGUGCAUCCUGUUUUACAUAUAUAUUUUUAUAUAAUACAAUCAAGUGCCCGAAAAUUUUCCUCUAAUUUUCCCCUUCUUCUUCAUCCUCUUCUCUUCUUCACAUUGUUCGGGAGGCUAGGACAUUUUUUUUUUUUUACAUGUCUAAAACAAGCAUAUAUUGGGUUUUGGAAGAAGAACAAGCCAAAAUGACAUCGUUUUGGAGCCUAAUCUUUUAAAUAAAUAAAUAAAUAAAUAAAAACCAGCCAAAAAUGACACCGUUUUGGCCCCUGUUCUUUUAAAAGAACAAACCAAACAACGUCAUUUUGAUCUCAGGAAAUUAAAAAAACAAAACCCUCGUCAUUCUCCCUUUGCUACUCUACAACUCAUCGUCAAAGGGUAAAAAGAUGACCAAAAGAAGAAGAAGAAAAAAAAAAAACGACGACAGAGGAUAGAGGUGCACCUGUUGAGGGCGUUGCGCCUAGCCAAGAGGCGAGCGCCUUGCACACUUAAUCAACGCCUCUGUGAAGGGGCGGCUCCUGCAAUCAGGCGAAGCGCUGAAGGGUGAUGUCACAUCGUCUAGAGCCUAGGCGCACCUUUCACAACUAUGACCCUAUCCAACUCAACCAUACAAACCAUCUCAUCUUUUUUCCAUACAUAGUGAUGUUUGGAGGUCAUCUAAAAUAAAGAACAUAACAGGGACUAGAUGGUUGAUGAUCAUACUAGAAUUUCUUAGAUAUUUCUAAUGAAAAAAAAAUCAAAAAUUAGUCAAAUUUUCUAAAAGUGGACCAGAAUUUCUUUAUUGAAUUAAAAAGUUGAAAUUAAUAUUUUGGAAAAGUUAGGGCCGCUCAAGAGGUAGAAAUAGCGCUCGAGUGGUAGAAAUAGCGCUCGAGUGGUAGAAAUAGCCCUCAAGUGGUAGAAAUAGCGCUCAAGCGCUAGGACCGCUCAAGCACUUAACUAGCGCUUGAGCGCUCAUAUAGAAUCUGCCAGAAUAUGGAAGAAUAUUUUUUGGAUAAUCAUGAAAAUUGGAUUUGGAAACUUUAGAAUAUCAAUCUCCUUCGGCCUAGAGGUUUAUAUAAACCCUAUUAUAACCCUUUAGGGUUAAGAAAUUCACCAAGUGGUUUACCCUAACUUGUCAUACCAUUCCCGAUCUCUCAUCAAGGAAUCAAAGUGUUUAAUCUUGGGUUGUUUGAAGACCUGCAUCCCUUCAACAAGGCUAAGGUGUAUUCACUAGAACAAUUGAAAUUGUUGCAUUGCGGACAUGAAUCAAGUUGCAGGUUCUAGAGAGUAAGUCUUUAGAAUAAAGCAGACAAAGAGUUCUAUGUGACUUUAUCUCAUAUAGUGGAUUUAGCUUUGAGGUCUUAGACCUCGUGGGUUUUUAUCUCCAUAGUUAGUGUGGGGGUUUUCCACAUAAAAAUUAUUGUGUCUCUUGAUCUUAUGUUUGAUUUUAGAUAUUCUAUUUAUCCCUGAUAUCUCACAGGUUAACUUUAGGUUAAAAAUUCAACUCCCUAUUUAAUAAUUUUUAAAAUACACCCAUUCACGAGUGUUAUCCUACUGGACAUUGGUUUUUCACCAUAUAUAACACUCAUACCAAAACCCAUGCAACAUGGACUCCAACCUUAAGCUUAACUUUCUACGAAUGGAAAAAAAAAAAGACAUAACAUAAAUAGACAGAUUUAACAACAUGCUCCUAAUCAAGGUGAAUGUCCCUCUUUUUGAAAGAUAUGACCUUUUCCAUACGAGGAGCUUUCUUUAAAAUUUCACCUCUACCAAUUCCCAUGCCUUUACAAAGUUGUGGAAAGCUCCAAAGAGAAGGCCCAGACAUGUAAUGGGUAGAUUCCCUACCUUAGAACCUUACACCAAAGCUAAACCCCUAAUAUUUGUGACUUCUAUAAGAAUCAAUUCAUUUUUUUCCAUAUUUAUUUCUAAAUCAGACAUUGCCUCAAACCACAUGAAGUUAUAACUUGGAUGUUACAGAUGCUCUUAAUUAGUGUCACAAAAAAAUAGGGUAUCAUCAUCAAACAAGAAAUGUGACACUUCCAUCCCCUCCUCCUGUCUUCCUCCCACUUUGAAACUUGAGAUGUAACCCCUUUUAUCUAAUUCUCCUCAAAAUUCAAUUGAAAGCCUUCAUUGCCAAUAUGAAAAUGUAAGGGGAGAGAGGAUCUUUCUACCUCAAAUCCCUUGAGCUCUCAAAGAAACUGAAUAGGACACUAUUUACUAGAAUAGAGAAUUGAGUAGUGGAAAUGAACCAUUUGAUCCACCUCACCCACUUAUGAUCAAAGUCCAUUUUAUCCAACAUCAUUAACAAAAAGUUCCAAUUUACAUGGCCAUCGUCCUUUCCAAUGUCUAACUUGCAAAUUACCCCACUAUUGGGACUCUUUAACCUUGAAUCUAGAGCAUCAUUUAUGAUUAGAACUGCAUCUAGAAAUUGUCUGUCUUCCACAAAAGCAUGCAAAUAAACUAAAACUAUUUUACCCACCACAUUUUUUAGUCUUUUAGCCAAGACUUUUUCCAAUAGCUUGUACAAAAAAACCCCCAACUAAGCUAAUCAAUGUAAAAAAUUUUAGGUUCUCUGCUGCACCUAUAUUAGGGAUCAAGACCAAGAACAUGACAUUUAAAUUUUGCUCAAAGGAACAAUUAUCAAAAAACUCCCCAAGCUCAUUUGCCAAAAUAUUAUAAUAAAUCCAUUUGGCCCCUACAGCUUUAUCCCCACUCAAGCUAGACAAGGCAACAAGAAAUUCCUCAUCAAAGAAAGGUAACUCCAAUUUCCUAGAAUCAGCACAUAGCAUAACUUCAAAGGUCAUCCCAUUAAUGUUGAGUCUCCACUCGCCCAUAUCAGAUAGGAGAUUUUGGAAGGCCCUAAACUCCCCUUCCUUUAUAUUUGCUUCCCAAGCAACCAUUUUGCAUUCACUCAAAUUUUAAACAUGAAGUUUUUUAUUCUUUGGGCAUUGACCAUUUCAUGGAAAAUUUUGGUGUUUUUAUCCACCCCCUCUUUUAACCAAAUUUCUCUUUAUUUUUGCCCCCAUACAUAUAGAUUCUUCUAACAAGGCCCACUUGCUAAACUCAAUCACCACUAACCUUUGGCCUCAACGAUUUCAAGAGAUAAGGUAACUGCUCUCUACUUUGAGUCCCAGAAGUUGAUCCAGUUUAGCACCUCUAGGUUUUUUGUUGAGACAUUCCCAAAACCUUCUUCAUUCCAAGAUUUUAAAUCUCGUUUGACAGCCUUUAGUUUAACUUCCAAAAUAUGACCAUACAAGCCAUCCACAUUAUAACCAUCAACCAACUCCUCACAAAAUCUUUUAAGCCUUUUGUUUUAGGCUACAUAUUUUAAAAUGUAAACUGUGUUUUCCCACUCCUUAUCCUACCUCCAUCUAAAACUAUGGGGUAAUGACCAAAAAUUGGUUUAGGUAAAAUACUCUAGAUUAAAGUAGAAAAACGAUUCUACCAAUCAUCUGACACUAGGAAAUGGCCAAGCUAGCCUUGAAGAAGACAAAAGAUUAUGAACACCACUCCAAGUGAAUAGCCCUCCAACUAGCGAAAGAUCCCAAGGUCAAGUCCUCUAUGUCCUCUGAAAAGAACCUCAUAUCAAACAACAUUCUAAGGCAAUUCCUCCUUUUCAUGGGGAACUUGACCAUAUUAAAAUCCCCUCUGAAGCACUAGAGGUCAUCCCAAAGGCCUCUUAUGGCACCCAACUCUACCCAGAAAUCCACUCUUUCUCCCCUUUAAACCAACCCAUAAACUCUUACGUAUACCUAGACAAAGCUAUCUUCACAAUUCAUAGACAAGCAAUAGAGAAUGCUUCCACCUCCUUACCAAUUAACUCUAAUACCCUACUAUCUUGGAAAACCAAAAUGCCUACUAUCAAGCUUCUAACUUCCAAUACCAUUUCAAAAAUUUUCCUACUCCUAAACUCCUUACCAGUUGAACGAACAUCUAUCGAACCUUGGUUUCUUGUUAACAAACUAGAUCAACCCCUUGAGACCUUAUCAAUGACUUUAUUAUCAUAUACUUUUCCUCAUCAUUUGCUCAUUUGACAUUCCAAGACAGGAUUUUUAGCUUCAUCAUGCAACCUAUGUUGGAUCCUAACUGCUACUCUUGGAGCCCUUUUCCUUUUUGUUGAGCUUUUAUAAUUGACUAAGCAUCCCAACUUGUUGAGGUCCCUCUCAAACCAAGAUAUCGAGGUUAACUUCCUCUUCACCUCCAACGAAAAAACAGAAACCCCUCUCCUUAGCCUGCCACACAAGGGAAAAGAUCUCUUUUUCAAAUCCAUCAACUGGCAUUCUUGAGAAACUAUUGAAAUUUGCCAACUUACAAGAUAUACAAUUGGAGGAGUGCUUCUCUACCAAACAACUACUAAAAUUCACCUCAAAGGUGACCUUUUCCCCUGAUCUCUCCCCGGCCUCCAUACCCACUGACCCUUUCACAAAAUUUUCUAGAAUUUCCACUAUCAAGCCGUUACGGAGAACCAUCCUCAACAAACUCCUUUGACUAAUGUGAAAAACCCCACCCAAGAGCAUCUUCCAGAAGUUAACUUACAAGAUUAACUAUAAUCUUGUGAAGACUCGUUACCUAAUGGGUAAAAAAUUUGAAAUUCUAUUAGUAUAAUUCUUUUUAGGCACAAAAGCUGUGAAAAUAGCAUUGGUGCUCUAAUUAAUAACCCCAUAAUUAUUAAGCAAUAAAACAACUUUUAAUAAAUUCUCUUUCACCACAUCCCACCAAUCCUAAUGCAAAAAAGCUAGGAAAAAGUCAUCAUUGCUCUAAGCAUUUCUCCUCACUAGUUGAAAGACUGCUUUAUGAACUUCCUCUUCGACAAAAGGACAAUCCAACCAAUUAGCACCAUUUUCCAAAAUGAGAGACCAACCCCCACUCUUCUAUCCUCUAAGGAUCUUCAUAUAACCAUUAAUGCCUUUCUAUACCAGCUAGUAUAUAUCGGGUUUUGGGCAAGUCCUAUAAAUUGGUUUGAGUAAGAUUUUUAAUUACCCUGUUCUUUCUUUUUAGUUGAUAAAUAUGCAUAUAUGUAGUAAUUCAUACAUCAGAAAAGAUUUUGCUAAAACAAAAGAAUUGACAUGCAGAUAGUGACUUCUUGAUAAGAGUAAUAGCUUAAGGGAGGAAAAUGAACUCCUCCAGUGGCCCCAAAGUGGUAAGUUCCUUCAGAUCCCAUGUUGCUAUUCUGCAUUUCUUUGUGUUUUGGCAUCAGCCCUCUUAAUUAAUUCACUAUCCAGCUUCUCAAAUUCCUCGGAUUCUUCCCUUGUUCUUGUGGAAACAUCUGCAUCUUGUCCUUGCAUUGUUAUGGAUUGGUGAUUAUCAUUCUUUGAGAACUGUGUGGCAGCUGCUCGUGCACCAGCUAUGGCUGCAAGGAGACCUUCUGGUUUCUUGUCUUCAGCAGCUUUGGAGCCAUCAAAGCAAGAAACAAGUAAUCCUGGUUUCAAAGAGAGGGGAUCUUGUGGUUCUGGAAGCAGAAACUUGACAGGUAGUGGAGCUUGAACAGGACGAAGACCCCUAACUGCUGCCUCAUAUAUCUGCAACAAUUUCAGGGGGGAUAAGUAAUUAAAAAUCAGUCACUCUAUUGCAUUAGUUAGACUUGCUUUCAAUGCGAUAGCAAAGAAAGAAUCAUCAAUGAAAAAAGAAAAAAUAAAUGAAAAAGAACAAAAAGGAGAGGGAAAAAAAAAUGAUGGGUGCUCAAUUUGUACUUUUCUUUCCAGGUUAUAAAUACGUUGGUACCCGCGCAUCUCAAAUGGUAUGAUUAAUUUCUGCAUCAGGUCAGGAGAACUAAGUCCAUCAAUAUACUAAAAAGCAAAUAUACCAAAAGGCAAGCAAAAAUGUUUAACCAUCUUGAGUGUCAAACUCUCCAAGAAACUAUAUACUUUUAGCUGAAUGAAAACACAUGCCUGUGGUUGCUCACAGAGCCAGCAAAACUCUGUUUGCGCUUCUAGCCUUACCUACAAAUAGAGUUUAGGUUAUCCAACCAAAAUGGAGAUACAUCACACAAAACAAACUGUACCUAAUCAGUUUACGAAGGGGACGGGGGGAAGCAAAAAGCAAAAGUAAAUUUCUAAGAUGCCCACCCCUUCAGGUACCUCCUUCCAGCACGCCAGCUCUUCACAUUUAACACAACCAACUACUUCAAUACAACCUGUGGCAAGAAUAGAGUUUGUUGGAUUUAUUGUAGCAUGCCAUACAGAAAAAUUUAGCAUUUCAGUAAGAAUAAGAAUAAGAGAGCUACUUUCCACUAAAAUACGAAUCACCCAUCAACUGUUGCAAACAGACAACAAUGUGAAUAACAGGUUUUAUAUAUAUAUAUAUAGAGAGAGAGAGAGAGAGAGAGAGAGAGAGAGAUAGAUAGAUAUAGAGAGAGAGAGAGAGUCAAAUAAUAAUAAAGGACAAAAAUAUUUCUUUGAGAAAGACUAAUUAGAAAGAAGAAACAAAGAACCCACAUGAAAUCAAUUUAGAUAAGAGAAAUACCUUUAAGAAUCUAGUUCUUUUUGCAAAUUGCAACUUAGAAUUGGAAUGCCACAUAUUAUUAUAAGGUAUCACAAGAGAUUAUUGCUUCAUUUUUUUUCUUUGCCAGAUCAGUUUUAAUAAAUAUAAAUAUAAAAAUAUAAGCAUGUACACACACACACGCAAACACAUUAUGUGUGUAUGUUUAUGGAUAUGUAGAUAUAGGUUUUUAAUAAUAGAGCAUGAAAACAUAUCUAGUCAGAAAUUCCAAAAAUCCAAAACCAUUAGCAACACCUAACAGUCUUGAAACUGGGUAAUGUUCUGGAAACUUGAGGUCUGCUAUCCCAUUCACAGCAUAGAUCUCCCUGUAGAAAUUCUCCAUUGCUUUGAUUGUGUCUGAAUCUGGGACCUUACUAGCAGCAUGAAUCCAGAGUCGGCCUUCAUAAAACAAAACAUGUAUAUUAAGAAAUAUCCUUGUAGAACAGUAACAUUUUUGCCAGCAUGCAAUUCGUGUUAAUAAUCCUUGGUUCUCACCACUCAUUGUACAUUACAAUGUAAAGACCUAAUAAGCCCUAAUAUAGGUAGGUGUCUGUGCAGAGAGAGAGAGAGAGAGAGGGGAGGGGGGUGAAAGGAAAGAUGAUUAUAGAACAAAUACAAGUUGAAUCUCCUGAAAUAAUGUCCAUCAAGUUAUUUCCUAGCAACAAGUACUGAUUAUGCUUUUCCUGAUAACAUGAUUUUCUUUGCUAACAACCAUACUAUAUUUUAUCAAGAAAGAGUAGUGCAUGUGGCGUGCAUCAAGACCCAUUAGAGUUCCGCUAAACCUAUAGUUCUGUCAACGUUAUCAUUUACGUUUCCUCUAGAUAAUGGCAUUUUCCUCUAAAACUCUUGCACCAUUAGGCUUCAAGUCAAAAUUUCACAUGUGAACUUUGGAAAUUUUCUCCAUUUGCCCCUAAGGAUACAGUUAGAAUUGACUUAAAAUCCUGAUUGAUGUAUACUUUUAACCGAAGAAUAUUGUAUAUAAUAAUUGAAAUAUUGUUGAUUCAUCGUGGAAAUACAUUUUGUAAGGAAAGUUGUUAAGAAUUUAGUAUGCUAUAUGGAGAAAAAAGUCAUGACUUAAGGUUGAGUAUGUAUAUUCUAUAUCAAAUAUUAGGUAGGAAUGUGGAAAAGAGCAGAGUGUAAUUAUAAGAAACAAAGAAAUAUAAGAUAUUCUUGAAAGUGGAAAAUGUAAAAUGGCUAAAAGUCAAAUUUAUGAUGCAUAAGGGGGAUCAUGUCACAUAAGAAACUCAUGGCAUACCAAAUACGUGUGGUAUGGAGUAACAAUUUUGUUAAAAUAAGUUUCUCGUUGGAGUACAUUAGGUGACAAUUUUUUAAUAUCAAAUUAAAGAGUCAAGUGCAUCAAUGAAGUCAUAUGUAGAAAAUUUGUUUGUGACAUGUACCAUAAAGAUAAGAUUGACUUGAUAUAAUUUAGUCCAGGUAGGAGUUGUUAAAGGUGUCUCAAAUUUCUAAUUGAUAUAUAUUUUUUUCUAAAAAAAUAUUAUAUAGAUAUUUCAAUAAAUGAUUAAUUCUUUGUAAAAAUACUUACAUAAUAAAAAACAUCAUUAGAAAUAUCUCUAUAAAUAUUUUAAAUCACAAAAAGAAAAAAAAAAUCACUAUGAGAUAAUUAUAAACAUGCAACAUUGUACCAAGUAAACAGAAAUGUGAUAAAAAAAUUUUGAGAAACACUAAAUAAAGGAAGGGCUUGUAUAUCAAGAUGUAAAUAUAGAGAGCAAUAUUUUUAAUCAUAUGAUAGAAUUAUUUUCUCUCAUUCAUGAUUAUAAGCAAAAUUGGGAACCAUUAUAAAAUCUUGUACACCUCGUGUAAAUUGAUGUUUGUCUUCAUAUUUUACACCAACAAAUGACAUUGAAGUUGUCAUUGAUAAAAGGGAAAAGGCAUGGCCUCCACACCAUGUGCUUGAAUCGUAUGGUUCAAGUUUAAAGAAUUUUCUCCAUAAUUUGAAGAUCUAAAACAUUUUCACCUUUAAAUUUCAUUUAAUUAUUAAUAUCUACAAAAAAUAGUUAAAUACUCUUUCUAUUUUUGAGUUGUUGAAUUUUUUGAAAGUUUUUAUAUUUGUUAUCAAGAAUUUAUAUUUUAUUAAGUGUGAAUAUUUAUAAAUAAGAUAUUAUAUAAUAUUUGGAUAAGAGAGAAUGGUGGAAUAUAAUAAAGUUUUAAUCCUUCCCAAUUUUUAUCUUUUUUUUUUUUUUUUUUUAUAAUCGCCUUUCUCUUUCAAUCCUAUUAUCAGGUACCUUAUAUUUGCUGAUGCUAUCUGGAACUAAAUUCCAAUCAGACAUUGUCCAAUUACUAAUAGGACAGAUCAUGUCUCUCUGUUUCUAAACUAACAUGUAUCGUAAUGUGGCCUCAUAAGGAAGGCUAGGAAGAUGGAGGAUUUUGUGGGAAGCGACCAGAAUCAGAUGGAAGAGAGAUAGCCCUGUUGACCUAAUGGCUGUAAUAGGAGAAGCGUGUGGAUUUAUGGGACUUAACUGAUACUAAACCUAUAUGAUGCUUGGAGUGGUGUUUCUUUCAUUUUGUUAAGAAAAUAUGGCAGCAUACAUCCUUUCAAUUGAGUGCAUCAGAGCAUCCAUAAUAGAUGGUCUGCAACCCUAGGUGCAUGCCACUUUCUGACUGAUAAUGAAACUGUCAGGUACUUGGCCUUGACUAAGCUCAACAGCAUCACAUAAAAAGAAGCUUUCAUACUUAGAUUACUGUUUAAAGCUUUUGCUUAUUUGCUUUCUUAAUGCCAUUAUGACAUUAUUGUUUCAAUUCUGCUACCGAUUUUCGAAGUUCUGGGCAUCUACUGAUUGCAUCAUUAUAUGAGAAGUUGCAUGAGUUUAUGUAUCCUGUUAUUGCUCCUUUGCGAUUUCACUGCUCACGGGACUAACCUCUCCAUUCAGUCGAAAUGAAUUGUAAUUUCUUUACUGGUAGCAGUAGUACUUUUCAUAGCAAAGAUAAUAGUAAAUAUGAAAUAUAAAUAGAAGGAAAUCUGAAUUGUAGAUGGCACUAUAAGUAACACUCAAUAUUCACUACAUAAUAAAAUAGACAGUGUUACAAAGGUAGAGAAACCUACAAUGAGUACUCAUCACCAUUCUCAAACAGAAACAUAGCAGCGACUUAUACAUAGAACCUAUAGGCUUGCAGGGAAAGAAGGGAAAGAGUAACAUGAUAAGUUCACAGCGGGUAGCAGCUCUUAUUUUACGUAUUACUCAAAAUCUCAAACUAACCAAAGUCACUCAGUUGGGAUGGGUAGGAGAUGGUGGUUUGUGGGGUGGCUUCUGGGUAGGAGCUGGUGGCUUCUUUGUUGGAGUUGAAGGAGGCGUAAUCUUCUGAGGUGGCUUGUAUGAGUCUUCGGCACUCUCUGCAGGAGGGUGCCCAGGGUUGUGACCGGAAGGAGGUGGCUUCUGUCCCUUUGGUGGUUUGCCUAAUGGGCUUGGUGGCUUGUGCUCCGGGAGUUGUUUCUCUCCCUCGAGUAGGUUUCGAGUUUUGUCAGAUGGCUUGUGUUCUGGUGGUGGCUUCUCUCCCUGGGGUGGUUUGCCGAAUGGGCUUGGUGGCUUGUGUUCGGGGAGUGGCUUCUCUCCCUGGAGAAGGUUACGAGUUUUGUCAGAUGGCUUUUGUUCUGGUGGUGGCUUCUCUCCCUGGGGUGGUUUGCCAAAUGGGCUUGGUGGCUUGUGUUCGGGAACUGGCUUCUCUCCCUUGGGAGGUUCAUUUGGUGGCUGGUGUUCCGUAGGUGGUUCCUUCACCGGCGGCUUGUGCUCCGGAAGCGGCUUCUCUACCUGGAGAAGCUUACGAGUUUUGUCAGAUGGCUUGUGUUGUGGUGGGGGCUUCUCUCCCUGGGGUGGUUUGCCAAACGGACUUGGUGGCUUGUGUUCGGGGAGUGGCUUCUCUCCAUUGGGAGGUUUAAUUGGUGGUUGGUGUUCCGUAGGUGGUUUCUGAAGUGGGGGAUGCUUGGGGUAGUCAGCAAGAGACGAGGUAGUGAGAACCACCAGUCCCAGCAGCAACACUAGCAAGGAUGUGGAAGACAUCUUUGAGUUCAGGCUGAGAUCUGUGCAAGGAUAAAAGAUUUAGGUGGCCUUUUAUAGAGGGAUGGACCCAACACCCAUAUGACACGUGUCAUGCACUCAUGGUGACACAUAAAUUCUAUGGAACCAUUUGGGUCCUACAGAAGUUGCAAAGUUGGACUAUUGAGGUGUGAUCACAACUUUUGUCCUUCUUGCUUUCUCUGCGGCCAUUGCCCAAUUUCCUUUAGCAUCAUUUUCUUGGCUAAAUAAGCGUAUUAUAUUUGUGGCAGACCGUCCACGUGUCAUAGACAGAUAUAUUAUAAUAAUGUAGUAUGCUUUUCUUCAACGGAACAUGACACUCUUCUAAGUCUUGUUUUAAAUACUGUGCAGUAUUACGUUAUACGUUGCUUGUUCCAAGUCAAAAUUGGUGGGCAAACGUUGGCCUUUUUUCAUUUUCCCUAAGAUUAAUGCUCACCUGGGAUAGGCACUACAUGAUAUAUCUGCUCUUUUACUGUGAAGUUGCUUUGUGCAUGAGUUACACCUCCCCUGCACACCCUCAACAUUUGUUGCUCUGUUUUCCUUGUGUCCAGACGAGGAUAUUAAUUGGAGGCUGACAAAACGACUGCUAGCCAAGGAUUUACAAGGUCCUGGUUUGACGCUUCCGCGAAAGUAUUUUUGAAAAGAUACACAUAGAGAUUGCGCGUUCGGUGCAAUGCAACAAUGUGAGCCAUUCUGAAGUUUUUAAUUUCAGAUUAAUGAAUGCUACAAAAUUCUAAGAAGGGCCGUUUCCAAAUAUUUGAGUUCAUUUAUCCGAACAUCGGAUAAGUAAUGAUCAUAGAUUAUUAUCUGACGUUCUUAUAAUGGUUGGCAUUAUAAGAGGGUAUAUGCUUCUUUCUCUAGCCCCUCCUUCAAGGGAGGGACAAUGUGAUCUGUAUCGUUAGAAGCUAUUCCAUGUCAUCAUCUUUGGGCUUAAGUCAAUACUAAAAUAUAUGGGCGGGGCCCCUGUCAUUUUAUAUUUCUUCUAGAAGGUUUGUUCUGGAAAUCUUUCACCGAAACAUAUCUUUUUCUUCUCUACGUGAUCCGGUUUGAAAGUUGGAAAAAUGGGUCCGUUAACAAGACACCGAGUUGAAAAGUUGGAAAAAUGGCAACACCGCCAACCUCUUGUAUUCGAUGGUUAAAUAAAAGGUCACUGGAAGUGAGAUCCCUUUUGGCCUCUUGAUUUUCAUUCCAGCAUCUCUAUGGCCUGAUAAACUAAAAAACUAAAAAAAAGACAGUACGUGGGUUGGUGUUAAGCAUCAAGAGUCAAGACAUGAUAAUGGAGAGAAAGGAUAUUCAAAUUCCAGUUCUGACAGCAUGAUUUUCUUUGCUGAACAACCAUAUUAUAUUUGAUCAAGAAAGAGUAGUGCAUGUGGCCAGGAUCAAGACAUACAUUAAUUUCCACAUGAUCAAGACAGUUUCUUCUAAAGCUCUUGCGCCAGUAGGCUUCAAGUCAAAAUUUCCCAUGUAAACACUGGUUUUUCUUUAAUUGCCACUAAGGAUGCAGUUAAAAUUGACUUAAAAUCCUACGUGAUAUAUUUUUUUAACAAAAGUAUAUUGUAUAUAAUAUUUGAAAUAAUGUUGAUUCGUUGUGGAAAUAUGUUUGUAAGGAAAGUUGUUGACAAUUUAAUAUAGUAUAAGAAGAAAAAAGCUAUCAGCUAGAGAUGAGUAUGUAAAGUGAGGCUCCCGAUUCAACGCGUAAAUAUAAGAUAUUUUAAGGCUCAAUAGUUAUGAUAUCUAUUUUAUUUUUUGUAUCUCAUAUAUUCAAAGAUAUAGUAAAAUGAUUUUAUAUAUAUAAACAUAGCUGAUUGUAUCAUGUUAAAACCUGGUAUGACUUUUUGUGCCAAUUGAUUUUUAUCUUUAUUUUGUAUAUUAGUAAUUAGUAUUAAAGUUUUUACUAAUAUAAUAACUAAUAUAAAAACUUUUUCUAAAAGAGUCAACAGAGCAAAACAUUUAUUGUAAAAAAAAAAUUAAAAUAUUAUUUUUUCUAUUUAGAAAAAGUUAUAUAUUUUAUUUUUUCUAUUUAGUAAAAAGUUUAUAAUAAGUCAUAAAAAAAAGUAGAAAAACAAACCACCUAAAUUCUGAAAACAAAUUAUUUUCAAUAAAAAGUCAAAAAAAUAAACACUAUCUUAACUAAACAAGCAUAUAUUAUAUUUGGUUAAAGAGUAGAGUGUAUAUGGCACACAUCAAGGAAGAGAAACAAAAUAAGUGGAAGACAAUCAAGGGAACAUGUAUGGUCUGCCUUUUUCUGAUGUUAUGUUUGUCUCUAAUUCUGUUCCAUGUCAUGGUAAAUGUUCACAUUGCUUGUAUGGAACAAAGGCUUCAUAUUGGGUUCAAUGCUUUUAAUGUGUUCAUUGGACAAAUCUGAAUUAUCAUACGCAUUUAGAUAAGAACAAUAAUGUGAAACCCUAGUUACACCUCCCCUGCAUAACCCCAACCCUGCUUGCUCUAUUUCAGUUUAUUCACACAAGUUUUACUGGUUCUUAUAAGUCAAGAAAAAGCCACUGAUGUUGGAUCGACUCUCUUCCAUGUAAAAAAAAGCAACUUUUAUAAAUAUAAAAGAACUUCUUCCCCUCACGAAUGUGGGAUAUCAUAGAUUUAUUCUGGAAACACAUCAAAGGAACAUCUUUUCUCUUGGGUGACCCUAAGUGGUGGGUCAGACCAUUUGCAUGCCAUUGAGUUGCACAGUUGGAUAAAUGCACCUACCUCCUGGGCUCCAGAGUAAAAGGGUGGAUCCCUGGAUUGCAACCCUCCUGGCAUCUUGGUUUCUAUUCCAACAUCCACAUGACUUGACAAAACAAAAAACAGAAUAAAAUCAGCACUAUAUUCAUGCUAAGCACCAAUACAUGAUGGAAAUCAUUGCUUAAAGAUUUGGGGUCGUUUAGGUUUUGACUGCCUCCUACCACCUCACCUAAUGACAAGUUUUUAUGCUUACAAAUCAAAUAUCAUUCUUCAUUAUAUUAAAAUCAUUUUAAGAUUUCAGAUCCAUCUGCUAAUUAUGAUUAUGAUAACAUUAAUUCACCUGUGCUUCUCAUUUUCGACACACAAGGCAUCUAGGUUUGCAGGAUUUCCUUAUUAGAUGAGAUAAAUGAGUACGCAUGGUUAUGUAUGCAGCAUUCAUUAACCAUGGUAUGUGACAUUUAGAAUUAAGAUAGCAAGCAAACUUUCCCUGCAGCUUGAGUAAAUUGUGAUUUCUUAGCCUCUAUGAGUGGUUCCCAAAUCAAAUUAACAUAGUGAAAUAUACGUAGUCCAGUGAAAGGAAAUGUAAAUUAUAAACUAACAGCACUACACUACUGGUAACACUCGAUACUCUCUAUAUAAUGCAAUAAACAAUGUCAAUGCUCAUUGCCUACAAGCAAGGCACAAACACUAGAACAAGUAAAGCACAAACCUUUCCCAACAGUUCCCAGUGACUGAUGCAUAGCAUACCCUCAACUCACAGAAGGGGAUGAUAUCAGUGCACUGCAGCACUUAUUUUACACAUACUACCACUACUACUACUACUACUACUACUACUACUCAUUAGCCAAAGUCACUCAGUUGGGAUGAGUGGAAGGUGGAGGCUUGUGGGGUGCUAUGUGGAAAGGAGUUUGGCUUCUUCUCAGGAGAUGGUAGCUUCGUUGCGCGAGUUGAAGGAGGCUUAAUCUUCUGUGGUGGAUUGUAUGAGUCUUUGGCACUCUCUUCUCUCGUUCAGGUGAGUACCCAGGGGUGUAUCCAUAAUGCGGUGGCUUCUAUCCCUUAGGUGGUUUGCCAAAUUCAAAAUCGAAGGAUUUUUUUUUUUUUAAGUAAACAUCUCUUUGAAAGCUUUUAUUUUGUAUGGCAAAUGGAAUGAGACGAGCUGUCAUAUUCUAUUUGGCCAGAGCGACAUAUCACAAAUGAACAAGCUAUUUACUGCCACACUGGGCAAAACAUACAUAAUCCUUGUACUUCAAACAUCCAUGAAUUCUCAUCAUUUUCAGGACAUGUUGCAUGGUUUAUCAUUCUAUAUGUCGGCAUAGUAAGUGCAGCUAAUAAGCCUAUUCAGAGCCGAAAUUCAAAAUCUAUUCACAGGAUAAUGACCUUAUUAUUGGAUUUUGCUCACUGUCAUACACACAUAUCAGAUAAAGCCCCACAUGCUCAUAAGCUACAAGCAACCUACAAGCACUAAAUGAGUGUUAGACGUAUGAAACAUUCCCCAAUACUAGUAGUAUUCCCUGUUCCAUAGGACACUAAAUUAGAAGAGAGAAGAUGUGAGACUCCAGCUUUUCUUUCUACAUAUUACUCAUAUCAAGUCGGAAUAGUUAGGUGGUAGAGGCUUGGGGUGCCUUGUGUAGUCUAGGCAGCUUCUCUCAGAAGUUGAUUUCGUCUUAAUCUGGAUGUCCAGGUUUCAUCCUUUCGAAUUUCCCAUGCAACUCAGCAUUCUCCUUGGGAAACUUCACUCCAUUGGGAAACUUCACUCCAUUGGGAAACUUGUGUGAAUCUUUGGCAUUCUCUACCAGAGAAGGCCCAGGGUAGUGACCAUAAGGUGGUGGCCUUUUUUCAGGUGGUGGCUCCUCUCCCACUGGAGGCUUGUGGUAAUCAGCAAGAGAGGCAGUGGAGAGAAUCAUCACCCCAAGGAACAGCACUAGCAAGUAUGUGUGAGCCAUAUUUGGGAUCUGAUGAUGAAGACUAGAAGAUAGGAGUGGCCUCUUAUAAUGGGUUGGAGACUAUAUCUCAAGGGGACGUGUAUUUAUGCAUAUGAUCUAUAUAGGACCUUCCUCCUAAUAUUUUCAAAAUAAUGUUAUUGUCUCUCUUGGGUGACGGUUUGAUUUGGUCUAUUUCCAUGCCACUGAGUCGAAAAGUUUGACAAUUGGCUACACCACCCACCAGGAUUCCAUGGUUGAAAGUGAAGAUCAGUACAGUGUGAUCACACUUGGCCUCUUGUUCUCCAUUCCAGUAUCUACUUAACCUGACAAAAGAAAAAGAAAAAGAAAAAGGGGAAAAAUAGCAUAAUGUUCAAAUAAAAACGAGAAAAAAUAGCAUAAUGUUCAUGAAUCAUGAUAAGCAUCAAGGCAUGAUAGUGAGAGAGAGGAAAGAAGACAGUGUAAUUUGCAAUCCUGAUAAUCAUUAUAUAGCAGUGACUUUAAUCAUUUUUUUAUCACAGGGAACAUGACACUCAUCUUCCUAUGGAGAUAUUGCAUAGGUUUUUUUCUUUGUAUGUCAACACUAACCAAUGAAGCAUGUUAGCUGGUUUGAAACUGAAAUUGUAGCCCUAUGUUUGGUUCUUGAAAAACUUGAGAGACAAUGGAAGUUAAAAGGAAAGAAAAAGUGAAAAAAAAAUAAAAAUAGAUUGAAAGUUAACAAAUUAUUUUUACAUGUUUCUUCAAACUUCUUUCACUUAUUUUUCCUUUUCUAUGUAAAGCUUAAAUGAUUUAAAAAUCAUAAAUUUCUAACUAAUUAUAAUUAUAUUUGAUUUUCUUUCAUAUUUUCCAAGGUAAAGCCAAACAUGAGAAAAUCAUUUUCCUUAAAAGCUGAAUUAUUUCCUUUACAGUUUCUUAGAACCAAACAUGGAAUAAAAGUCCAAAUUGGGGUUUCUCCAUGUUCCAUUUUUUAUGGCUACCUUUAUAGACCAUAUAAUAUAGAAUGUACUUGUGCAUACCUUCAAGAUCAAGCUGAACUAUAAGAAAAAGACAAGCCAUGCAUGGCCCACGGAGCAGGGGUACCAAGCUGCCUUCUCCUAGGUUAAGUUCCAAGAUUUCAGUCUUCAAACCUGCUAAAAGCUAAAGGCAUGUUUCCAGCCUGCGAGAGAUAACAUGCACUGUCCAACAAUAAAUUGCAAACACAUUCGAUGCAGUUUAUUAGUACAAUAAGAUUAAAUCCACCAAAUCUUUUACAGUUCAACCAACACUUGAACUAGUAGCUUCACUACUGGGUAAUAAUAUAUAAACCAAACUCUUGAUAGGAACCAACCUAUCGCAGAUCGAACUUCUUACAUCCACCAUGAAUUACUGAACCAAAAGAAGAAGAGGCUGCCAAGGAGGAAAGCCUUCCUAUAACUAGAUAUUUAUAUUCCAAAUUAGGGAGAGCACCCACUGCCCAGGCCUCACCCAGCAUAAACAGAUAGUAUACAUAUACAUGCAAAAAGCUCCAACCUUCAAGAUUUUAACUAUUAACUUAACACAAUUAAAAAUGUAUCCAAAAAGCAAAUCCCCUUGAACUCCUGAAGCAAUUACUCCAACCAAAUAAAGAUUUUAAGAGUUCCAUGUUCAUAUCCUGCAAGGAAAUCAUUCAAUGUUCAGACCUCUAAUUUCUGUCUUUCUAAAUGCCCAGCCAAAAGGCAUGAAGUAUCAUCCAAAUUGGAUGCACAGCAUAUGUUCUUAAAUCAUGGGAUUUCACCAUGAGUUACUACACUCUAACAGGGCCCAGAAAUUGACCUCCAGAUAUGCCUAUCAAAAAAUCAUCCCCACAUACAUUUUUCUGCUCAAAAGACAAUAUUGUUACAUGUGACGUUCAACCACCACUUGAACUCAACAACCAGGGAAAAGAAUAUAGUAUUUCUACCAAUCAGGAUGAGAGGGGCUGGUGAAUUAACAGGUAAAAGUUUGUUUUGGGUUAUUGUUUGCAUAAUAAAUGCAACCUAUGACACAAUGCUUCAAAACCAAGCUAAGUCAGUCACAUGGAUGGGCAGGAUGCCAUUUAGGAUUUGUCCAAAAGCAUGAAGACCACUUGAGUCAGCCUGGUUGCCCUCAAUUCAGAAAUCAGCAAGUAAUACAGUGUAAUUCAGCUUCAUCACUGUAAAAUAACUAUUUAUAUUCUAGCUAAAGUUACCAAAUUGUAAUUCGUCUUGCGUAUUUUUCCUCAUUCUCAACCUAUUUGAUGUACCUAUUACAUUUCAUAUAUACAUUUGUUCUUUUAAGAUUUUCAAUCACUCCAAUUAACCAAAAUUUUCAGAAUUUAAUACACCAGGCAAUAAUAGAGUAAUUCCAUUGUUGACCAAAGGCACAAAGGCAUCAGCGCUAUUCAAACUUCAUGCUCUUUCUUAUGCUAUUGAGUAGUAUAUUAUAAAUUAAUGUAAAAAUGGAUUAGCAUAACAUAUAUUGCCAUAAGAGAACCACAUACUACAAAGAAACUUAUUUUCCAAACAAGGAAAAUUAUUCAUAGCCAUUAUUACAUAAGAAAGGAAAUUGAUAAAAUUAUUAUCCAGUUCCCCAUCAGGAAAUAUGAAAGUACUCCUAAAAGCCUCAAUUCUAACCAGGAAACCAUAGGAAUGUAUUAGAAAUAUUGUACAGGGUUCUCUCCAAUAUUAUCUUCAGUUGCUAAGGAGAUCAGAACCUUGAAAGUAAGUCACAAAGGUCGUGUGGGUUUCCCAGAGUCUUCAACAACCAGUAUUCACAUAUGUACACAUUAAAAUUAAAUAAAGCAGGUAUAAAUUCCACAGGCUUUAAGAUUUGAAUUGCUUCUCCCUGGAAUCAUACACCACUCAUAUUGUCACUGACUUUCAAUUACUUCUCCCUGCGAUCAUAUGCCACUCAUAUUGUCACUGCCUUAGGGAACAAAGUGAAAAUCUGCAAUUUCAAUUAAUUCCAACAUAAAAAUAAAAAUCAAUCCUCAAAAAAUGGAUUGCCAGGAGGUAAAUAUAAUAGAAGACGAACAACUCUCACAACCAAGUUAAAGAAACCAGCCGCUAGGUACCUUUGAGUUCUAUACUACCAGGAACAAAUUGGAUGAGAUUAUUUAAAGGCUAUUCCACAGUGGAAAUUCAUUCGUUCAAAAAACAUUUGUCAUGCAUAUAGGCAAUCUAUCCUAUGCAUUCAUACAUCAUGGUCUCAUGCAAUCUUAAUAAAAGUGGUCCUGGAAAAAGAGAGAAAAAAGUAAUUACAAGCCUGUGCGACCAGAUUUCUUUUGUUUUUUUUUUUUUUCCUUUGCCAAACAACCAUGUUCAUAGUUUCAGAAGUUCAUUCUGUCUUUAAGAGACCCAUGGCAGUGACUUGGCCAUUCAGCUAAGAAGGUGAAACUUCACAUUUUCACACAUAAUCCAUUUCUUUCUCUAACAUAAUUCAAAUGAAAACCCUUAACAAUUGGAGUACGAAGUUCAAAUGGAAAACUUUCUGAAGAGAGGCACCCUAGCUUUCAUCUAUGAAGUAGCAUGAAUCCAUCAACCUAAUUCCUAGUCCAGCAAGGAUAUCAAUUAUCUGAAGAUCUUGUGUUGCAACAGAUACCAUUUCCAUGAAAAAGCACAAGCCAUGGAGUAGCCUCAAAUUGUUAAUCCCUGUUGAGAUACAUGUGCUUUAUGUCACACUCGAUAAAAGUCGAACAAAAUUUGUGGAAAUCCGGAGGAAAUCCAGAAGGUACAGCUGUGUUAGAGCUGUAUCACAGUUGUGAUAUAGUUGUUUCCUAUUCUAAUUUCAUUUCCUGAUUUUAUGAGACUUUCUCCUAAAAUCAAGGAUUAGAUUUCUUUUUCUAAGGCAAAUGACCUCAGUCAUUCAUGUAUAAAUAUCAAUGCAAGAAUCAAUUUGAAAGAUGAGAGAAAAAUAAAAGCUCCCUCAAAUUUCUUCAUCGUAUUAGAGCUAAUUCUAACCCAUUCAAUCUGUCCAUAACCAAAUACGGAAUGGUCACCAAGGACUCCUCAACCUCAAAAUAAUAGAGAAAGUCUAGGACACCAUGUCACUACUGAGGACAACCCAACACCACAACAUUUCAGUCCGUUCAAAAAGAGUAAUUGGAAUUGUUGCAAAAAAUGUUCAACUAGUCCCAACAGGAGGCAAAUUCCUCCAUUUCUUCAUCGGGUCCGGAUCCUUUGCUCAAAAAGGUAAUUUUCUUACUGCCCUAAAAGAAAAAGGGAAAAUGUGAGUCAUUGGAUUGUUGACUCAGGAGCUUUUGAUCACAUGACUAGAGUGCCACAAUUUUUCAAAAUUAUACACCUUGUUUUGGGGAUGAUACAAUUCGUAUGGCUGAUGGUUCUCUCUCAAAGGUGACUGGUACAAGUUUUAUUGUCAUCUCUAAGGACCUAACUCUUGACUCUAUUCUUUUGGUUCCAAACUUGGAUUGCAAUCUAUUGUCCAUUAGUAAACUCACUUAUGAAAAGAACUAUGUUACUAAAUUUUUCCCAAACCAUUAUGUUUUUUAGAAUUUGAAUUCGGGGAAGACGAUUGACAAUGUUGAAGUGUGUUCAGGACUCUAUGCCUUCAAAGUGAAUUAUUAUAUUGAAAGACAACCUUAACCAAUAGUUGGUGAAAAAUGGUGUCUUUUUGUCUUUAGUUCUAAUAAAGAUAGUGAUGUUAUGUUAUAGCACUAUCGUCUAGGACAUCCUAGUUUCUUGUAUCUCAAAAAACUCUUUCCAUCAUUAUUCACUAAAAGCUCAGAUGGUUUUCAGUGUGAAAUUUGUCAAUUAUCCAAGCAUGUUUGCAAGCCCUAUCCAUAGUUUUAAAAGACUUAAGGCGCACCAAGACGCAAAGUCCUCUUGGAGCUUCAGGCGCAAGGCACACCUAAGGCACAAACUUUAGUAAAGUGAGGCGCAUCCUAUUUUACAUAUAUAUUUUUAUAUAAUAUAAUCAAGUGCCCAAAAAUUUUCCUCUAUUUUUCCCCUUCUUCUUCAUCCUCUUCUCUUCUUCACAUUGUUCGGGAGGCUGGGGCUUUUUUUUUUUUUUUUUUUUUUUUACAAGUCCAAAACGAGCAUAUAUUGGGUUUUGGAAGAAGAACAAGCCAAAACGACAUCAUUUUGGAGCCUAAUUUUUUAAAUAAAUAAAUAAAUAAAAACAGGCCAAAAAUGACACCGUUUUGGCCCCUGUUCUUUUAAAAGAACAAACCAAACAACGUCAUUUUGAUCUCAGGAAAUUAAAAAAACAAAACCCUCAUCAUUCUCCCUUUGCCACUCUACAACUCGUCGUCAAAGGGUAAGAAGAUGACCAAAAGAAGAAGAAGAAAAAAAAAAAAACGACGACAGAGGAUAGAGGUGCACCUGUUGAGGGCGUUGCGCCUAGCCAAGAGGCGAGCGCCUUGCACACUUAAUCAACAUCUCCGUGAAGGGGUGGCGCCUACAUUCAGGCGAGGCGCUAAAGGGUGAUGUCACGCCGUCUAGAGCCUAGGCACGCCUUUCACAACUAUGACCCUAUCCAAUUCAACCAUACAAACCAUCUCAUCUUUUUUCCAUACAUAGUGAUGUUUGGAGGUCUUCUAAAAUAAAGAACAUAACAGGAACUAGAUGGUUGAUGAUCAUACUAGAAUUUCUUAGAUAUUUCUAAUGAAAAAAAAAAUCAGAAAUUAGUCAAAUUUUCUAAAAGUGGAUCAGAAUUUCUUUAUUGAAUUAAAAAGUUGAAAUUAAUAUUUUGGAAAAGUUAGGGGCGCUCGAGUGGUAGAAAUAGCGCUCAAGCGCUAGGACCGCUCAAGCACUUAACUAGCACUUGAGCGCUCAUAUAGAAUCUGCCAGAAUAUGGAAGAAUAUUUUUUGGAUAAUCAUGAAAAUUGGAUUUGGAAACUUUAGAAUAUCAAUCUCCUUCGGCCUAGAGGUUUAUAUAAACCCUAUUAUAACCCUUUAGGGUUAAGAAAUUCACCAAGUGGUUUACCCUAACUUGUCAUACCAUUCCCGAUCUCUCAUCAAGGAAUCAAAGUGUUUAAUCUUGGGUUGUUUGAAGACCUACAUCCCUUCAACAAGGCUAAGGUGUAUUCACUAGAACAAUUGAAAUUGUUGCAUCGCGGACAUGAAUCAAGUUGCAGGUUCUAGAGAGUAAGUCUUUAGAAUAAAGCAGACAAAGAGUUCUAUGUGACUUGAUCUCAUAUAGUGGAUUUAGCUUUGCAGUCUUAGACCUCGUGGGUUUUUAUCUCCACAGUUAGUGUGGGGGUUUUCCACAUAAAAAUUCUUGUGUCUCUUGAUCUUAUGUUUGAUUUUGGAUAUUCUAUUUAUCCCUGAUAUCUCACAGGUUAACUUUAGGUUAAAAAUUCAACUCCCUAUUCAAUAAUUUUUAAAAUACACUCAUUCACGAGUGUUAUCCUACUGGAAAUUGGUUUUUCACCAUAUAUAACACUCAUACCAAAACCCAUGCAACAUGGACUCCAACCUUAAGCUUAACUUUCUACGAAUGGAAAAAAAAAAAAAAAAAAAAAAGACAUAACAUAAAUAGACAGAUUUAACAACAUGCUCCUAAUCAAAGUGAAUGUCCCUCUUUUUGAAAGAUAUGACCUUUUCCAUACGAGGAGCUUUCUCUAUAAUUUCACCUCUACCAAUUCCCAUGCCUUUACAAAGUUGUGGAAAGCUCCAAAGAGAAGGCCCAGACAUGUAAUGGGUAGAUUCCCUACCUUAGAACCUAACACCAAAGCUAAACCCCUAAUAUUUGUGACUUCUAUAAGAAUCAAUUCAUUUUUUUCCAUAUUUAUUUCUAAAUCAGACAUUGCCUCAAACCACAUGAAGUUCUAACUUGGAUGCUACAGAUGCUCUUAAUUAGUGUCACAAAAAAAUAGGGUAUCAUCAUCAACCAAGAAAUGUGACACUUCCAUCCCCUCCCCCCGUCUUCCUCCCACUUUGAAACUUGAGAUGUAACCCCUUUUAUCUAAUUCUCCUCAGAAUUCAAUUGAAAGCCUUCAUUGCCAAUAUGAAAAUAUAAGGGGAGAGAGGAUCUUUCUACCUCAAAUCCCUUGAGCUCUCAAAGAAACUGAAUAGGACACUCUUUACUAGAAUAGAGAAUUUAGUAGUGGAAAUGUACCAUUUGAUCCACCUUACCCACUUAUGAUCAAAGUCCAUUUUAUCCAACAUCGUUAACAAAAAGAUCCAAUUUACAUGGCCAUCGUCCUUUCCAAUGUCUAACUUGCAAAUUACCCCACUAUUGGGACUCUUUAGCCUUGAAUCUAGAGCAUCAUUUAUUAUUAGAACUACAUCUAGAAAUUGUCUGUCUUCCACAAAAGCAUGCAAAUAAACUAAAACUAUUUUACCCACCACAUUUUUUAGUCUUUUAGCCAAGACUUUUUCCAGUAGCUUGUACAAAAAACCCCCCAACUAAGCUAAUCAAUGUAAAAUUUUUCAGGUUCUCUACUGCACCUAUAUUAGGGAUCAAGACCAAGAAUGUGACAUUUAAAUUUUGCUCAAAGGAACAAUUAUCAAAAAACUCCCCAAGCUCAUUUGCCAAAAUAUUAUAAUAAAUCCAUUUGGCCCCUACAGCUUUCUCCCCACUCAAGCUAGACAAGGCAACAAGAAAUUCCUCAUCAAAGAAAGGUAACUCCAAUUUCCUAGAAUCAGCACAUAGCAUAACUUCAAAGCUCAUCCCAUUAAUGUUGAGUCUCCAAUCGCCCAUUUCAGAUAGGAGAUUUUGGAAGGCCCUAAACUCCCCUUCCUUUAUAUUUGCUUCCCAAGCAAUCAUUUUGCAUUCACUCAAACUUUAAACAUGAAGUUUUUUAUUCUUUGGGCAUUGACCAUUUCAUGGAAAAAUUUGGUGUUUUUAUCCACACCACCCCCCCCCCUCUAACCAAAUUUCUCUUUAUUUUUGCCCCCAUACAUAUAGAUUCUUCUAACAAGGCCCACUUGCUAAACUCAAUCACCACUAACCUUUUGGCCUCAACAUUUUCAAGAGAUAAGGUAACUGCUCUCUACUUUGAGUCCCAGAAGUUGAUCCAGUUUAGCACCUCUAGGUUUUUUGUUGAGACAUUCCCAAAACCUUCUUCAUUCCAAGAUUUUAAAUCUCGUUUGACAACCUUUAGCUUCACUUCCAAAAUAUGACCAUACAAGCCAUCCACAUUAUAACCAUCAACCAACUCCUCACAAAAUCUUUUAAGCCUUUUGUUUUAGGGCACAUAUUUUAAAAUGUAAAGUGUGUUUUCCCACUACUUAUCCUACCUCCAUCUAAAACUAUGGGGUAGUGACCUAAAAUUGCUUUAGGUAAAACACUCUGGAUUAAAGUAGAAAAACGAUUCUACCAAUCAUCUGACACUAGGAAAUGGCCAAGCCUUGAAGAAGACAAAAGAUUAUGAACACCACUCCAAGUGAAUAGCCCUCCAACUAGCGAAGGAUCCCAAGGUCAAGUCCUCUAUGUCCUCUGAAAAGAACCUCAUAUCAAACAACAUUCUAAGGCAAUUCCUCCUAUUCAUGGGGAACUUGACCAUAUUAAAAUCCUCUGAAGCACUAGAGGUCAUCCCAAAGGCCUCUUAUGGCACCCAACUCUACCCAGAAAUCCACUCUUUCUCCCCUUUAAACCAACCCAUAAACUCUUAAGUAUACCUAGACAAAGCUAUCUUCACAAUUCAUAGACAAGCAAUAAAGAAUGCUUCCACCUCCUUACCAAUUAACUCUAAUACCCUACUAUCUUGGAAAACCAAAAUGCCUGCUAUCAAGCUUCUAACUUCCAGUACCAUUUCAAAAAUCUUCCUACUCCUAAACUCCUUACCAGUUGAACGAACAUCUAUUGAACCUUGGUUUCUUGUUAACAAACUAGAUCAACCCCUUGAGACCUUAUCAAUGACUUUAUUAUCAUAUACUUUUCCUCAUCAUUUGCUCCUUUGACAUUCCAAGACAGGAUUUUUAGCUCCAUCAUGCAACCUAUGUUGGAUCCUAAUUGCUACUCUUGUAGCCCUUUUCUUUUUUGUUGAGCUUUUAUAAUUGACUAAGCAUCCCAACUUGCUGAGGUCCCUCUCAAACCAAGAUAUCGAGGUUAACUUCCUCUUCACCCCCAAUGAAAAAACAGAAAGCCCUCUCCUUAGCCUGCCACACAAGGGAAAAGAUCUCUUUUUCAAAUCCAUCAACUGGCAUUCUUAAGAAACUAUUGAAAUUUGCCAACUUACAAGAUAUACAAUUGGAGGAGUGCUCUUUUACCAAACAACUACUAAAAUUCACCUCAAAGGUGACCUUUUCCCCUGAUCUCUCCCCGGCCUCCAUUCCCACUGACCCUUUCACGAAAUUUUCUAGAAGUUCCACUGUCGAGCCUUUACGGAGAACCAUCCUCAACAAACUCCUUUGACUAGUGUGAAAAACCCCACCCAAGACCAUCUUCCAGAAGUUAACUUACAAGAUUAGCUAUAAUCUUGUGAAGACUCGUUACCUAAUGGGUAAAAAAUUUGAAAUUCUAAGAUGUGAAAAUAGCAUUGGUGCUCUAAUUAAUAACCCCAUAAUUAUUAAGCAAUAAAACAACUUUUAAUAAAUUCUCUUCCACCACAUCCCACCAAUCCUAAUGCAAAAAAGCUAGGAAAAAGUCAUCAUUGCUCUAAGCAUUUCUCCUCUCUAGUUGAAAGACUGCUUUAUGAACUUCCUCUUUGACAAAAGGACAAUCCAACCAAUUAGCACCAUUUUCCAAAAUGAGAGACCAAUCCCCACUCUUCUAUCCUCUAAGGAUCUUCAUAUAACCAUUAAUGCCUUUCUAUACCAGCUAGUAUAUAUCGGGUUUUGGGCAAGUCCUAUAAAUGGGUUUGAGUAAGAUUUUUAAUUACCUUGUUCUUUCUUUUUAGUUGAUAAAUAUGCAUAUAAGUAUUAAUUCACACAUCAGAAAAGAUUUUGCUAAAACAAAAUAAUUGACAUGCAGAUAGUGACUUCUUGAUAAGAGUAAUAGCUUAAGGGAGGAAAAUGAACACCUCCAGCAGCCCCAAAGUGGUAAGUUCCUUCAGAUCCCAUGUUGCUAUUCUGCAUUUCUUUGUGUUUUGGCAUCAGCCCUCUUAAUUAAUUCACUAUCCAGCUUCUCAAAUUCCUCGGAUUCUUCCCUUGUUCUUGUGGAAACAUCUGCAUCUUGUCCUUGCAUUGUUAUGGAUUGGUGAUUAUCAUUCUUUGAGAACUGUGUGGCAGCUGCUCGUGCACCAGCUAUGGCUGCAAGGAGACCUUCUGGUUUCUUGUCUUCAGCAGCUUUAGAGCCAUCAAAGCAAGAAACAAGUGAUCCUGGUUUCAAAGAGAGAGGAUCUUGUGGUUCUGGAAGCAGAAACUUGACAGGUAGUGGAGCUUGAACAGGACGAAGACCCCUAACUGCUGCCUCAUAUAUCUGCAACAAUUUCAGGGGGGAUAAGUAAUUAAAAAUCAGUCACUCUAUUGCAUUAGUUAGACUUGCUUUCAAUGCGAUAGCAAAGAAAGAAUCAUCAAUGAAAAAAGAAAAAAUAAAUGAAAAAGAACAAAAAGGAGAGGGAAAAAAAAAUGAUGGGUGCUCAAUUUGUACUUUUCUUUCCAGGUUAUAAAUACGUUGGUACCCGCGCAUCUCAAAUGGUAUGAUUAAUUUCUGCACCAGGUCAGGAGAACUAAGUCCAUCAAUAUACUAAAAAGAAAAUAUACCAAAAAGCAAGCAAAAAUGUUUAACCAUCUUGAGUGUCAAACUCUCCAAGAAACUAUAUACUAUUAGCUGAAUGAAAACACAUGCCUGUGGUUGCUCACAGAGCCAGCAAAACUCUGUUUGCGCUUCUAGCCUUACCUACAAAUAGAGUUUAGGUUAUCCAACCAAAAUGGAUAUACAUUACACAAAACAAACUGUACCUAAUCAGUUUACGAAGGGGACAGGGGGAAGUAAAAAGCAAAAGUAAAUUUCUAAGAUGCCCACCCCUUCAGGUACCUCCUUCCAGCACGCCAGCUCUUCACAUUUAACACAACCAACUACUUCAACACAACCUGUGGCAAGAAUAGAGCUUGUUGGAUUUAUUGUAGCAUGCCAUACAGAAAAACUUAGCAUUUCAGUAAGAAUAAGAAUAAGAGAGCUACUUUCCACUAAAAUACGAAUCACCCAUCAACUGUUGCAAACAGACAACAAUGUGGAUAACAGGUUUUAUAUAGAUAUAUAUAUAUAGAUAGAUAGAUAGAUAUAUAUAUAUAUAUAUAUAUAUAUAUAUAGAGAGAGAGAGAGAGAGAGAGAGAGAGAGAGAGAGAGAGAGAGAGUCAAAUAAUAAUAAAGGACAUAAAAAUAUUUCUUUGAAAAAGACUAAUUAGAAAGAAGAAACAAAGAACCCACAUGAAUUCAAUUUAGAUAAGAGAAAUACCUUCAAGAAUCUAGUUCUUUUUGCAAAUUGCAACUUAGACAUGGAAUGCCACAUAUUAUUAUAAGGUAUCACAAGAGAUUAUUGCUUCAUUUUUUUUCUUUGCCAGAUCAGUUUUAAUAAAUAUAAAUAUAAAAAUAUAAGCAUGUACACACACACGCACACACGCAAACACAUUAUGUGUGUAUGUUUAUGGAUAUGUAGAUAUAGGUUUUUAAUAAUAGAGCAUGAAAACAUAUCUAGUCAGGAAUUCCAAAAAUUCAAAACCAUUAGCAACACCUAACAGUCUUGAAACUGGGUAAUGUUCUGGAAACUUGAGGUCUGCUAUCCCAUUCACAGCAUAGAUCUCCCUGUAGAAAUUCUCCAUUGCUUUGAUUGUGUCUGAAUCUGGGACCUUACUAGCAGCAUGAAUCCAAAGUCGGCCUUCAUAAAACAAAAACAUGUAUAUUAAGAAAUAUCCUUGUAGAACAGUAACAUUUUUGCCAGCAUGCAAUUCGUGUUAAUAAUCCUUGGUUCUCACCACUCAUUGUACAUUACAAUGUAAAGACCUAAUAAGCCCUAAUAUAGGUACCUGUGCAGAGAGAGAGAGAGAGGAGGGGGGUGAAAGGAAAGAUGAUUAUAGAACAAAUACAAGUUGAAUCUCCUGAAAUAAUGUCCAUCAAGUUAUUUCCUAGCAACAAGUACUGAUUAUGCUUUUCCAAAAGUGUCAUUUUUAAUAAUUCAAUAAUGUAGAUACUUGAAUUUCGCAUUCACACAUACACACAAAUAUGUAUAUACACACAAGAUUAUGCACCACGUGAUCAGGGUGAAUGCUGGGAGGCGUGGUCCCAAUAAGAGGCACAUGGUCUCAGGUUCGAAUCCUGCAACUGAUGAUACCCUAAUUUACCCGGUGCUGAUUUUUACGGGCUCGUUCAGCACCCCGAGGUUUGGGUCCCCAUGGAGAGUCCUAAGGGCUUGGCCAUGGAAGGUUCCUCGAUUAUCAAAAAAAAAAAAGUUAAAUGAGGAGGUCACAUCAUUAGUAGCACCGCUACAAAUUGCAAACUGUUGAAUAUAAUGAAUUUAUAGUGUACAAUCUUUCCUUUUUUUUAAUAUAGGUCACAUGUAUGGUUGUUAGGACUCCUAGCCUUGUAUAUAUAUAUUUUCUCAAUUGUAAGUAGAUACUAUAUCAAUGAGAAUCAAGGUUUUCUUCUCUCUCUCUCUUAACAUGGUAUCAGAGCCAAGGGAGAAAACCUAAUUCUUUCCAAUUUCCCCGUGUCAUCAAUUCCGGGAAACCUUCCUGUGACCGUGUUUCAUUCCAGUCACCUUCCCCAGACCCCAAAGCUUUCCGAUCGGUCGAAUCGUUGUCAGAAAACAUUCACCGCCGACGACAUUUCCGGCGACGUCUUUUUCCAACACUGCAAGGAGCGCCUAGAAGAGAUCUCCAAUUUUUCCCAAAGCACCGAAGCCAGAAAACCACCCAUGCGUCGGCCACGUGCAUUUUUCCGACCGGCGACUGCAUCUCACGCGCCAGCACAUGAGGGCGCGUGAGCCACUUUCCGGCGACACGCUUCCUCCUCCAGCCUCGCCCGACGCCGACUAGCCACCCUUCAUACCUGUUUCUGCCAUCCGAGCCCUGCACGUGCCUCUUUUGGGGUUCUUUUGCCUCCGUCGGCCCUCCGAACAGUUUUUCCGGCGUCCUCCGGCUAUUUUUUCUCAACCCCAAUCCCUGCACGUGCCUUGGGAAGUGUUCUUCUACCUUUCCGGUGGUGCCACGGUUGUUUUUCUUUUCUAUUUGGUCUCUUACACGGGCGAUUCUUCAGUUUUUCCUUCUUCAGCAGCAUAUGAAGCCGUAUUAAGGCUCUCUUCGAUCCAAAUAUACUUCAUUCUCCAGAUAAGUGGAUAUGGCUACUAAAACUUCCAUUUUUUCCUCUGUCAUAUCUGGAUCUCCUAUGAUUACUUCAGAGAAAUUAGUUGGCAGUGAAAAUUAUCUUUCUUGGUCUGCCUCUGUUGAACUUUGGUUUAUGGGACAAGGAUAUGAGGAUCACUUAGUUACACAGGAGGCAGAUAUCCCUGAGGUUGAGCGCGUACAGUGGAGAAAGCUAGAUGCCCAGUUAUGUAGUGUAUUAUGGCAAUCAGUUGAUCCCAAUAUCCUUCUUCAUCUUCGGGCCUACAAAACUUGUUUUAAAUUUUGGACUCAGGCCAAAGGAUUAUACACGAAUGAUAUCCAGCGUCUUUAUAAGGUGGCUUCUGCUAUUAUCCAUAUCAGCCAACAGGACUUGGAUCUAUCUACUUAUAUUGGCCAGAUUGCCUCUCUUAAGGAGGAGUUUUUGACUGUGAUGCCUCUUACUCCUGAUGUUGGGGCUCAACAAACACAGCUUGAUAAGUUCUUCAUGGUCCUUACUCUUAUUGGCCUCCGUCCGGAUCUUGAGCCUGUACGCGAUCAAAUUCUUAGUAGUUCAUCAGUUCCGUCCUUGGAUGAUGUGUUUGCUCGCCUCCUUCGUAUCUCGUCCACUCAGACUUUGCCAUCUGAUAGCAUUUCAGAUUCUUCUGUGUUAGUUUCUCACACUACCUCUCGAGGAGGACGCAGUGGUAACCAAGGUAGAGGCCAACGUCCUCAUUGCACCUAUUGCAAUUGUUGAAUAUAAUGUAUGUAUAGUAUACUAUCUUUCCUUGUUAAUAUAGGUCACAUGUAUGGUAGUUAGGACUCCUAGCCUUGUAUAUAUAUAUAUCUCUCAAUUGUAAGUAAAGAUUACAAUGAAUGAGAAUAAGGUUUUUCUCCUCUCUCUCUCUCUCUCUCUCUCAACAUGGUAUCAGAGCCAAAGGAGAAAACCUAAUUUUUCGGUUUAGCCGUGUACUCAAUUUCGGCGAACCGUCCAGUGACCAUGUUUUCACUCCGGUCCCCUCACUCUCUUUCCGAACCACCCCGGACAACCUCAUCGUCGUCGGAUCUCCACCACGCCGGCAACCUUUUCCGGCGAAAUUUUCCGGCGACCUUUUUUCCGGGCAAAGACCACAUAUUCCGAACCGCCGGAGGCUGAUCUACACGCCAGUGGAAACCCCACCGGCAACCGGCAUCUCACGCACCCCCACGCGCCGCCCUUCUCCUCCGGACUAUCACCCACGCGCCGGCGCGUGACGGCGCGUGGCUCACUUUCCGGCCACUUCUGACACCUCUCCAGGCUCGUCCGGCGCCGUCUUGGCCUUCUAGCCCUCCGGCAGUCCUCCCCGAGCCCUGCAUCUCCAUUUUUUCCCUGUUUUUGGCUUUCUUGCCAUUCCGGCCACCUCCGACAGGGCUCCCCCUCCAUCCCCGAGGCUUGGGUGUUGCUUCUCUUCCUCUCCAGGCACGUCACGACCUUUUUUUCUCCAUUGAUUGCACCUCUCACAGCCGUGGUUUCACUGUUUUUCUCUCUCCGCCGAAAUCUGAACCCAUCUUAGGGCUCUCUUCGAUCCAAAUACGUGAAUAUGACCACCAAAAAUCAGAUCUUUACGUCUGUUCUCUCUAGAUCUCCUCUGAUUACCUCAGAGAAAUUGGUUGGCAGUGAGAAUUAUCUCUCCUGGUCUGCCUCUGUUGAACUUUGGUUUAUGGGUCAAGGAUAUGAGGAUCACUUGGUUACCCAGGAGGCAGAUAUCCCUGAGGUUGACCGCGUACAGUGGAGGAAGAUAGAUGCACAGUUGUGUAGUGUAUUAUGGCAAUCGGUUGAUCCCCGGAUUCUUCUUCAUCUUCAGGCCUAUAAAACUUGUUUUAAAUUUUGGACUCAGGCCAAAGGAUUAUACACGAAUGAUAUUCAGCGUCUUUAUAAGGUGGCUUCUGCUAUUGUCUAUCUCAGCCAACAGGACUUGGAUCUAUCUACUUAUAUUGGUCAGAUUGCCUCUCUUAAGGAGCAGUUCUUGACUGUGAUGCCUCUUACUCCUGAUGUUGGGGCUCAACAAACACAGCUUGACAAGUUCUUCAUGGUCCUUACUCUUAUUGGCCUCCGUCCGGAUCUUGAGCCUAUUCGUGAUCAGAUUCUUGGUAGUUCAUCAGUUCCGUCCUUAGAUGAUGUGUUUGCUCGCCUCCUCCGUAUCUCGUCCACUCAGACUUUGCCAUCUGAUAGCGCUUCAGAUUCUUCUGUGUUAGUUUCUCAAACUACCUCUCGAGGAGGACGCAGUGGUACCCGAGGUAGAGGCCAACGUCCUCAUUACACCUAUUGCAAUAAACUUGGCCACACUCGCGAUCGUUGCUAUCAGUUACAUGGAAGACCUCCUCGCACUGCCCAUAUGGCCCAGUCCUCUGAUUCUCCGCUGCCUUAGCCUUCGAGCUCCUCCGCAUCUCAGACAUCUCAGGCUUCUAUUGCCUCUGUUGCCCAGCCUGGUAAUGCCUCUGCCUGCCUUACCCACACAUCUUCUCUUGGACCCUGGAUUCUAGAUUCUGGAGCAUCUGAUCACCUAUCUGGUAAUAAGGAUCUUUUCUCCUCUAUUACUACUACCUCUGAUUUACCUACUAUUACCUUAGCUAAUAGUUCUCAAACUGUGGCUAAAGGUAUUGGUUUGGCCCUUCCUCUGCCUUCUCUACCUCUCACUUCUGUCCUUUAUACUCCUGAAUGUCCUUUUAAUCUUAUUUCCAUCAGCAAAAUCACUCGUACUCUUAAUUGUUCUAUUACCUUUUCUGAUAAAUUUGUGACCUUGCAGGACCGGAGUACGGGGAAGACGAUUGGCAUAGGACGUGAGUCUCAAGGCCUCUAUCACCUCACCUCAGAUUCAUCUCCUGCAGUUUGCAUUUCCACUGAUGCUCCUCUCCUCAUUCACAAUCGUCUGGGCCACCCUAGUCUCUCCAAGUUCCAGAAGAUGGUUCCUCGUUUUUCAACUUUGUCGUCGCUUCCGUGUGAGUCAUGUCAGCUUGGGAAACAUACUCGUGUCUCGUUCCCAAAGCGUUUGAAUAAUCGGGCAAAGUCUCCUUUUGAGCUUGUCCACACUGAUGUUUGGGGUCCUUGUCGGACUGCGUCUACUUUAGGAUUUCAGUAUUUUGUCACUUUCAUUGAUGACUAUUCUCGAUGUACUUGGUUAUUUUUAAUGAAAAAUCGAGCUGAGUUAUUCUCUAUUUUCCAGAAAUUUUAUACUGAAAUCCAAACCCAGUUCAAUAUUUCUAUUCGUGUGUUACGCAGUGACAAUGCCAGGGAAUAUUUUUCAGCCCAAUUUACUUCGUUUAUGUCUCAUCAUGGGAUUCUUCAUCAGUCUUCUUGUGCUCAUACUCCUCAACAAAAUGGGGUAGCUGAACGCAAGAAUCGACAUCUUGUUGAGACAGCUCGUACUCUCCUCCUCCAUAGUCAUGUUCCUUUUCGCUUUUGGGGGGACGCUGUUCUUACCGCUUGUUAUUUGAUUAAUCGUAUGCCCUCCUCUGUCUUACACGAUCAGAUUCUUCACUCCCUUCUUUUCCCUGACCAACCACUUUAUUUCCUUCCUCCUCGUGUCUUUGGUUGUACUUGCUUUGUUCAUAUUCUCACUCCUGGACAGGACAAGCUUUCCGCCAAAGCCAUGAAGUGCCUCUUCUUGGGAUAUUCCAGACUUCAGAAGGGUUAUCGUUGUUAUUCCCUUGAGACUCAUCGGUACUUUAUCUCCGCUAAUGUCACCUUCUUUGAGGACUCACCAUUCUUUUCCACCACUUCUGAGUCUCUUCCUGUUUCUGAAGUCUUGCCCAUUCCCAUUGUCUCCCCACCUGAUGCUAUGCCCCCUCGACCACUUCAGGUUUAUCAUCGUCGCCCUCGUGUCGUUGCUCCUCUCCCUUUUCCUGAGGCACCUGCUGACUCACUUCCUAUCCCUUCAGCUUCACCUGCCCCGGCUCUGCCUUCUCCUAAUGACUUACCUAUUGCUGUUCGGAAAAGUACUCGCUCUACUCGUAAUCCUCAUCCUAUUUACAAUUUUUUGAGUUAUCAUCGAUUAUCUUCACCCUAUUCUGCUUUUGUUUCUGCUAUAUCCUCUGUUUCUCUUCCAAAGAGCACCCAUGAAGCUCUUUCCCAUCCAGGCUGGCGACAGGCAAUGGUGGAUGAAAUGGCUGCUCUGCACUCUAAUGGCACUUGGGAUCUUGUUGUUUUACCCUCUGGUAAAUCUACAGUUGGUUGUCGUUGGGUCUAUGCAGUUAAGGUUGGUCCUGAUGGUCAGGUUGAUCGCCUUAAGGCCCGUUUAGUUGCUAAAGGCUAUACUCAAGUUUAUGGUUCUGAUUAUGGUGACACAUUCUCCCCUGUUGCCAAGAUUGCUUCUGUCCGCUUGCUUCUCUCCAUGGUUGCUAUGUGUUCUUGGCCUCUUUAUCAGUUGGAUAUUAAAAAUGUCUUCCUUCAUGGUGAUCUUGCCGAGGAAGUUUAUAUGGAGCAACCUCCUGGUUUUGUUGCUCAGGGGGAGUCUGGUUUAGUGUGCAGGUUACGUCGUUCUCUAUAUGGCUUGAAACAAUCUCCUCGAGCAUGGUUUAGCCGUUUUAGUUUUGUUGUUCAAGAGUUUGGCAUGCUUCGCAGUACAGCAGACCAUUCAGUUUUUUAUCAUCAUAACUCCUUGGGGCAGUGUAUUUAUCUGGUUGUUUAUGUGGACGACAUCGUCAUUACAGGCAGUGAUCAGGAUGGUAUUCAAAAACUAAAGCAACAUCUUUUUACCCACUUUCAGACCAAAGACUUGGGGAAACUCAAGUAUUUCUUGGGAAUUGAGAUAGCUCAAUCCAGUUCCGGUGUGGUCCUUUCCCAAAGGAAGUAUGCUUUAGACAUCCUGGAAGAAACCGGUAUGUUAGACUGUAAACCGGUAGACACACCUAUGGAUCCGAAUGUCAAACUUGUACCAGGACAGGGGGAGCCUUUAGGAGACCCCGGGAGAUAUCGACGGCUCGUAGGUAAAUUGAACUAUCUCACCAUUACUCGUCCAGACAUUUCUUUUCCUGUGAGUGUUGUUAGUCAAUUCCUACAGUCACCAUGUGAUAGCCAUUGGGAUGCCGUAAUCCGUAUCCUUCGAUAUAUCAAAAGUACACCAGGCCAAGGUGUAUUGUACGAGAACAGAGGUCAUACUCAAGUUGUUGGUUACACAGAUGCAGAUUGGGCUGGCUCACCCACAGAUAGACGUUCCACUUCAGGGUACUGUGUUUUUAUUGGAGGUAAUCUAAUAUCUUGAAAGAGUAAGAAACAAGAUGUAGUGGUCAGAUCUAGCGCUGAAGCCGAGUAUCGAGCUAUGGCUUUGGCAACAUGUGAACUCAUAUGGUUGAGACAUCUUCUUCAGGAGUUGAGAUUUGGAAAGGAUGAACAGAUGAAACUCAUCUGUGAUAACCAGGCCGCAUUACAUAUUGCAUCCAAUCCAGUCUUUCAUGAAAGGACCAAGCAUAUUGAAGUUGAUUGUCAUUUCAUUAGAGAGAAGAUCGCAUCAGGAUGUGUUGCUACAAGUUUUGUCAAUUCAAAUGAUCAACUAGCAGACAUCUUCACUAAAUCUCUCAGAGGUCCUAGGAUUAAAUAUAUUUGUAACAAGCUUGGUGCAUAUGACGUAUAUGCUCCAGCUUGAGGGGGAGUGUUAAAUAUAAUGUAUGUAUAGUAUACUAUCUUUCCUUGUUAAUAUAGGUCACAUGUAUGGUAGUUAGGACUCCUAGCCUUGUAUAUAUAUAUCUCUCAAUUGUAAGUAGAGAUUACAAUGAAUAAGAAUAAGGUUUUUCUCCUCUCUCUCUCUCUCUCUCUCUCUCUCAACAGCAAUAAACUUGGCCACACUCGCGAUCGUUGCUAUCAGUUACAUGGACGGCCUCCUCGCACUACCCAUGUGGCCCAGUCCUCUGAUUCUCAGCUGCCUCAGCCUCCGAGCUCCUCCGCAUCUCAGGCAUCUCAGGCUUCUGUUGCCUCUGUUGCCCAGCCUGGUAAUGCUUCUGCCUGCCUUACCCACACAUCUUCUCUUGGACCCUGGAUUCUAGAUUCUGGAGCAUCUGAUCACCUAUCUGGUAAUAAGGAUCUUUUCUCCUCUAUUACUACUAUCUCUGCUUUACCUACUGUUACCUUAGCUAAUGGUUCUCAAACUGUAGCUAAAGGUAUUGGUUUGGCCCUCCCUCUGCCUUCUCUACCUCUCACUUCUGUUCUUUAUACUCCUGAAUGUCCUUUUAAUCUUAUUUCCAUCAACAAAAUCACUCGUACUCUUAAUUGCUCUAUUACCUUUUCUAAUAAAUUUGUGACCUUGCAGGACCGGAGUACGGGGAAGACGAUUGGCAUAGGACGUAAGUCUCAAGGCCUCUAUCACCUCACCUCGGAUUCAUCUCCUGCAGUUUGCAUUUCCAUUGAUGCUCCUCUCCUCAUUCACAGUCGUUUGGGUCACCCUAGUCUCUCCAAGUUCCAGAAGAUGGUUGAUUACUACUCAAAACAUGCUAUUUUGUAGCUUGUAAUUAGCUCUUUUAAACACCAUUGAGUAGUAAUUAUUACCUUUUAACCCAAUUAGCAUGUUAGGAGCCCUUGCAAUCGUUUCUAACAAUUGUGUUAAGUUUUGGUGCUUUUUGAUAGCUUUAUGCUCACCAAAGCAAUUUAAGAAUGAAAGAGAGCUAUUUGUAGUUCAGGGCAAAGCUUUUGAAAGCUUAAAUUUAUGAAGAAAUCAAGCUAUGGAGCCUCAUAAUCCUUUGCCUUAAUCGUUCAAAGUUUACAAGGGAGAAACAAUGGAGAAGAAGAAAACAGGGGAUGAAAACAGGGGACACAGCUGCAGUCUUUUAGUGCACUUUUGGAGCACUUCCCAAAGUCCAUUCUUUACAUUCUAUAUACCAUUUCGAAGCUCAGAAAGUCAAGAAUCCAAUGGUUCAAACCACGUAUGAUUUGGAGCUGAAAUGAGGAAGUUAUGGACUUCGGAAGACAACAGCAUCAAGCUGAGGGACAAUUUCGCACACCACUGUUUAAGGUGCGAAAUCCUCAGUCCACUGUGCGAGAAUUUCGCACACCUCAAACCAACAUGCGAAAUUGGAACUCAGCAUGCGAAAAUUGGAUAUUUUUGCCGACUCUUUUUCUUCUGAUAUUUUUGUGUUUAAAGUUCCAUUUUCUCCUUGUAUUCAACCAACCAUGUAAUUCCUUAGCUAGGAAGUAUCCAAGGAAGGGUAAAACUACCUUCCUAUAUAAAUUCUCUUGUAAUCACUGAAAAUAUAUCUUUCGGGGAGCUUUCUCCAGGAGACCAACUAUUGUAAAUUUGUUACUUAGUGAAAUACAGAGAUCUCUUUUACUUUCUUUUCUCUUCUAUUUUCUAUUUUCUUGCAAGCCAAACACCCUCUGAGGAUGUUUUCCCAGAGGAUGAGAGGCUAAACAUUUAGUUUCUUGGAGUGAAGGAAGCUAGGUGAAAAGUCCAGAUUAAAAGGUGGAAAGUUUCCGUGCAUUGAAUUCAGGUGGUUGGAGUCCAUAAAUGGCUUUUAAAGCCAAGGUUUUGCCUUAAAUCCCUUAGGAUCACUUUGACUGGCCAAUACAUGGUAAGCUUAAGGUCUCUGUGGAUGCUUAUUGCUAGAUCCAUAUCAGUCCAUUAGUUAUCAUGUACGAGCCAUUGGAAAGUGAUUCAAGGUGAUAGCCCAUAGUGUCUUAAGCCAUUAAUGGACCUUGACUACCAUCUCUAGUGACUUUUUAUGGAUUAAAACUUCAUUGUCAAACCUAUACCGGUUCGGGAAAUAACUAUAGGUUAAAUCCCCAAUGCGAGGAGAAAAAUCCGGAAUUUUCCACUUUGCAUCUGGAACUUAAACCUAGCAACCUUUAGCUCUGGGAGACUUUCUUUCUUCUACCUUUUUACUUAGUUCUAUGUGAGUUUAGUUUAAAUUACCACUUUCAAAACAAUUUUAUUUUCUUUUAAAUUUCAAGUUUGUGCUAAAGGAAAUCAUCAGAAUCAAUUUCUAAUUUAGAGUCUAUCAUUGGUAGAGUGAAAACCCAUCCCUGAGUUCGACCCUAGAACCACUAUAUUAUAGUAGCUUUGCUACGCCAGUAUAAGGUCAUAGGUUUUAUAAAUGUUUUUGAUUAAAAGAUCCGGCUGGGAAGUCAAGCAACACAGCAAUCAAUGGUCCCUCGUUUUUCCACUUUGUCGUCGCUUUCGUGUGAAUCAUGUCAGCUUGGGAAACAUACUCGUGUCUCGUUCCCAAAGCGUUUGAAUAAUCGGGCAAAGUCUCUUUUUGAGCUUGUCCACACUGAUGUUUGGGGUCCUUGUCGGACUGCGUCUACUUUAGGAUUUCAGUAUUUUGUCACUUUCAUUGAUGACUAUUCUCGAUGUACUUUGUUAUUUUUAAUGAAAAAUCGAGCUGAGUUAUUCUCUAUUUUCCAGAAAUUUUAUACUAAAAUCCAAACCCAGUUCAAUAUUUCUAUUCGUGUGUUACGCAGUGAUAAUGCCAGGGAAUAUUUUUCAGCCCCAUUUACUUCAUUUAUGUCUCAUCAUGGGAUUCUUCAUCGGUCUUCUUGUGCUCAUACUCCUCAACAAAAUGGGGUAGCUGAACGCAAGAAUCGACAUCUUGUUGAGACAGCUCGUACUAUCCUCCUCCAUAGUAAUGUUCCUUUUCGUUUUUGGGGGGACGUUGUUCUUAGCGCUUGUUAUUUGAUUAAUCGUAUGCCCUCCUCUGUUUUACAUGAUCAGAUUCCUCAUUUCCUUCUUUUCCCUGACCAACCACUUUAUUUCCUUCCUCCUCGUGUCUUUGGUUGUACUUGCUUUGUUCAUAUUCUCACUCUUGGACAGGACAAGUUUGCCACCAAAGCCAUGAAGUGCCUCUUCUUAGGAUAUUCCAGACUUCAGAAGGGUUAUCGUUGUUAUUCCCUUGAGACUUAUCGAUACUUUAUCUCCGCUGAUGUCACUUUCUUUGAGGAUUCACCAUUCUUUUCCACCACUUCUGAGUCUCUUCCUGUUUCUGAAGUCUUGCCCCUUCCCAUUGUCUCCCCAUCUGAUGUUGUGCCUCCUCGACCACUUCAGGUUUAUCAUCGUCGCCCUCGUGUCGCUGCUCCUCUCCCUUUUGCUGAGGAACUUGCUGACUCACUUCCUAUCCCUUCGGCUUCUCCUGCCCCGGCUCUGCCUUCUCCUGAUGAUUUACCCAUUGCUAUUCAGAAAGGUACUCGCUCUACUCGUAAUCCUCAUCCUAUUUACAAUUUUUUGAGUUAUCAUCGAUUAUCUUCACCCUAUUCUGCUUUUGUUUCUGCUAUAUCCUCUAUUUCUCUUCCAAAGAGCACCCAUGAAGCUCUUUCCCAUCCAGGCUGGCGACAGGCAAUGGUGGAUGAAAUGGCUGCUCUGCACUCUAAUGGCACUUAGGAUCUUGUUGUUUUACCCUCUGGUAAAUCUACAGUUGGCUAUCGUUGGGUCUAUGCAGUUAAGGUUGGUCCUGAUGGUCAAGUUGAUCGCCUUAAGGCCCGCUUAGUUGCUAAAGGUUAUACUCAGGUUUAUGGUUCUGAUUAUGGUAACACAUUCUCCCCUGUUGCCAAGAUUGCUUCUGUCCGCUUGCUUCUCUCCAUGGAUGCUAUGUGUUCUUGGCCUCUUUAUCAGUUGGAUAUUAAAAAUGUCUUCCUUCAUGGUGAUCUUGCCAAGGAAGUUUAUAUGGAGCAACCUCCUGGUUUUAUUGCUCAGGGGGAGUCUGGUUUAGUGUGCAGGUUAUGUUGUUCUCUACAUGGCUUGAAACAAUCUCCUCGAGUAUGAUUUGGUCGUUUUAGUUCUGUUGUUCAAGAGUUUGGCAUGCUUCGCAGUACAGCAGACCAUUCAAUUUUCUAUCAUCAUAACUCCUUGGGAUAGUGUAUUUAUCUGGUUGUUUAUGUGGACGACAUCGUCAGUACAGGCAGUGAUCAGGAUGGUAUUCAAAAACUAAAGCAACAUCUUUUUACCCACUUUCAGACCAAAGACUUGGGGAAACUCAAGUAUUUCUUGGGAAUUGAGAUAGCUCAAUCCAGUUCCGGUGUGGUCCUUUCCCAAAGGAAGUAUGCUUUAGACAUCCUGGAAGAAACUGGUAUGUUAGACUGUAAACCGAUAGACACACCUAUGGAUCCGAAUGUCAAACUUGUACCAGGACAGGGGGAGCCUUUAGGAGACCCUGGGAGAUAUCGACAGCUCGUAAGUAAAUUGAACUAUCUCACCAUUACUCGUCCAGACAUUUCUUUUCCUGUGAGUGUUGUUAGUCAAUUCCUACAGUCACCAUGUGAUAGCCAUUGGGAUGUCGUAAUCCGCAUUCUUCGAUAUAUCAAAAGUACACCAGGCCAAGGUGUGUUGUACGAGAACAGAGGUCAUACUCAGGUUGUUGGUUACACAGAUGCAGAUUAGGCUGGCUCACCCACAGAUAGACGUUCCACUUCAGGGUACUGUGUUUUUAUUGGAGGUAAUCUAAUAUCUUGGAAGAGUAAGAAACAAGAUGUAGUGGUCAGAUCUAGUGCUGAAGCUGAGUAUCGAACUAUGGCUUUGGCAACAUGUGAACUCAUAUGGUUGAGACAUCUUCUUCGAGAGUUGAGAUUUGGAAAGAAUGAAUAGAUGAAACUCAUCUGUGAUAACCAGGCCGCAUUACAUAUUGCAUCCAAUCCAGUCUUUCAUGAAAUGACCAAACAUAUUGAAGUUGAUUGUCACUUCAUUAGAGAGAAGAUCGCAUCAGGAUGUGUUGUUACAAGUUUUGUUAAUUCAAAUGAUCAACUAGUAGACAUCUUCACUAAAUCUUUCAUAGGUCCUAAGAUUAAAUACAUUUGUAACAAGCUCGGUGGAUAUGACGUAUAUGCUCCAGCUUGAGGGGGAGUGUUGAAUAUAAUAAAUUUAUAGUGUACAAUCUUUCCUUUUUUUUAAUAUAGGUCACAUGUAUGGUAGUUAGGACUCCUAACCUUGUAUAUAUAUAUUUUCUCAAUUGUAAGUAGAUACUAUAUGAAUGAGAAUCAAGGUUUUCUUCUCUCUCUCUCUUAACACAAACCUAUGCACCUCACUACCAAUAACAGUGCCUACUAUCAGUUUUUCUACAAUUGCUAGUUUGACAACAUAGAGAAUACAUGUUAUCUCCAACUCAAUUCAUGAGAGAGCAUUCAUAUUGUGCUAUAAAUGAAGGGUGGGAUACAUCAACAUGCUAAGGUGAGCAAUGAGAACUCACUUUCCCACCUUCAAUUGAUGGCUUCUCUACCUUUCUCUUACUCCAUCAAGAGGAUAUUUCUAAUGGUUGGUUCUACACAGUGAUAAAAACUGAUUUCAUUGAUGCUGAACAAUUGAGAUUACAUUAGGAUAUAUACACAGCUGUUAGUAUGUUCUAGGAAACUACAAAUUCUAUCUAUCCAUAAUUCUAGGGUCAAUGACAUAUAUACAGCUCUUAAUCUAUUCCAGGAUAUUACAUAUCCAAUCUAUGCAUAAUUCUAGUGUCAACAACAGCCUACAUGUUUUCUGGAUCAUUACAAUUAAAGACAAAAUACAUAUAAGGAAAGAUAAAAAAAAUUAAUAUGGCAGAAUUUCAACACACACCCCUCCAAAAGGGGUUUGCCCAGUCAAGCUAUCAUUGUAUCAAGAGAGCUUCUCCACUUUCACUGAAUUCUCAGAGGCAUGCCACCCAGAUGCAUCAUGCCAACCCAAAUCAAGAGUAGUGCUAGGGAAGCCCAAAUGAGCUUGGUGCACAUUGGUGAUGGACUUACCCUCCCCCGUCAUCAAGAAUACAGGAUGGUUCAAUGGUUUCGGUUUAGAAGCUACAAUUGGAGGUCCACCAAGGCAAAAUUAAGCCAAAUAUCGUUGAUCUUGUUUCUGCCUAAUUAGGAUGGAGAGGGCCCACUUAGCAAGACACAUGUAGUUGCUAUUACAUGCUUCUCCAAUGAAUCCAUCAAGUGCACACACGAUAGCAUGUGCAGUCCACCUAUCAUACUCGAAAAGGAAAGAAGCCCCACUUUGGCCCCAUAUUCACAAGGGUUUAUAUUUGUGUUCAACAUGGCACUCCACUCAUUUUCAACUAACCAUGUAACCAAAAAAAAAAAAAAAACCAAGAAAAAAAUAAUCAUAGGGAACAUUUGAGAAUUAAGAAUUUGUUUCUUUUAAUGAGUUGGGCAUGCCCAGCAAGCAUCCACCAGAUAAGAGGAAUAAUAGGCAUUGAACAAAUCCAUGCAAACCUUGCAUCAUGUUUGACAUGAGUAUUUCAUGCACUUUGAAGUUUCCAAAUAAUAUUCAUGUAGGACAGUAGAAAGAAACGAAUGUAGAGAAGAGAGAGAGAAGUAGAAGAGAGGAUUCUAAGUAAUUAUAAAUAUUAUUGUUAAAAAGUUUCCAGUUUUUAACAUCACUGGGCCCAUGAUAGAUGGACAAUCAUAACUCUAGUAGGAAACUAAUUUUAAUAAUCCUACCUCCAACAAAACUUUAUCACUAAUAAUACUAACCCUAAAACAAAUAUUAAAUAAAAAAAAAAUAUCAUCACUUCCCAUAUUUGCAUCUAAUCUAAGUGUGUAAUUUAACAUCUUUAUCUCUAUCAUUUUCUCUCAUUUGAAAAUAACUUGAUUCUGGUAAAUUGUAUUUGCAAACAUUGAUCUAAAAGAUCAAGAUCCAAUCGACAAAACUCCUCAUUAGUAAUUCAAGUAUGAUUAAUAGGAGGACCUUUCCAUUGAAUGAGGAAGUGUUGACCACCACUAGAUGGGAAAGUAACACACCCUUAUAGUUUUAAAAAGAGCAAGGCACACCUAAGGUGCCAAAGUUUCCUACAGCUUAGGUGCAAGGCACAACACAAGGUGCGCGCCUAAGUGAAGUGAAACGUGACCUAGGAUGCAUAUCAAUUUUCUAAAUAUGAUCCAAAAUCUAAUCCAAUCAAUAAAAUACUUAAGAUUUAAUAUUUAAAAGAAGCAUUCAAUAAAAAAUUAAUGAAAUUAUAUAAAUUCCAAUAUAUAGUUAGAAAUUUCAAGAAUAAAAGUAUUUAAAAAGUAAAAUAAAGUAGACAAGGCGCGUCUCUCAAACAAGGUGCAUACCUUGGCAAGUGACCCAUGAUAACAAGGGAGUGGUUGUGCCUCGGGUCUAAGUGCACCUUUCAAGACUAUGAACACACCAAUCCACUAAUAAAUCCACAAUCACAUUAGUUAGCACCAAUAAAACAAAGGAGCAAGAAGCACCAAAUUGGAGGAAGGCUCUACAGAAACAGAAGAAGGUAAAACUCGAGGCUUGAAUGUGCCUCAAUAUGGAAAUAAAUUUGCCACACCGAAAAUUGGACUUACAAUUCUGUGUGAUGGCAAAUCAAGUAAAUAUACAUUAGAUCCAAGUAAUUGAAUGAUAGGGAAUGGGCCAAGUCAGUGGACAAGAAGUUUCUUAAUGGAAUUUUUAGGUAACGCUUAGGACAAAUGAAACCAUAGCAUAACCACUAAACUAUUUAUACCUAUGAUGUGCAUCAAUAGCAAAUUUAUAAUCUUCACUAAAGGCAAUUUUUCAUUAUAUCUCAACAUGUAAGUCACAAAUAUGGUCCUAAGUAGAAUCAGAAGGAUAGUAAUCAAUUGGCAAAGGAACAAAAUCAAUGGGUUGACGAGGCAAAAAACCAUUAACAACUUCAAAAUGACUUUUUGUUGUGGACCGAUUAACCGAGUUAUUAUAAGCAAACUCAGCAAUAGGUAAAACAAGAUACGAAUUGCCAAGUUUCCCACCAACUUGGCACCUAAGCAAGUUAAUCAAAUAAUGAUUAACAACUUUUAUCUGACAGUCUAUUUGAGGAUAGAAAGCAAACGAAUACUUCAAAGUAGUAUCAAACAAUUUUCAAAGUGACUUCCAAAAAUAGCUAAGGAACUUGACAUCCCUAUCACACACUAUUAGAAGGCAAACCACUUAACCUUCAAUUUCAUUCAAAAAUAGCAUUGCCACAUAAGAAGCAUCAAUGGUCUUAGAACACGGGAUAAAAUGGGUCAUCUUAGAAAAUCUAUCCACAAUUGCCAAAAUGGAAUCAUGACCUCUAGUAGUCUUUGACAAUCCUAAGACAAAAUCCAUGCUAAGAUGACACCAAUGUGCACUUAUGUUAGGCAUAAAUAUAAGACGUCAUAAUAUUUUAUUUUAUUAUUUACUAUUUAUUAAGGGUAAUUAUUAUUUAGUGAUAAAAAUUUAUUAGAGUUAUUAAAAUUAGUUUCCUACAAGAAUUAGGAUUAUUUAUCUGUAUAUAAGCCUAGUGAUGUUAAACACUAGAGACUAUUGAUCAAUAAUAUUUAUAAUUAUUUGGAAUUCCCUCUUCUAAUCCUAUUUCUCUCCUCCAUAUUCUUUACUCGCAAUUUUAAGGAAUGUUUCCUCAAUAAGGCUAAAGAGCAGCUUAAUAUACAUAUGCAACCCACACCAACAUUGGCAAAUAUCUGUAGCAAUAGCCACUAGCCAGUUCUUCUUGAUUGGUUUAAGCUCAAAAAAAGAAUGGUGCACAACUUUCCUAGCUUCACAAGAACCCUAAUUGAUUGCUCUAAGCUCAAAAAAGUAGUGUGCACAGUUUUCCCACGUUCAGAAGAACACUCACUGAUUGCUUUAAACUCAAAUAAAGAAUUAUGCAUAUUUUUCCUAUCUUCUCAAGAACACUCACAAUAUCUAGUAGAAAAUGAAAUAGUGGAACUUUCAUGGCUUCUUUGGCUCAAGGGGUUCAUGCCCUCACCUGAAAAAUCAAAACAAAACACCAAAAAGAUCAUGGUUUGAUUGAUCCGCAAGAGCCAAAUUUGCUUGCCACCCAACUAAACAAUGCAGUUGUAUUAAAUUUUUCCUCCACUGAAAUAAAUCUCAUUCUUUUCCACCUCCCACCUCACCUGCCCUAGAAUGAAUUCUUGGCUCUGCCACUGUCCUUGGUCCUUAGGAGCUAAAACCCAUGCAAAUCUCCUAGUAUCAAAUCCUAUAAAUUUGCUGGUGGGGUGGUGGUUGCAUUUUCAAAACUGAGUUUCCUAGGUGUUAUCAUAUCCGAAAAUCAAGAAUAUGAACUAUGGAAACAAACUACAGUGAGUCUAGAAACACAGAAAUCAGCAUGAGCAAUCAAUAUGGCCUAACAGGACUGCUAAAAACUUAGAACUAGCUUAGGGCAUAUUUGCAAACAUAUUCACAGAAAAACAGCUUCUAAUGACCAAAACUUAUGCCAGUAGCCUAUGAUAGGUGAGAGAUUUCAAGGGCUACAAUAGAUCAUGAAAAUGUGAAGUAACCUGAACCAAUAGCUCUCCUUCAAACUCAAUAGCGACCCAACCAAAGCAGCAGAAUAGCCAGUAAUUACAGCAUAACUUUAGACACUAUUUUGAACAGCUAAUAGCAUAUCCUUCUCCUUUUCUAUCAACAUUUCUGCAAUCAGAGUGGACACACUGCAGUCCAACGCAAUUCUCAAGUCAACAAAACCUUUGCCCCAGUUGUUUUUGUUACGCCACUUGAAUCCCAAUUAACAAUUCCACUUUACACAACGCCCACUCUCCCAAAAACCAUACCCAGAUCACCAAUAUGCCUUUCCUCUCCUAUCUUGCCCUUACGCAAAUAAUUAGCUUAGAGCUUUCUUUGAAGUCUAAAAAAAGAGGUUAUUGUACGCCUGAUCACUAUUAAACUCUGUUUUGAAUUAAAGGGUCUUUGCAUAUUCAAGAGUCACCAACAGGUUGAAGACUCAAAUUCUUGAAUUUUCAGGAUGAAUUGAGAAUGAUGUGGGACAACCAAACAUGGGGCGUUGCCGAAAUUACCUCUGAGAGGAGCAGGCCACGAUCGUCCUUCGACGCGCUUAAUACCAUAAACCAACAAUGAAGCCCAUGGUUGAUGCAACGUGAGACAUGGGUUUGUGUAGUUGCCCUUACUGCGACUUCCCAUUUGCCCUCUUCACAAAUUCUGAUUGCUGGCAGAUUGGCCUCCUGGUACUUUGCACAACACAUCUAUGGAACACCCCCGUUCCUUGAGCCUUAGGUUGCAUUUGGCACCUAAAAAAUAUUAAUGGAAAUGGGAUUAAAUGAAUCACUCUAGAAGAAACGAAUCAAAAUCCAAUAAAAAUAGGAUUUGAUUUCUAUAGCAAUCAGAUUAAAACAAUCCAAACACAUUAAUAAAUAAAUGGAAAUGAUAUUAAUUUUUUGUUAAAAUAAUUUAUUAAAAGGGAUGAAAUAUAAAUAUUUCUCAUAUUUAUCAAUUAUCCAUUCUCAUAUAUUUAUUUAAAAAGUACCCAUUUUUGACAUAAAUAUAUUUUAUUAUUUCAAAUAUUUACAAUAUGUUUUAAAAUAAAUUGUUGUUUUUACAAGAAAAUAAUAAAGACAUUUUUAUCAAAAUAAAGUCAAAAAAUAAUAAAGGGUUAAACUUUCAAAUUUAGGUUUCUAAUGACAAUUUUAAUUAAAUAACUUCUUUUUAUUUCCAAUUAUUCCAAAUAUAAUCAUACGGUACUAUAAUCUAUUAUAAAUUUAUUUUACUAUGUUUUUUUUUUUUUGGUCAAAUCAUUUGAGGCCUUCUAUCUAUUAAAGUAUGAAAUUUUGGUUUAAAGUUAGGUAAAUGUUUAAUUCUUAUCAUUCCUUCUUCCAUGUUGAAAAAAAAAAUAAGAAGAAGGAAUUCUAUGAGUGGAGUAUUUUAUAAGGUGUAUGUUAGCAUUAGCCAUUGACCUAAAAUUUAUUGAGAUAUAAUAUAUUGCAUAUAUAUAUUACCAUUAUUUUAUCCAGUGGUAUAUGUCAUAUCAUAUUUAUAUUUAAUUUAUGAAAAAAAAAACAUAUUAUUUUUUAAUUUUAAUGUUCAAUAAUUUGUUUAAAAUGAAAAUUAAAUCAUGCCUUAGUAUUUAUGAUUAAAAAAUAUGAAAUUUCUCAUAUAUUUAAUAUUAUUUAAAAAUCAUUUUAUAAUAAGUAAUUUUUAUUUCUUAAUUAGUAAUAUUCAUGAUUAAAAUAUUUAAAAUUUAUAAAUUAAAAAAAAUUAUAUUGUGUUGUUAAAUAUACAAAAAUAGUAUAUUAUCUAUAUAUAUAUAUAUAUAUAUAUAGAUAUAUAGAUAUAACUACUAGUAUUUUUAUUGACAAUGCUUUUAUGGUGAAUAUUUUUAUUGAGGAUUAGAUAAUAAUUUGAUAUAAAUAAAUAAAAAAUGGGUUCUAAAAUAAUUUUUAGUAAUAGGAUACAUAACAAAAAAGAUGUAAUAAUUCCAAAGAACUCAACUAAGCACUAGUGUUUACAUUACUAUUCAACUCUCUCCAUCUAACUUUGAUUUGAACUCAGCAUUGAAGUAUGAAUGAGAGUCCUUUUAUAGAUGAUCUAAAAUAGAAUUAAAAGAGUCUAAAAUAUGUGGGGUUGAAGUAGUUUGAAGUUUGUGGAAUUAAAACGCUUUUAAGUUUGAAAAAAAAAAUUGUAAUAUCCAUUGUUAAGUUCUAAAAAAAUUGUAAUAUCCAUGAAUUAAAAAACUCUUAAGUUUAGAAAAAGUUGUAAUAUAUAAGAAUUCUACCUUUUGAAAAGUCUUUUGUCUCUUCCCAUUUUUUUUUUUUUAUUGUUUAAUCAUUUCGCCUUAAUAAGGGAUAUCUAGAGUCAUAGGUAAAAAGUAUAGAGAAUGUAAGGUUAAAGUAUUUGUUAAAAGUUAGAAAAUUCUUUAAAAACUAGGUCUAUGCUUCUAGAGAAUAUUCAAAGUUAAAGUAUAAAGAUGGCAUGAAACAUUUGAAGCAUAUGAGAUAAUUAUAAAGCAAUUUUGAUCAAAACUAAAGUCAAUUGUUCUCUUCUAAAAAAAUGAUAUUUGAAGCAUAUAUUUUAUUAUAUGAAACCAAGGCUUCUUUCUACUUAUUAAAUUUUGAAAGGUGAAAAUUACUAGAUGCCUAAUUGGUUAUCAUAUCACUCACACACACACACACACACACACACAUAGUGGAGCCAGCAAUUUGAUUUGAGGGGGGCAACUUUUAAUGCAUAUAUUGGUUUUAGCCCAAUAGUCACGACUUGUCAUUGUUAGGGGGGCAUUAUCAAUCUUAUGUUCGAAUCCGCCCCCUAGACCCUACCUGGCUCCACCAAUGUAAAUAGACAAAGAUAUAAAAAAGAGUAUGAUAAAAAGAAAAGAGAGAUUUGUGAAAAAGUGGAAUGUGUGAAAGAAUAUAUACCAUUUAAAGUAAGAGAUACCGCCCCCUAGACCCUACCUGGCUCCGCCAGUGUGAGUAGACAAAGAUAUAAAAAAGAGUAUGAUAAAAGGAAAAGAAAUAUUUGUGAAAAAGUGAAAUGUGUGAAAGAAUAUAUACCAUUUAAAGUAAGAGAUAGAAACAUAAAACAUAUUUUAAUACUUGGAGAUUAUAUUUGUUUGCUUAUUAUAUAAUAAUCUUAGUACAUGGGCCUUAGCCCAAUGGUCUUAACCCAACGAGCCUUUUAAUGCAUACAUGGGUCUUAACCCAAUGGUCAAAACUUGUCAUUGUUAGGAGAACAUUAUCAAUCUUAUGUUCGAAUCCACCCCUUAGGCCAUAUCUGACUCCGCUAGUGUGAGUUGGCAAAGAUAUAAGAAAUAGUAUGAUAGAAGGAAAAGAAAGAUUUGUGAAAAAGUGGAAUGUGUGAAAGAAUAUAUACCAUUUAAAGUAAGAGAUAGAAAUAUAAGACAUUUUAAUGGUCGAUGAUUAUAUUUGUUUGUUUAUUAUAUAAUAGUCUUACUACAUGUUAAAAAAAAAAAAAAAACUUCUCUUGUUAUAAUUAAUAUGCCAAUGGAUGGUAUUAAUGAUAUUUUAUAUUCAAUAAAAUGUUACAUGUUUUUUCUUAAUAAUUAAAACAUAAAAAAAAACCUAAACUUGAUUUGAUCACAAAAAAGAAGAAAGAAAACGAAAUUGUUUAAGAAAUGUUUUUUUUUUUUAUAAUAGUUCUCAAAAAGUAAUUUUUGAGAACGAUUCUAUGAUGUUUUUUAAAAUGAAAGUUUUGCUUGAAAAUUGGACCCAUUUGACCAUGUUUUUUGUAAAACUUGUUUUUAAAAACUGGUUGUUAUUCUUUAACUUAAAAACAGUUUUUAAAAACAAAUUUAAAAAAAUAUGGUCAAAUAAGUUUAUAUUUUUCUUUUGUUUUUAAAAACUAGUGAAAACAAUUUCCAUUUAUCUUCUAAAAAUUGUUUUAUAUUUCAUUUUAUUUUUAAAAAUUAUUUUUCGAGAACAAAGACCAAACAAUAUUAGAAAAUUUUAAAAAUAGUUUUCUAUUUUUAAAAUUAAAAUUGUUUUUAAAUCACAUAACCAAACAAACUCUUAGAAAAAAACUCAUUUUUUAUGUUUCCAAAUAUUUUUAAAAUUAAGCUUUAUUUAUAAUGUUUUAUUUUUAAUCAUUGUCUAUAUUUAUAUAAUUAUUUUUUAAGUUAACCCCCCAAAAAAUGAAAAUAAAUAAAAUAUGUUAUAAGAAAAUAUCCAAUUUUCAAAAAAAAUAUUUUUUGUGACAAAUUGUUUAACAUGUUUUCAAAUAUGAAAAACUAUUUUAAUAACAAUUACUAAAUGAUAUUUCACCUUUUUUUUCAUAAUAGAAAUAAAAAAAAUAUAAUUUCAAAUGGUUUAUAUUUCUAGGAAGAAAGAAUAUUACCCUUUUUAAUACUUUAAACCACACAAGGCCACAUACUCCAAGAAAGAUUUGGGAAUGGUUUGGGCCUCUCGAUUGAUCAGAUGCUCUUCUCUUUUUCUUAUUUGGGGAAGUUGACAAAUCUUAUUUGCAUCCAAUAUGAUUGUUUUGGAAUUUAUUCUGCCAAAAGGAUAUCAAAUUCGGAUGGGAAGGCAUAUAUUUAAUUUGAGUGUGACAUAUUAAAUCAUCACCCAAGAUCGGAUGAAAGGCACUGGCCCAAAUGUACAAAAAAAAAAAAAAGUGGCCGUGAUUAAAAUUCAAAAGCAUCUCCCUUUUUUAAUUUUUCCCUUGCAUAUUCUUGGGAACACUUUAUUCCACACCCUAAAAAAGCUGACACAGAACAAAGUUAUGAAAAAAUUGAUUGAUUGUGGUCGCAUUGUGAAACGAUUGGCUGUGUCUGUCUCUCAACCAAGCAUCUGUUACAUGGUACAUCCACAAUGGGUCUCUUUUUGAGUAUGAUUAGAACUUUGGAAUAUUUUAGGUAGUAGCAUCUAUGGGCAUGACAUGUGUGAUAGAUGAAAAAAGAUGAAAUAGGGGAUGAAAAUGAAUAUUUUGUUUUUAUUUUUAAUUUUUUAAAUAAAAGAAUUUAGUGAUUUUAAUUCUUAUAUUUAGAUUAAUUUAAAAUAUUUAGUAAUAGUAAAAAUAAGAAUGAAAAUGAAAUAAAUUGAGAAUAAUACAUUUAUAUUUGAAAGUUUUUUAGAAUAAGUAAAAAAAAAAAACAUAUUUGAAAGUUAAUUUUUUUUAAUCAAUAAAGUGUUUUUUUUAAUUAACUUUAUAUUAUAAAUAUAUAAAUAAAUUUCAUAUGCAUAAUUCCUUUAAAUUAAAAAAAUUAUUUCAUUUUGAAAAUUUUACAUUAGUUAUAAUUUUUUUAAACAAAUGAUGACUUUGUAACUAUAUGUAAAUAUAUUAAUUUCAAUAAUUUAAGGAAGAAGAAAGAGUUUGUGGGUGGGGGUGUGGUGGUUGGGUAGGGCUCACUUUUAUGGAAAUAUAAAAAACAGUUGGGAAAAUAUAAAAAGAAUAAGGGAAAAAUAUGAAAAAUAAUCUAUUAUUUGAAUAGUAAAAAAAUAAUGAAAACAUAUUUUUAUUAUUCUAAAAAAAAUGGUUUUUGAGAACACGAAAAACAAAAAAAACAAAAACACACAUCUUUCUACAAACAAAUUUUUUGUUUUUAAGAACAAAAAAUAGUUAUUGAAAACAGUAUCCAAACAAAGCCUAAAAAUAUCAAAUAUAAGUCGGAGUGAAAGCUAUGGUAAAAUGACUUUUAGUUUCGCUUAAAAAUCAACACAGAUGAAAAGGGGAAAGUAGUCCAACCUCUUUUGAGUUGUGAUGAAGUUGUUGGCUAAUGGCCUUGUAGUCCAACAACAUUUUUAAAACGUGACACUAAUCUCAUUCAAAGUUUCAAUUUACAUAUAAUGACAAGAUAAGACGUUGACAUUAUCCAAUUUUUUGCUAUUUGAUUUUUCAAGAAGGUUUUGUUUUUAAAAGUAGACGUAAUGAGAUCGCUAAAAUGGAGAAUAAUUGAAAAUAAAUUAAUACAUAUAUAAAUAACUUUUAAUAAAAUUUUUAAAAUAUAAAAAAUAGGUUAAAGACAUUUCAUAUUUUUUAACAGAGUUUUGUUUUAUAAAACAUUAAAAACGAUUUAAAAACUAUUCUUAAAUGUCAUGCUUCAAAUUUUUUUUGAAAGGUGUUCCUAAAUAAGGUUAUGCAAAAAUUGAAAACAUGAAUUUGAUAUUUUUAGAGUUAUUUUAAGAAAAGUGGAGACAAUUUUCUAAGAAGUAAAAAUACAAAAAUAAAUAAAACAAUUUAAAACAAAUAAAAAGAAUAUGAAUGUUUACAAUAAUAUUACGUUCUUUUUUUUGUCUUUUUUUUACUAAUAAAAUAUUAUAUUUUUAUAUUAAGAUCAAAAUAUGCCUAAUUAAUCAAUUCAUUUAUUAAUAUAAUUUAGUUAUUUCAUUAAUCCAUGUAAAAAAGAAUAUAAUUGGUCAAUUCCUUGGUUAAUUAUAGCUAUAAUAUAUUUUUCAAUUAUACUAUUAAAAUAACUAAUAAAGAAAAGAAAAAUAAAAAAAAUAUUCAUUAUUUCUCAUAUAAAAAAAAAAUCAGUACCAAAUAAAGUUCACCAAUUUUCGUUAUUUAAACCAAACGUUAAGAAAAAAAAAACAUAGAAAAUAAAAACUGCUUUUAAAAAAUAAAAAUAGAAAAUGAAAGCUUCAAGGAAUCAAACGGCAACCUUAAAAUGCAAGGUUUUGAGAAUAAUAUUCCGAGGCCCAAGUAUUUUAAGUUCAAAUUGAGAUGGGCCCAAACUCAUAUUUGGGCUUAUCGUCUUCUCACCCAUUUGGUACCCCGUGACACAAUAUUAGUAAUUUUAAUAUAUAGUCAAUGCGGCUAUGAUAAUUUAAUAAGAUGCAAGAAGAAAGAUUCCAUUUCACCAUUCCCAUGAGUAUCUCAAAGCUUCACACUCAAUGGCUAAAAUAUUUUAUUUUAUUUAUAAGAAAAUUUCGAUUCCUCGACUUCAUCCCAUUUUAUUAUUAUUAUUAUCUUUUUGUUAUGUUCUGUUUUGAAAGUAUCAAAGAAAAUGUAAGAAAAAAAUAAGAAUGGACAAAAAAAAUAAAAAGUAGAUUUAAAUCAAUAAAUUAUUUUUAUAUAUUAUUUGUAAAGUGUGUAAUAGAAUUUGAAUAAUAGAUUUUUUUAUAUUUUAUUAUUAUUAUUUUAUAAUUAUAUAUUCUAAUUAAAAGGGAAAUAAAAGGAAAGAGAUAUUUUUAUAAUUUAAAUUCGAUUUAAUAAGAAAAUGAAUGUUAUGUUUCAUUUAAAAAAAAUAUAAGAGUGAAGACAAAAUAUAAGAGUGAAUACCUUGCAAAAUAGAAAAAAAGAAAUAAAAAAUAAAUUUAAAAUUAUUAAAUUAAGUAUAUAUUUUAAACUAAUUUUAUUUAUUUUUAUAAAAAAAUAAAUAUUUCGUUAACCAAACACACCAUCAAGGAAAGAAAGGUUUUUCACCUGUAAAAUAUGAUUAUAUUUUUGUAAUUAAAAAAAAAAAAAAAAGGGAAAAAGAGGUGAUUGCCGAUUGGUUGGGCGGGUGGAACCGGGAACAGGAGGGCGAUCGCACCUCGGUUUCAACAUGUGAAAGAGGAGUCAUAGACGGCCGCAUUAUAUUGAGGGUGUGCGUACUACGCACCACAGAACCCCACCCACACUCUGACUGAGCUCUUUCUGUUUCUUCUCUCUAUAAAAGAAUCUCUCUCUUUCCCUCUUUCUUCCCUUCUCUCUCCCUAUUCUUUGCUUUUCCUAUUCAGCUCUCUUCAAAGCCAGGAAUGUUUCUCAAAGCUUUUUCCACCACCGACCCCUCCUUUCUUUCCCUCUAUCUCUCCUUCUUUGAGCCAUGCUAAUAUUCACACUCCAAACCCCGGACAAUAUCCAGGACCACCCUCUUUCAUCCCCUCUUCUGCUUCUUCAAUUUUGGAAUCCAAUUUGCUGCUAAUUUCCACACCCAGUUAUGGAACCUGCCGUUCUUGACGAUAUUAUCGAAAGGUUACUUGCCGUCAAAGCCAGGCCAGGGAAGCAAGUGCAGCUUUCUGAGGCCGAGAUCAGGCAGCUUUGUGUUGCUUCCAAGGAUAUUUUCCUGAGACAGCCCAAUCUAUUGGAGCUCCAAGCCCCCGUCAAGAUCUGCGGUACUCCUUUUCUUAUUUAUUUAUUUUUAAAGAAUGACUAUGGUUGUAUUUAUAUGAAUUUCAUCUUUGCUUUUUUUUUUUUUUUAUGGGUAUUGUUUUGAAGCGGGUCUUCUUCAAUUCCUCAAUUUGCCUUGAGGAAAUUGGUUGUGUAAGUGUAUUGUUUUGAAGUGGGUUUUCUUCAAUUCCUGAGUUUGACUCGGGAAAUUUCUUUUUGGUGAGGUUUAGAUGGCAUUUUCUCUAGUUUAUUGUGUUCAAACUUUGAGUUUGGUGGUAAAAUUGCAAAGGGUUCAUGAGAUGUUUGGGUUAAUCUGCUAAACGUGAAGGGUAUCUUGCCCAUUUCUUGUUAAGGGUGUGGGUCGAAUUGCAUCUUCUGAAGGUAUAUUCUGUCUGAAUUGUUCAUAAUAUAAUUUGUUAAGCAUACUGAUUAAAAUUGAGUUUUCUCUUAAACUGUCUUAGUUUUGCAAUGGGUAUAUGGUCUAUUUUUGACAGAUAAUAUAUCCUGAUCAGUUCUCGAGUUUGACCUUCGAAUUCCUAUUAUACAUGUCAGAUUACCUUACAACUCGUGUGGUGUAUUAGCUUGAUGCUACAACUUCAAUAACAUAAUUAAAAUGAUGUACAUUUCUUGAAAUUUAUCAGCGGUUUCAGUCUUAAUUGCUAAUUUUCAAAUUCAUUGUUUUGAUUUUGAAAAUUUGGGGUUAGGAAAUCUUCUUCUUUGUUGUGUCAGACUGCAUCUUCCAAAAAUAUGCUGGUUUUUGACUUAUUUCAGCCAUAAAAAUUUGUUUGUAUCAAUGAUAAAUUGCUUCUGAAAUUUUAUAGGUAGACACCAAGGGUUUAAUCUAGAAAUCUGUCAUUAUAAUGAGGUUUGCUUCACAUUAGAAUGAGUUGUGAUGUUAUUCUAACAAUAUUUCCUCUUGCGUGACUUCCACUGCUAAAACUGCCCUAUUAUUCACUAAUUCAACUUAUUUUUGUUUGAAAAUUGGCUAUGCAUAAAUUCCAAGUGGACAGAAAUGUGUUAUUAUGUUGAUGAAGUCACCUUCCUUUUAAAAGGCACAACUGCAUAGAGACAGGGGGCAUAUCUAUUAUUAUUUCAAACAAAAAUGCAUGGGAGUAGUUUUGAUGGUUGUACUUAGAUUAUAAUUCUUUGAUCUGCAUAUUUGUAGAAAAAAAAUUUCUAUCUACUUUUGGUGCUCAUGGAGUGAAAAUUAUUUGGUUUGUCCCUGGCCUUAGAAAUGUUAACGAUCAAUGGUAUGUAGGUGCUUAUGAUAAUUGCCAUACCUUACUUGAUUCCUUUGAAAGUGUGGAAUAGAGCCUCCCUCUUUCUCUGUAACUAUUAAAAGGAAUUACGUGAAAAGCAUGCUUGUGGGAAAGAUUAAACAAACAACAAAAUAAAAAGAAAAAAAGCAACCAACAAUGUAUGGAGAAAACAGAAAAAAUAUAGAUUUGUAUGGAUUCACUUAGCUUCAAGAUUGGAUGCUGUUUAUUCUGAGAAUCCUUCAAUGGCACUUUUCAGAGGCAGGAUGAACUACCAAGUGUUUUAUUCCACUUGACUAAGCCAAAGAUUUAUUGUCUAUAGGUGUCAAAGAUUGACUCUUCUUAGAUAGUGUUCUACAAUUUGGAUGCUAGUUUGCAUUUUAACUUAUGUAGUUAAUGAUUCUCAGCAGCUCUUAUCGAUGGUGGCUUGAUGUAUUGAGACAAAUUGUUGGUUUUCUCUAAGCAUUAGGAAUAUUGCAUCUGGGUCUGCUUUGGGGCUCAACCUUAUGAGUUUAUGCUACAUCUCUGCAUGCAUCAACCUGGGUGCUUCACAUUUUCCUCAUUGAUGAACCAUAUUGCAGUAGGAUUUAUUAUCUAAUAAAAUAUAAAAGAUCAUUCAUACCAAAUAUAUUUACAGCACCUAUUCUUCUUUGCCCCAUCUCCACUUGUUACAACCUGUCAGAGAAAUGAACUUUUCACUACUUUGGCGAUCUGCUUUCAAAUGCAUGUUGUUGUGCUGAUCAAUCUCUUGGAUGAUGCUGACUCCAAUUUUCUAGAGUCUGCAGCUGGAAGCUUCACUUAACCCUUGAAAAAAUUAAAUUUUUUGAUUCUCUGUCCAGAGGAUGCAGCGCUUAAUGUGAAUUUGCAUAGCUUGUUGAACUGUAAGGUUUGGAAUUCUCCAAAGGGAAAUAUUAUAUUUUCUAGAGUGUAGCAAUCGAUGUGCAUUUAAUACUGUUUAGGGAAACGCAAUGUUUGAAUUUCUUUGGGACGAUCCAUUUAUCUAAAUAAAUUCAUUUUUUAAGGGUUUUUGCCCCUUUUGUCUUCCUAACUAGAGUUUGAAACACAUUGUUCUUGAACAUAUUCUAACAUUCUUUGUAUCUCCCAGGGGACAUUCAUGGUCAGUAUUCGGAUCUUCUAAGGCUUUUUGACUAUGGUGGACUGCCGCCUGAAUCCAAUUACUUGUUCUUAGGGGACUAUGUAGAUCGAGGAAAGCAAAGCCUGGAAACUAUAUGCCUUCUGCUUGCAUAUAAAAUAAGAUACCCUGAGAACUUUUUCCUAUUGAGGGGCAACCAUGAAUGUGCUUCUAUAAACCGUAUCUAUGGAUUUUAUGACGAGUGUAAGAGAAGAUUCAAUGUCAGAUUGUGGAAAGUGUUCACAGAUUGUUUCAAUUGCCUACCUGUGGCUGCUCUCAUUGAUGAAAAGAUACUCUGCAUGCAUGGUGGGCUUUCCCCUGAUCUGCGGAGUUUAGAUCAAAUAAGGAAUUUGCAGCGGCCUACUGAUGUUCCAGAUGCUGGUUUGCUAUGCGAUCUUCUCUGGUCUGAUCCUAGUAAUGAUGUUCGAGGUUGGGGGAUGAAUGAUAGAGGCGUUUCUUAUGUCUUUGGCCCUGAUAAGGUGACAGAGCUUCUUCAGAAGCAUGAUCUGGACCUUAUUUGUCGUGCCCACCAGGUUUCAGCUCUGUUUUAGCUUUUUGCAUUUUUUUUUUGGUCACCUUUAAACCUCUCAGGCAUUUUUCUCUUACUACAUAUUUCCUUGUUGUGCAGGUUGUGGAAGAUGGAUACGAGUUUUUUGCUAAUAGACAACUUGUAACCAUAUUUUCAGCACCUAAUUACUGUGGUGAGUUUGAUAAUGCGGGUGCCAUGAUGAGUGUGGAUGACACUCUCAUGUGUUCUUUCCAAGUAUUAAAACCUGCAGAAAAGAAUAAAAAAUUUAGCUUUGGAAGCACUACUACAGCUAAGCCUGGCAGCUGUCCUGCAAGACUCAAGGUACAUUCAUCAUUUCACUUCAAAUACAGAGAAGAUUUAAUCUAGUGAUUAUAUCAUUAUACUAAGAAAUGUGAAAUUUUUUCUAUUUAUCUGCAAUUCACAGUAAACAGGGAGGCAUGUACAUUUUAAUGAAUCUUAAGUGGAUGCUGGAUUUGUUGGAAACAUAAGAAUGGAAAGUGCUUAGAGUUAGAGCUAAAGAAUGGACACGCUCAAAAUUUGUUAAUAGUUGCAGUAUGAAUUAAUGAAAAAGACCUACCAGCCAUUGAUGAAAAUCAAAAUGAAGGAGAGCAACAUGAAAUAACAGGUCAAUGUCACCAUGAGAAAUAAUAAAAUGUCAUACUACAAUGGAUAAUUAGAGCAUAUUUCCUCAUGUUAUCCUUAACCAUCCAACCAUAUUCUAUUGCCAUUCUUACCAAAGGAUGUCAUAUAUUGAUAUCCUAUGAUCUUGGGUAUUGAUGACAUUUUUUGCAAAUUACAACUCAUGCUCAUAUAGAUGUUAGGAUUCAGGGUAUACUGGCUGCAAGUGUCUUUUCGUGUUGGAUCCUAAUUCCUACUCUUAAGGUAUAGGAACGGAACUGAACAGGCAAGGUUUCUAAAUAUAUAUAUAUAUAUAUAUAUAUUUUUUUUUUUAUACUGGGUUAAGAUCUCGUGUCAUUGUGUCAAUGCCUAAGGAGCUUCUAGUGAACAAAUGAUGUGUCCCUCGCCCUUUUCUUACAUGCCUAUUGGGUCUAUUUGUGUGAGAGGUGGCAUGUUUGACAGAUAUCCUUACCUCAUCAUUCACACCGUGCUCUGUUUGACUAAGGUGCUUCACACAUUUUGAAAUGUCUACAUAAUGUGGCUCAAGCUUUCUCAUAGACAGGUCAUCAUUGUCUUUGUCAUAGUCCUUUGUCAGAGAAGCUUCUUGCCUGAGUUAUAAAAUUGAUGGAUUACUGUGCUGUUGUCCUGUCCCAGGUUUUAUCAUUCUUCUUUGCCAAGGGGAAGCUUCUCCUGUCAAGCUGUCCAAUGUGAAUAAUGUUAGCAACUUUGUUUUGUUUCUGUUUGCACUUGCUCUUCUUUAAGGAUGGGUGUUUGAUACUCAAGAGUGGGUAUCUCUUUUCUGGAGAUGUCCUUGUUUAUCUCUAUUCCUCAUGGCUUUUUAGCUGGUAUUUGGCAGAACUUUAACUCAAAUAGAUUGCAUCACCCUUUACAGUUUGCUUUUAACUUAUUUUGAUAUUUCUUUAAGCACGACAAUUUUUGUUUUCCCUUCCAGUCUAUCCUUGGUGCAAAAGUAUGAAAGAUGUGGUCUUUUUGAAGGAGAGAGCUGUCCUGGAUCAGAGGUGAUGGUAAUAACAUAGCCAAAGUGACUGUUCAAGAAAUUGGGGUUUCUGUUCAUUUCAUUAUGAGUAAGUGUAAAAAUUGGGGAUCCUUGUAGGCAAAGAGUGCAGAUGAUUUUCAGCCACCAUGCACAGAAGUUUGGAAGGCUGUAAUUUAUCUGUCUCACUCUUCUCAUGUAUAAUACUAGUUGCUACAACAAUGGAUUCGUGUUUCUUUACCCCUUUCUUGUUCCCUUGUCUCCCUUCUCUUGCUUCUAUGAUUCUAUCCCACCUGUUCUCCUUAUAUUAUGACCAAAACAUGAAACUCUAAUGGGGAUCCCUUGGAAAGUUUCAAAUCGUGGAAUUUAAUCUUGCAUUUGGGCUCUGUCCAUUGUGCUUCUAAAUGAGUAUUACGUUCUUCUAACCCUUCUUUGAAAUGAGAUAUCCUUAAAGCUUCGAAAGUUAAAUCAUUUUUAUCGGUUAUUAUUGUUUUGGCAAUUGUAUAAAUCCUUCAAGAACUGGCUGGUAACUGGUACACAUUUCUGAUUUCAUGUGUGGACAUUGAAAUCAAAGGCCGUGGCACACGCUACUAUGAUGUGUUGCAAUCAGAUUUACAAUUUGGUUCAUAGAACACAUGGAUGAAGCAAUCAAUACAGCCAUUAUGAAACAACGCCUGGUAAUGCUUACCAGGAGUGACGCACAAAAAUUGAAAUUGUGUGCUUAUUGGUCUUUAGCCACAAAUAAGUUUCUUUUGUGGAGUAGCUGAACUAGCAUACAAGACUGCUGGUGGAGAAUGACCUAUAUUAAAAAAGAAAAAAGAAAAAAAACACCCAAUAACAACAAUAAAAGCUGGUGUAAAUGGGAAACAGUAGUGUGAACUUCAAUGUAAUUUUCUCUAUUAUUGGCAAUGGGUUGUUGAGAAGUAAACAUAGAGUGGAUAAUAUGUCAUUAUUGGUGACCUUUUGUGUCCCCUUGAUACACAAAGUUGGCCUAUCAGUUUAAUGGUACUCGUCACUGUUUCAGUGAGAAUCCCUUUCAGUGCAAAUCAAAAGUAAGUUGUAUAACUGUCAUGACUAGAGUGCUACCAAAUAUUCAAAGUUUGAACAAAUCAAGUUGAGUUACAGUCUUGCUGCAGAACCAAACAUGGUUAAGUGUUAGGAAGUUAGUGUAAGUGGGUUUUGGAUAAACUUAAUAAUUAUUAAUUAAUGAAUUAAGUUGAUUUUAAAUUAAAAUUUUCUUUUAAGUUAUUUAUUUAUUUUUUACUUCAAAUAUUGAAGUUAUUUGAUAAUAUUAACUUAAAUUUUUUAUUUUAUAUCAUCAAAUUGACAUAUUUAUUUUUAUUAAUUUAAAUUAAUAUUUAUAUUUUUUAAAUAUGGUUAAAUGAGGUAAAACGUUUUUAAAAUUAAAAAUAAGUUAAUUUAUUUUUAUUUAAUAUUUAAAAUUAUUUUUAAUUUUAAAUUGAGAUAUUUAUUAUUAAGUGAUUUUAUCAAAAUUAAGUCAUUAAAUCGUAUGGAGCCAUUAAAUUGAUUUGAUGGAAUGAGUGGCUAGUUACUAACCUGAUAAUGAUUUAUGAAAAAAUGAUGUUGCUUCCAGGUCUUGCGGAUGUAAGUCAAAUCAGAAUCCCUGCUUCUCAUCUUCUUCAUCUGCAUGAUUCUCUUCUAGUGGAGCUGGCAAGAAUUUAGUCCCAAGUCUUGGAGGAAGAGCUCGUGUUUCUCCAAUGGAGGACAAGUCCAGCAAGUUGGUUGUGCAUCUUUUUUUAUGAAAUAGACCAGACUCAACUAGAUGAUCGAACUAGUGACAACAGUGAUGGUGUGCAUUACACCAUACAUGUAAUCAGUUGAUGAAGUCUUCUUGGUUCAAAUACUAAAUUUCGUGGUCCCAAUUUGCAACCUUGUCGGCUGUGAAUACUGCCAAUUGCCAACCAAUUAUUAUUUUUGAAAACUUCGCCCCCUCUGAACCUUAGUUCAAUACUUCUUGUAUGGUGGCGGUGGAGGAUUCCACAUAUUUCCAAUUGUCUUUACAUCAAAAGACGAUAAUAAUUAUAACUACUAAAAAUGCAAUGGUUAGUGAGAGGAGACGGCUUCAAGUAGAUUGUGUGAUAUCUAGGAAGAGGCCUUGCUUUUCAAAGCACAACCCAGAAAGUGUAUGAAUUGGAGCUGGUUGGCCUGUCAUUUUGUGUUACAAGCUUUCUCGCGUGAUCACAACGCCCACACGACAUUGACCAACUUCGUCACUUCAUAAUUCAUAUAUCCCUUUUUAUAACCUUUCUUCUCACUUGCCCUUUGUCUGAGUAACGCCUUUUCACAUCCUAUGGCAUCAGUUCAUACCCAUUAUCAGAUUUUUCGUGUUUUAUAGUUUCAACUUUGGUAUUGUGUAUUUUAUUUCUGCAUUUCGUUGAGAUUCUUUAAUUGAUACACCCAAACUUCUGAAACCAUUGCAUCGAACCGACCCUUCUCAUAGUGUCAUCCCUGCAAUUUGCAAUGCAGCAGCAGACUUUUUUAGUGUAAAGAUUACAAUUUACUUUUUCAAGCAAAUACAGUACAGCAAAAAAAUAUUUUUAAUUUUGUAUAAAAAGUAUAUUCCAUGCCAUCGGAUCCAUCAGAGAAAUAAGUUGAAAAAUACCAACGGAAUUUUUUUUUUUUUAAAUUGAUAUGAACUGUAAUCAAAUGUCUUAAAUUAAAAGAGACGUUGAUCCCCACGUCUAAAUCUAAAAGUCAAAUAGUUUUAUAAGAGAGAAUUUGGCAAUUUGCCAGCGGUUUGAUUGCUUUGAAGUACGCCAUGACCGAGUAGUGUCGUCAGACAGAAAUGUUAUACCAUUUGAGCACCCGGGUUGGUUUCAUAUGCGCCUUUCGAAUGGCUAACCCUCUCAUCAUCGUCAAAUUGAGGAUUUUGACUGGCCAUUGGAGUGGAGAAAGGUUGGAGUUUAUGGUAGGUGACGCGGUUGACUUUUUGGAAUGCAAGCAAAAGUGUAGUGUCAUUUGGGUUUUAGUUGCCGGAUACAGCGCAGUCGCAUAUCCACUGGAUUGCAGAUCAAAUUAAUUAAUAAUCAUAAAAUAGGUCAACUUGUGU